AUUGUACUUUUUGCAUGAAACCAAUCUUUCUCUUCAGCCAAAUAUUCUAGUUGUUUCAACUCAUCCACAUCAUCAAAAAUAACAAGAACUCUAUUGGAGGUUAGACACCUCUUUAUCAUACUAAUUCCUUCAUCAACAUUGUUUAUUUUAAAAUUUUUUCCCCUUAGGAUACCAUGAAGAAGUUCUUGCUGUAACUGAAGUAUAUCACCUUUGGAUCGCUCUCUGAUAUUUCUAAGAAAGCUCCUACCAUCAUAUUGAUCUGAGGUCUCAUUAUAAAUAGCCUUGGCAAUAGUAGUCUUGCCAACCCCACCAAUUCCAUAUAUCCCUACGACGCUAACCAUAUUUAACUUAGUGUUCAUCAACGAUUUCAAUUUUUCCAAAUGAACACCAAUUCCAACUAUGUUCCUUCCCACACUUAAAGGGUGAUGGUUUAAUCUUCUAAUGAUUGUAUCAACAAUUUCCUUGACAACCUGAGUCUCAUACCUGCAAUCAUAUAAAUUAAGUACAAUGAUGAGUUAGAAUGAGUUGCAAAAUAUAAUAAAUUUAGUUGUGUAUGGCGGUGUCCAAUAUUACUGAAUUAGUAGCAAUGGAAUGAAAAAGAAAGGGUUAAAUUUUGCAUUUCCAUAAAGGAAUCAGGAAACGAGUGAAUGUGGAGAAUUUAAUGAUUUCUUUCUUGAUUGGGAACUUAAAUAUGAUUUGCUUUAGAGAAAAUUAUAAAAGGGUUAAAUUUUGAUACUUGCAUUUUUGGACCAACACAUGGGAAAAAUGAAAGUUAGAUUUUGUUAACAAUUUCAUACUUACUGGUCAUUCACAUGGCAUCCAGAUAGAUUAGCUGCUUCUCUCAAUGCAAUCCUCCACUUUUGUAUCAUCUCCAUCUUUUCUUGAUUUGCAUCUCUUUCAUGGUAGGCAAGUGCGUCUCCGAAACUUCCCCUUUGGUUUCGUACAUCAGAUGGAUCCACAUGGUAGAAAAUUGGUAGAACCAUUGAUUCCUUUUGGCUCUUGCGUUCAAUGAUCUUUACGAGUUCAUUUAAACACCAUCUGGAGUAAGCAUAAUUUUUUGAGAAAAUAAUAAUAAAAAACCUCGAUUCUUCUAUAGCUCUGAAGAGAUCAGAUGCAAUAUCUCCUCCUUUCUCAAGUUCUUCAUCAUCUCUGAAAGUUUGAAUUCCAGAUGCAGUCAAUGUGGUAUAUAAAUGAUCAGUGAAAUUUCUGCGAGUAUCGCUACCUCUAAAACUCAAGAACACAUCAUAAUUACGAGAAAUAGAAGUAGUCGAAGAAGAGGCUCUAUGGGUGCUGGAAGAAGCCAUUUAUGGAUGGCUUGAACCAAAAUUACAAGGGAGUCUGGAAUCCAAGAAAAUCAGAGGGAGGGUCCUUGGAUGCUCAAUGACUAUUGGCUCCAGACCUCUUCACCAUGAACAAAAAUCCAAGCUGGGAGGGAGGUUCAGCUGAAAGCUUCAUCUGCAGUCGUAAAAGAAAAGAAAAACGUAUAUAAAGCCCUCUUUGAGAAAUUUCUUUGCAUAUAAAUUCUAAGAGAAACUCACACAUAUUUUACCUUUUGGUUGGGGAAGAUCCUUUCUCCAUUCCCUUUGUGUUGGAGACUGCAGUUAAGGGAUGUAGAGAAGAUGGUGGGGAAGAUGGUGUGGAGGAUGGGUAGGGGUUGAAGAAGAGGCGGUGGGCAGCAGAGGUCUCGAUGACUAGUGGAUAGAAACCUAAUUAAGACUAAAAGUAAUGCUUUUCUUUUCGGGAGAAUUUGUGUUUUGUAUCGGCCCAAAAAUUAAUAAAAGAUCCUCUAAACACCUAUAAUUAAUUACAAAGAUAUAAAAUUGAAAUAGACAAAAAUACCUCCUUUGAAUUACACCCAUUAUUUUUGUCUUUAUACCGUCACUCUUUACAUGCCCCCAUUUAUAAAAUUCUCCUUUAUUUAAUCAUUUUUUUAUUUUUCAUUAUUUUUUAAAUUCUUUUAAAAAUAAUUGAAAAAUCAACAUUAUUUUAUAUUUUUAAAUUAUAAAUAAAUAAAAAUUAUAUUAAUGAUUCAAAAAUUAUUUUGGAACAUACUUUAGAAAAAAAUAUUAUUUAAAUGAAUAAAAAUUAUUUUUUACAUUUUAGAAGUAAAUAAUUUAAUGAUUAAAACAAUAUUUAAAUUAAAUAUAUUUACUAUUUUUUUUUCUUUUAUACUAAAAAGUAUUUUAAAGUUUAUUUUUUUUUUAUUAUAAUAGAAUAAAAAGUUUAAAGUUUUUUUUAAAUUUUUUUCCUUCCAUAUUUUAAUAAUUUUUUUAACAUAGACUUUUGGCAAUAAGUUAUAUGAAUGUUCCAAAUUUGUUUAUUAAGGAAUUUUUUUAAUGAUUUGAAUUAAUUAAAAAUUUAUUGAAAUAAGAAAAAAGAAAAAGAGAGAAAGAGGAUAGAUAAAGAGUUUUUAUUUUAAAUAUCCAACAAAAAUGUUUUUGUAUUUAGAAAUGGAUUAUAUCAAUACAUAGUAUAGUAGAUAUUGAUUUUUUUCUCAUGCAAAAGGGCUAAAUGAUAUAUUUACUCAUUUUAAAUGAAAACAAGUAGUUAAAAAUUAUAUAGAUUAUGUUUGAGUUUGGUUUUAAAAUACUUUUUCUAGUUUUAUUUUUUUAUUUUUAAAAAUUAUUUUUAUUUUCUAUAUUGUCUCUUUUUGAAAAUACAUUUAAUUAAAAAAUGAAAAAUAUUUUUAAAAAUGAAAAUUGAAGACCUUGUUUAAUACUAUUUUUUUUUAUAUGAAGGUAAUAAAAAUAAUUAAAUUUCAUUUAUUGAUUAUUCUUUUUUAUUUUUAAAAUAUAAUAUGUUCACAAUUAAAUAAAGGAAUUGGUCAAUUGUAUAUUUUUUACACAAAAAUUUAAUAUGUUCAUAAAAAAAUUGGAUUGAAGUUUUUCGUCAUUUUUUUUAAUCAAACUACUAGAAUCAUGUUUAAUACACAAUAGGCAUACAUGCAUUACGGGGUUAUGAAAUUUGUGUCACUAUACAAGAGUAUUUACUAACUAUAUAAGGGAAAUGUACUGUGUACAAGCAGUGUAUAAGAUUACCAUUUAUAAAAAAUUUCAAUCUAUUUUGAACCACUCCUUUAUUUUCCUUGUCACCCACAAAUUGCAUACUCAUAUCAUGGACUUUAUUUAACUCCCACAUGGAAAUUCUGAUACUUUCCCUAGUAAUGAUGUUUGGGAAAAAAAAAACUAACCCUAGUUCAUCCAUCCUUUUAUUAGUUAAACCAUUAGAAAUAUGAUUAACACACCUACAUGGGCACAUUACUUAGGAGAGAUAUAUUGCACCAUUGUACAAUGGUAUUACACUAAUUAUACAAGAGAAAUGUGCUAAGUGUACAAGGAAAAUGUACUAAGUGUACAAGGAAAAUGUACUAAGUGUACAAGGGUGUACAAGACUACCAUCUAUAAAAAAAUUUAAUCGAUUUUGAAUCACUUCUUCUUUUUCUUUGUCACCCACAAAUUGCAUACCUAUGUCAUGCAAUUUAUUUAACUUUCACAUGAAAAUUUCGAUACUUUUCUUAGUAAUAAUGUUUGGGGAAAAAAAAUUUAAUCCUAAUUCAUCCACCAUUUUGUUAGCUAAACCAUUAGAAAUAAGAUUAAUAUACCUACGUGGACACACAAUUUAAGAAGGAUAUAUUGCACCAUUGUACAAUGAUGUUACACUAACUGUACAAAGAAAAUGUACUAAGUGUACAAAGGUGUAUAAGGCUACCAUUUGUGAAAGAUUUUAAUCGAUUUUGAAUCAUUUCUUUAUUUUCUUUGUUACACAUAAAUUGUAUAUGAAAUUGCACUAUUAUAUAAGGGUGUUACACUAAUUAUAGAAGAGUAUUACACUCGCUGUACAAGACAAAUGUACUAACUGUAUGAGGUAAAUGUACUAAUUAUACAAGGGUGCAUAAGGUUAUCCUUUAUGCAAGAUUUCAAUCAAUUCUAAAUUUUUUUCUUGUAUAAAGGCCAUCCCUUACUCCAUUCAUGCUAAAUGGAUUGAACACUUUUCCCCCACACAUUCCUUCACCUAAAAAAUGUUUUAAUUUUAAAUUUUAAAUUUCAUCAUCCAAAAUUUGUAAUUGCAUAUUUCAUUUAAGUAGUUUUAACAAUAUUUUUUCUUACUACAUUUACAUCUUAUAUAAAGAAAAAUUAACCAUAAUAUUAGGUAUUACCUUUUUUAUGAAAUCAAAGUAAUAUAAAUGGAUAACACAUUAAUGUCAUUGUUUCAAAUGAUUUAAGACAAUAUAAAUAACAUAUAAUAAUUGUUGAGAUUAUGAAUAUUUUUUACCAAACUGUGUCAUUUAGAUCUUCCCUACCAAAAUUAAAACAUAGGAAAUAAAAUUAAAAUUAACCACAUUUAAAGUGUUUAUUACAAGUAAACCGAAUGAAAUAUAUAUUUUUACUAUUUUACCUUUAUAAACAUAAUGUCAGCAGAUAUUAAAAAAAUCAUAUUUAAAUAGAAUUAAAAAGGAUAAAAAAUUGUCUUUGUAACAUUUGUAAUUUUUUUUUAUAAAAAAUCAUUAAUUUAAAAAAAAAAAUUGUUGUAAUUAUAGUUUUGAAGAUUCUAUGAUUUUUAUAUUAUUACUUUUAAUUAUUUUCUUUGAUUUUUUAUUUUAAAUUUCAUCUAAACUUGUUUUUUCUUACAUUUACAUGUUUUCUAUUAUAUCCCUAUUUAAAGUGAUUUUCAUUUAAUUUGUGUUCCAUUAUAUUCUCUUUUCAAUUUUAAUGUGUUGUUAUACCUCUUUACAUAACAAAAGAUUUUGUUAUUUUUCAUCUACAAAACUUUGUACAAAAGAUAUCAUGUACGAGGAAAAAAAAAUAAAAAAGAGAAAAUUAUGAUAUAAUUUACAUACACAUCUCUUAAUAUGAUACAUUUGCUUGACUUAAUGACAUCAUGCUUUAAUAAUUUAAAUCAUGUCAAGUCCACAUCUAUUUUAGAUUUAAAAGGGUAUUUGAAUAUUUUUCAAAUUAUUAAGUUAUAAUACAUUAUUCAAUUAAAAAUUAAGUAUCACCAUUAGUUAAAAGAUGAUUAUGUUACAAAAUAAUGUAUUAAGAUAAUAUCAAUGUAUUGUCAAUAAAAUAGAGAAAAUAUUCAAAUAAUUGUCUACAACCUUAAAGAUAUUUAUAUAUAUAUUGGAUAAAAAAGAAUAAUAAUAUUUUUUAAGGUGAUUAAAAAAUAUUUAUUAUAUAUUUAGUAAGUUUUAAAAAAAAUAUUUUAUGAGGUGUUUAAAAAAUAUUUACUUUAAAAAUAUAGUAAUAAUCAUUUUCAAUCAUUGAUUUCCAAUAUUCAAUUUAUUAGACAUGGUUUCUGGGAGAAAAAUAAUUGAUAGAAAUAGUAACACUUUCCUAGUAAGGAAUUAAUUUACAUGUCCCACCAAUUAAUAUGUGAGAGAAAAAGAUAAGGUGAAUGAUGAAAGAGAGAGGAAAAAAAAAAUGAAAGAGAAUGGGAAGUUAGUUGUUUUCUUUUUCUUUUUGACAGCAAAGGGUAUUUUUGGAAAAUUGAACUUUCCAUAUCAUUCUUCUCAAUUUAUAGACUUUCUUUAGGUGUUGGGCUUAAAUAUGGAACUUACAUGGACCAUAUCUUAAUUUUUGGACCCAGUUGAGUCCAAAACACAAUUUUCCCUUUCUUUUUUAUUAAACAUAUACUUAAUUUUUUUUCUUCAAUUUAAGUAUUUUGAUAAUAUUAUUUUUUAUGAAUAUUGAUGGCAAAAUUCUAUCAUCUUUCUAAAAUAUUUAUUAGAUUCUAGUAGGAAAUCAACGUCAAAGUAGGCCCCUAACUAAAAGUCAAGAGAGCUUUAUGACCUUUCACAUUAGAAAAUAGUUGGAUUCAUGUAGAAAAGGCAAACCUUCCUUCCACACCCAGUGUAAUAUUCCAUUGUUUUUUCUAAUUUUAUUUUUCCCUCUAGUUCCAAUAUUUGUACAACCUCAUCCUUAUUUAGUUUAGCUCCUUUUCUAUGUAAUCUUUUUUUUGGUAUUUUACAACUUGAAUUUAUAGAAUAUCUUUUGUUCAAUAAUUUUUUUAAUUAAUUUUUAUGAAAAAUAUCAAUUUUUAUAGAUAUAUCGGUAAAUCCCUUUUACGAAUAUAUUAAAAUAUAUCAGAAAAAUAUUGAUAGAUAUUUUGAAAUAAAAAUAUGAAUAAGAAAAAAAUUAUUCAAAAUUCAUAAAAAUAUUUAAAAUAAUUAUAAAAAAUAAUAUAAAAAGUAAUAAUAAAUAUCUUGAUAUUGUUUUGUUAAAGAAAUGAAUAUAUGUAUAAUAUAAUUCAUAGUAUUUAAUAAAAUAUUGAUAAUUUUAUUUGUAAAUAUAAAAAGGCAUAUAUUAAUUUAUGCACAUGUAAUAUAUAUAUAUAACGUUAUAAUAUUAACAAAGUUAGCUUGGUGGCGUGGUGCUCACUCUAUGCCUGAGGUCAUGGUUUCUCAAACCCAUCCUUCCACAAUGAUUUAAAUCCCUUUUUAAAGGUAAGAGGUGGGAUCCCACAUCGGUCAGCCACAACACUUAAAAACCUGCUCAUAGACCCUUUGGCAGGUAGCAGUGUUUGAAUGCGUGUGGUUGGCUGGGCCGACGUACACGUAAAACUUCCAAAAGGGCAAUUUAUCUCUUUGCCGAGAUAUCCACCUACCGCGCCCUGGUCGGAGUAUGGAUAUUUUGAUUCAAAUAUCAUGAAAUUAUUUAAAAUAUAUAAAAAUAUUUUAAAAAAAAGUUCAAAAAAUAAUAAUAAUAAUAAUAAUAAAGGUAAGAGGUGGGAUCCCACAUCGGUCAGCCACAACACUUAAAAACCUGCUCAUAGACCCUUUGGCAGGUAGCAGUGUUUGAAUGCGUGUGGUUGGCUGGGCCGACGUACACGUAAAAUCUUCCAAAAGGGCAAUUUAUCUCUUUGCCGAGAUAUCCACCUACCGCGCCCUGGUCGGAGUAUGGAUAUUUUGAUUCAAAUAUCAUGAAAUUAUUUAAAAUAUAUAAAAAUAUUUUAAAAAAAAGUUCAAAAAAAAAAAAUAAUAAUAAUAAUAAUAAAAAUGACUUCAUUAUUUUUUUAUUUUAUAUUUUAGUAAAUUUUUUAAUAAAUUUAUACUUUUAAUAUUUAAAAAUAAAAUAUUUAAAAUUAAAUAAAAUUAAAAUGAUAAAUAUACAAAAUUUGAAAGUAAAGGGAUUAUAAUUUUUUAAAUAGAAUUAAUGAAAUAAAUGAUUAUAUAUUUAAUAUUAAAACUAUAAUUUAUUUAAUUUAAAUGCAUUUAAUAAUGUAAAAGAAAUGAUGAUGUAUUUAUAUUUUUUAUAUUUAAUUAUCAUUAUUAAGAAAAUUAUAAUAAUAGUUUUUAUACUUUUAUUAAAUAAUUAAAAAUUUUAAAAUAAAAUAAUUAGAAUUAAUUGAUUUAUUAUUUUAAUAAUAAACUUUAAGAUAUUUAAUGUGAAUAAACAUAUCAACUAAUAUAAAUUUGGCCCAGAGGGAGCAAGGCUCAUACCCAAGCCUUUUGCUUGGGUUCGAAUCCCUUUCGCACAAGAGUUGGUAGAAAAAUUUCCUCCAUUUCGGGGAAACACUCACCUUUUGGUGUGGAGUACUUUUAUGAUUUUGUUCAAUAUAAAAUUUUCCAAAAAAGUUUUCUGUUUCUUGUUUUCCUUACUUUUCCAAUUAUUUAAUUCUUUUUAAAUAUACCUUUGAGUCACUUCAAGGCAACAAUAAUCCAUGUAAUUAUUUUUAUUUUUUGUUUUUAUAAUGUGUAUGGCGUAGAGAUGGCAAGCAUGAUAAUGAGAAAUCUUAUGUUAAAAUUAAACUAUGCUUUUUUUUAGUAAUUGAUUAUCUACUUUGCCUUUCAUUUUGAUGUUUUACUUCUAAUAUAUAUGAUAUUUUAGUUUGGUGUUCCCCUUGGACUUUAAUUAUGGAGCUAAUUCUUAUAAUUAUUGGUAGAAAAUUUCUUAUGACCAUCAAGAAAUUUAAAGCUUGUUACAAAAAUUGAUAUGAAAGUAGGCUAUUAACAAAAGGUUAAUAGACCCCAAUGUUCUUUCACAUUAAAAGAUAGUGAAAUUUACGUAGAAUAAAUAACUAAUGUUACAAAAAUUUGUAUGAAGACAAUGUUAUUUAUAAAAGGUCAAUAGAAGUACUUUCACAUUGAAAGAUAGUGAAAUUUACAUAAAAAAAAGCAACCAAGCCUCGCAUGCGAAGUUUCAUUUUCACUUUUUCUUUUCUUUUCUAUUUUUAUGUUUUCCCCUUGGACAUUAUCUAUCUAUCUAUAUACAUGUAUACACCUCAUUUCCACAACUUUUUUUGCUUAACUUUCUUUUUCUUUUGUUAUUAGUAUUUAGUAACAAUGGGUCAAAUCAUUUGACAUUCAUUCCAAAGCCUUCCUUUUUGUUCUCAAAUUAUUCAAAGGAUGAUAUCAUAUAAGGAAUUCUUAAAUAGAGCUUGUAAAAAUUACAUCAAAUUUAUAAUUCGUUAAAAAAUAUAUAUAUCAUCUCCUUUUCUUUAACAUUUAUUCUUUAAUCAUUGUUGCAUAAUGAUAAAAUUGAAGUAAGUGCAAUUAUGCUUUAUUUGAUACUCAUAAGAAUUACAAAAUCUCUUCACCUCGAGAUAUUGAAGUCUAGGUAAGAAAAUAGAUGGAUAAAAGUGCGAUAUAAAACUUUUCUUCUUUUUCCUUUUCCCAUUUGAAAGGUGUUUGUGGUUGAAGGAAAAAAAUAUCAAGUGGUAUAACAAAAAUAUUGGAUUCGGGAAAAAACUCAUAUUAAAGGUCUUUGAUGACUAUCUUUUGCAUUUUGUUUUUUGCUUUUCUCCUUUCAAGUUCUAACAUACAACAACCAAUCUUCUCUUUUAGUAGUUGUCUUGAACUUUGAUGACAAUUGCGCAAAGCCUUUUACGAAAUUUGCUUGAAGGCAUACUACCAUCCAAAGUUCAAUAAACCAAGGAAAAUUGCAUGAAAAUAUUUCAUAUCAUUUCUUGAAAUUUAGAUCUUGGUAAGAAAUUGGUUUAAAGGUAAGCUACUAUCAAAGUUUGGAAAAUAGAAUGUCUUUCAUACUAUUUUUCAUGUUUAGGUAACAUGAAAAAAAUAAAUUUUUUUUUUCAUUUUUCUUUUGUUUUUCUUCUAUUGGCAUUCAUUGGUGACUAGUUAUAUACACAUAGUAUAAUUUUUAAAAGGAUUUCCUUUAAUUUUUUUUUUCCAAAAUAAUAUUUGAGGAACCUUGAUUAUACCAUUUUAUUAUAUUUUCUUCAGAAAAAAAAAUCUUUUAUGCAUGUUGUUCAUGUUAUAUAUGAUAAUUUAAUUAAAUUUUAGUUACAACUUUGAGCCGCUUGAAGCCCACAAAAUCCAUUUAAUAAUUUAUUUUUUUCAAAAUAUUUAUGUAGCUAGAGGUGCCAAAUAUAAAAACAAGAGAUCAAUGGAUAUGAAUACAAAAAUGGCUAAAAGUAUACAAUAGUUUUCCUAUGUAUUUACUUUCUAAUUUGGUAACUCUUUUGCACUCUCAUGAAAACUUUUAUGAAUCUUUGUGUCAAAUUUGUAUGAAGAUAAUCCAUAUACAUAUGUGUAUUAUAUAUCACUUAAUGAUAGUUGGUUUCAUAUGGAAAAAGCAAAUAUUGCCUCCUAAAGUUAUUAUUAUCGUAAUGUGAUAUUUCAUCUUCCAAUUUUAUUUUCAUCCCUUGGCAUUUAAUACUAUGCUAUUUAUAAUACUCUCUUCUUUCUUAAAACAUUGUUAUCAAAUUAUUCAAAAUAUGAUAUUGAAUUUAUGAAAUAGAUGCUUGUAAAAUUUAUGUCAAAUGAUAAUAUUUUUCAAGAAAAAAAAUGUUAUUUCCUUUUCUUUAAUAUUUAUCCUUUUGUCAUUACUACAAAGUAAGUGCAAUUAUCUUCAUCAUCUCUGAAAGUUUGAAUUCCAUAUGCAGUCAAUGUGGCAUAUAGAUGAUCAGGGAAAUUUCUGCGAGUAUCGCCGCCACCUCGAAAACUCAAGAACACAUCAUAAUUACGAGAAUUAGAAGUAGUAGAAGAAGAGGCUCUAUGCAUGCUGGAAGAAGCCAUUUUUUGGAUGACUUGAACCAAAAUUACAAGGGAGUUUGGAAUCCAAGAAAAAUCAGAGAGAGGGUCCUUGGAUGCUCAAUGAAUAUUGGCUCCAAACCUUUUCACACCAUGAACAAAAAUCCAAGACGAAAAGCUUCAUCUGCAGUCGUGAAAGGAAAAAAAAAAAGACAUCUAUAAAGCCUCUUUGACAAAUUUCUUUGUAUAUAAAUUCUAAGAGAAACACACAUAUUUUACCUUUUGUUUGGGGAAGAUUCUUACUCCAUUCCCUUUGUGUUGGAGACUGCAGUUAAGGGAUGUAGAGAAGAUGAUGGGGAAGAUGGUAUGGAGGAUAGGCAGGGGUUGAAGAAGGGGCUGUGGGUAGCAGAGGUCUCUUUGAUUAGUGGAUGGAAUGGAGGUAAGGAAUUCUAAUAUUUUGAAAUGAAGUUUCAUUGAAGGUGUUGUUUAUAGUUUUUGUUUCCAUAAUAUUUGUGCGGCAGCUAACGGACAUAAUUAUGAUAAUGAGAAAUCCCAAAUUAAGACUAAGUAAAGCUUUUCUUUUUAAUUAAUCAUAUACUUAAUUUUUGUCCUUCAAUUUCAUAUUCUAAUUGUAAUUUGUUUUAUUAUUGUUUUUUUUUGUCUUGUAUUUUGAUAAUGUUAUUUUUUAUAGAUAUUGAUGGGAAAAUUCUAUCGUUUUUCUAAGAAAUUUAUUAGAUUCUGGUAGGAAAUUGUCAAAGCAGGCUUCUAACUAAAAGUCAAUAGAGCUCUAAGACCUUUCACAUUAAGAAAUAGUUGGAUUCAUGUAGAAAAGGCAAACCUUCCCUCAACACCCAAUGUAAUAUUUUAUUAUUUUUCUAAUUUUAUUUAUUUUCCUCUCUAGGUCCAAUAUUUGUACAACUUCAUUCUUCUUUAAUUCCUUUUCUUUGUAAUAUUUAUUUUGAUAUUUUUACAACUUAAAUUUAUGGAAUGUCUUUACUUAAUAAUUUUUUUCUUUUAAUUUUUAUGAAAAAUAUCAUUUUUUUUUAUAGAUAUAUCAAUAAGUUGGUUUUACAAAUAUAUUAGGAUAUAUCAGGCAAUAUCGAUGGAUAUUCUAACACAAAAUAUCGAUAAAAUGGAAAUUAAUCAAAACUCAGAGAAAUAUUUAGAAUAAUUUUAAGAAAUGAAUAUAAAAAGUAAUAAUAAACAUUUCGACGUUGUUUUGUUAUAGAAAUCGAUAUAUGUAUGAUAUAAUCUAUAAUAUUCUCUCAUAAUAUUUAGAAUUUAAAAGUAAAUUUUAUAUAAAUAUAUCUAAUUUGGAUGUAUUUAAUGAUAUAAAAGAAAUUAUGAUAAAAUUAUUAGUACUUUUUAAAAAUAUCGAUAAUUUGAUUUAUAUAUAUACAAAAAAACAUAUAUUAAUUUUUGCAUAUAUAAUAUAAUUUAUAAUAUAUAUUAUAUUUAUAAUAUGAAUAUAUAAAAAAGAGAAUCUUAAUAUAAUAUACAUAAAUAAAUAUUGUAUAUAUAAGUCAUACAUGACAAGGCCUGCACAUGGAGCUCUUGGCCAUGGAUAUGGAGAGUUGGAACCUCUUGGUGUGUGCAUGCAAGGUUUUGAACCUACUGUGCUUGAAGAUUGGCAAUUGGAAAACCAUUCAAAUGGAUGUGCAAUAUAUAGAAAUAGAUGGCAGGAGAAAUUAAUGGCUUUUGACAUUUCCAUGAGGGGCCUUCUUUGAUACAAUGGAAUUAACUUGGCUAUGCAUAGUGAAGAAGACAGGCUCAACUGAUUCACCUUUCUUCAGAUAUGACCCCUUCAAUGAUGCUCACCAUCAUGACAUAGAGGGUAAUGGUAUGAUUUGUGCAUUUGUGGACUUUCUCCCCACAGAAUUUGCAAACAUGAGGCUUUUAGCUUGUUAAGUUAAUUGAUUCCUCCCAUGAAAGAGAACCCAGUUGUGAACUUGUUACAACUGGAGAAACCAACCUCAUUCUCUCUUGACAGUGAAACUUCUCAACCACACCACCUAACCCAGCCUUAGCUCAUUUCCUUCCACUUUCCAUAUGCAUGAAUUCCUUAUGGUGUGGCCACCUUCUUGGGCUUAAGAAGAGGAGUAGAAACUUCAUUUUUCAACCAGCUUGAUAUGAGUGGCCCUUUCAUUCACCACGUGGUGCAUUACUAGUCGUUCAACUAUAUCCAUGUAGGGCUACCUUUGGCAUGCAAUCCCAAAGGCCACCCGUUUUCAUCCUCUUAAUUCUUCAUCCUUGCUUUCAAACAUCAAUUUUCAAAAGUCCGAUUUUCAAAUAAUUUAAAUUUCACAACUUUUCAUUAUUCCUUAAAGUUUUAAAUCACCAAAAAUCCAAUUUUAAUAAACAUUCGUUGCCAUUUUCCCCCCGACAAGUAUCUUUCACAAAUUUCCUUGUUUUUUUAAACAGUUUUAUGAUUUUCUUGAUUUUUAAUAAACAUGAAUGAAUUUUUAUAAUUCCAAAGUAAUGGAAUUUAUGGAAUUAAUUCAUGCUAUAUUAAAUAAGGCAUUGGUGGGGCCCACCAUAUGAGACAUUCGUCAUUCGAUUAUUGAUUCUGAUUGCUAUAUUUGAUCGAAUAUUGAUUGAUUUUUGCCUUGAUCUGUGGUAUGCAUGCAAUUAUUCUGUACUUGUCCACUAACCUUGUUUCCAUGAUAGCACAUUAUUGAUUCAUUGCUCAAGUAUGCAUCCUAUCUUCUCUUAUUUGCUUGGUCACUUUCCAUUGCUAUUUUGGCCAUAAUACAUCUUUGAUCAUUGUUUGAUAUCCACGAUUAAUCGAUCAAUUGUCACACUUGUCUUUGCUUAUUUAGUAAAGACCCAUUUUUAAGGGCUUAGAAGGGUGCUACAACUUAUUAUCAUACCUUUCCGAUAUGUAACUUAACCCUCGGGCCCAACUUGAUUUUUCAUAGACCUGUUUUUCCUUUUUAAGAGUCACACUUAGAGUUUUUUUUUUUCUUAUUUUUUUCCCUUUAAAAAUAAAACAAAAAUAAGUGGCGACUUCGAAAACAAAUUUUCAAGUGUGGAAUGCAUGUGAGAAAUGUGGGGUCUACAAAAUAGCGACUCCAUUGGGGAUCACUAGAGGGUUAAGCUUGAACUUAGGUUGAGACAAAUGUGACGUUUGAUUGGUUGAUCAGUGGGUACCCUUCUCUCUUUGUGCUUUUGUAUGCUUGAGUGUUGAUAGCACAUUAAGAGCUUUGAUAUGAUUAUCCUUGAUGCAUGUUUGGCUAUUGUGUUCAUUUGAAGCAUUGACAUGCUGAUUAUAUUGAUUGAUCCUCUUGUUUGUCCUCACAUAUUGUAUUUUCUUGUUGUAUGAUUACUCUACUCACCAUGACUUGUAUAUUCUUAUUGUUGCUUAUCUCGUUCAUUAUGGUAUCUUGAUUUUUUUUUUCUGCUAUAUACUAUCUAGAUCACCUUUGAGCAUGCUAUUCAUUUUUAUUGGAUACUCAUCUCAUCUAUCAUGUUUCUAGCUUCGCUUGCACAUAGAUUUGGAUUAUAUAUACCUGUUUUGCAUGACUGCUUGGAGCAUGAUUGCUUUUCUUCUGUGUGAUGCAUGUGUUGCUUGUUUGUGUGAGGCACACACUUAUCCUCUUAUCUCCAAUUCCCUAGUUUUGGUUGAACUUGUUUCCCUGGAUCUCGUAUUUCAUAUGACACUUCUUAUCUUGUUUGCUCUUUGAUUGAGCUAGUGAUUUGGAGUAAGGUCUAGUGAUGGACUACAUAUAUCUAUGUUUGAGAGCAUUUUGGAGAUGACCAACACAUUGAUGCCAAUUGGAGUCCGACCUUUGAAGAAUUGUAUAAGAGCUAGAUUUUAGGAUAUUUGUGUAGCUAGUGUGUUUUCUUCUUAGUUGGAUAGGAUUUUUGGAUGCAACCACACCAUUCACUGUGCCCUUUAUAUCACCAUUGAGCGCUAAGAGAUGCAAGAACCUUCAUAAUUAGGAAACCUCCUGGGAUGGGAGGUAAUGCAUGUGUGGAGGUGAUGACCACCUUGCAUCGAAGCACCCCAUCUCUUUGAAGGCGUGCAGAGGGUUGCAUACUGCAGGAGUGUAUGAUUGCUUCUGCUAGGAACCCUUUAAAGCCUACCUUUCUCUUUUUAGAGCCACCUUCACCUUAUAGGAUGAGCUUAGAUCAUUUUAUUAGGAUUCCUUAUUGACACAUGGGUGCAUUUGAGAGCCUUCAGGGCGCGUUUUAGUUACCACCUAGACCCAGUGCUUUCUUAUUUUGUUUCUAAUUGAGAGUGCUUAGAGAUUAGUACGAGUUUGAGUAUCUGUUGGAUUACCUUUUGCCUUGUUGCAUUAGAUUCUUUCUCCUAUUUGAUGAGUUUAGCUUGCUUUCUCCCUAAGGCUUUCCUCUCUCUUUCUUGGUUUGGUACAUCCUUUCACUUUGCUAUCACUUGCUUAAUGCUUUGGGAUAUGUUCGUUGAUCAUGAUCACCUUUUUACACCGUACACCUAUCAUGGGCCUAGUACCCCAUUCUUUGUUCAAUUCUUGAUUCAACUUUCAACUCGAUGUUCACAUUUUCAUUAUGGAAAGGUGAAAGGCAUGUUUUCACAUUCAUAUUUUUUUAAGGGAUUUGCCUUGAUCACCUUAUUAUUUUUCUUCGUGGAGCUUGGAUUGAAAGUUGAGUCAAGGAUACAUAGUUACAGAUGGAGUAUCAAUCUCAUGCUAGUGUGUUUUUCACACUUUUUUAUUUUUAUUUUAUUUUUUUAUCUUGGAUUAUUGAUAUGAAUUCUCUAGUCACAUUUGUAGCCAUCUCAUAGUGGAUACCUUUUUUUACUCCAAAGUUCUCGUCAUACAUCCAAAUUUUAGAUUGCCAUCACUAAACCAUGUAUACCAGGCAUGUGUCAUACUUUUGACUAUAAGAAAUCUUUCACUUAUAUAUCAUGAUCACUUAGACCUAACCCAUCAUGGAGGAUUUUGAGCUUGUUGACCUAGGACCAGGAGAUUGGCCUAAAGAGUUCAAGACUAUGACCUAUCCCACUUCCUAAUUAGAGCAGUACCAUAUCCACAUCUAUACCUUGACCUUUUGGACUUCAUGACCUAUCCAUGAUGAGUUUUGUAUAGUAUUCUUCCUUUGAUACCAUUGCAUGACCCUUUCUUCCCCAAGUAUCCUAACCUAGUACAUUCCUUCGUUGAUUCAACCAAGUAUGGUUUGAGAUGAUUAGACUUAUGGUGGGCUUUGCAUUAUGAUGAGGGAGUUAUGGCGAGAGAUCGAUUUGAUUGCUUUAUAAGUUUGUUGACCAUUCUGCGGUUGAGAUGAGUAGAGAUACCAUUACAAAGCAUCCAGAUCUUAGCCAUUGCAAAUGAUUUCAAAGAGUUGGGAUGACUAGAGAUGAUGAUUUUAUGAGAUGAUGAGUGUUUUGUGAUGAAACAUGGGUUGGUCGCUUGAUGAGAUUGUUGACUAUCCUAUGUUUGAGAUGGACAAAAAGGUUGCACAAAGCAUUUGGAGUCAAUUUUCACAUGAUUAUAAAGGGGUUGGCAUGGCUGUGUUGGAUGGAUAUUGAUAUUUAGUGUUGACCAUGUGAGAUCAUGAGGGCAAGAUGUUUGAGGUUUUGGUCAAAGGAUGGGCCAUCGUUUCAUGAUCCUAUUUACUUGAUCACCCUUAUAUAUGGAGUUACCCGUUGCAAGCCCUUUGAGUCUCACACAAAUAUUAUAACAUUUUUUGUCUCAUCACCUGAUUUACCUUUUGCGUCGGGUUAGGGGCCCUAUAGUGCUUCCAUGCUUUGAUUAGAUAUCUCAUGAGUUCUAGACUUGAUAGACAUAUUUAGUCUUCAUCUAUCACUCUUCAUUGUGAUAUUUUCCACUUUGACAUCGUCUCAUCACUUUUUUCGAUAUCACAUAUCACCACUUGUGAUGUACAUCAUCUUUCUUUUCCCUUAUCAUUGCUUAUUUUGACAUUCUCUUUGCUUAACCUAGAGUGUUGGUUUUCCACACACCAUUGCAUGGAAGACGGUCACAUCCUUCCCCUAGUUCACCUCAUGGGCAGUGGUUUAGAGAUCUUAGUUUGAGAGGUUGUCUUGUUAGUAAGGAUUCAUGUUACAUUAGUAUGUGGGGAGAGUUUGAUCAUUUGUGGUAUGCGUUUUCAUUGAAGAUUGCCCAUUAUUGAUUAGAGUAUGCAAAAAAAAAAAAAAAAAAAAAAAAUAGAGUGCAUUGUUCAUUGUACCAUUCUCCAUUGAGCACAUGUAUAGACGUGUCGGUUUACUUCAUUAGGUUCAUAUGUCAGUGAGAGUUCAUAUGUGAGCUCUUAGAGAUUUUCCUUUUACUCAAUCCUAUCUUUGCAUGUAUUUCUAGGUGAGAGUAUGAGUCGCUUAUUCGAUUUUUUUGAGAGAGUUGAGCAACCUUUCUUUAGGAUCUCUGGAUCUUUGCCCUAUUCAUCACUACAUCCAUUAUUUUAUGUGACUUGUCUCCAUGCUUUGAUGUGGAUUGAUCGGUACUCAUAUAUAUAUAUAUAUAUAUAUAUAUAUUUUCUGAUUGAUUUCAUUUUGUUACUCUCUUUGACUCUGUUAUAUUUGCUUAUUCUUUCUUUUCUUAUCUCGCUUGAUGUUGGAUUUGGAUUUAACAUUCACAUACUUUUGUUCAUCUUGUGGAUAUUGAUGUUCAUUCCUUUAUCAUGUGAGAGCCUCUAGGUCCAUCACUCAUGAGGUUUUCUAUGCAUUACAUCUUAUGCAUAAGGGAUAUGGGGAUUGUAUCAUUAGGAUUAUUUGAGCCUAGUUUCCUCUCGUUUCUUUCACCCUAUUACCUUAGCCUACGUUAUGUCUCAUGUCUUAAGACCACCUUGAGAUUAUGACUUCACACAUUGUGUUUGAUUGCUCACACAUGGAUGAUUCUUGAGUUUGGUUGGAGAUUUUUGCUUGGAGCAUGAUGGAUGAGGAGCUAUGAUAUGAUUUACAUUAGAGCAUACCCUUCUUAUCAGUGGUGGAUAUUUGGGAUGAUGUGAUCUACACUAGGGCAUACCCCACUCAUCGGUGAUAAAUUUUUUGAGAUGAUGCCUUACAUUGGGGCAUAGCCAAUUUGCAUCUUCACUUGGAUUAUGACAGAUUAGUAGUUAUGGCAUGACCCUACAUUGGGGCAUAACCAUUUCAGAGAGCACUUUUAUUAAAGAUAUACUCAUUCUACUUGAUAUUCUACAUUGGAAUACAUUUCUCUCAUCAAUGGUUGAUUUUUGAGAUGACGGUUUAUUUUGAGACAGUUGCUUGAGAGAUUGUGCAUGGUAGACAUAACCACCUUAUUUCCUUCUUGUGGAGCAUGGGGUGAUUAGGGUCUGUUGAAAUUAUAUUGGUGUAUUCAUUUUCAGCAUUGAAGGAUGAGUUUAACUUUGUUCUGAUGACCCAUACUGAGACAUAACCCUCUCAUUGGCGAUGUAGUUUGAUUUGUCUUAAAGCAUAGCCACUUCAAAUAGUUUAUAUCGAGGCCGACUACUUCAUUCAUUCUCAUGGAGUAUGUGGAUCGGAAGUCUUUGGAUCAUGUUAAGAUGUUUUCAUUUUCAGCAGUGGGAGUUGAGAUUAAUUGAUUUGUUAACAAACACUAGAACAUGGUUUCUCUUAGUAGUUGUUGAUUUGGAUACACUACUUUAUACUAGGGCAUAGCCGUGAUGGAGAGUAUUUUUCAUUAAAGCAUAGCCACCCUAUUGAAUCCUUUACAUUAGGACAUAUCCAUCUUUUGGAGCGAGAUUAGAUUGAUUCUUUAUGUUAGAGCAUCUAGAAAGUGAUAUGGAGAUAUUUGGAUUGUUCCAUGUUGUCCUCAUUGUAUAUAGGGGCAUAGCCAUAUUAGAGGACAUCAUUUUAUAUUGGGGCAUAGCCACUUUGCUGUUCGACAUUGAGAUUUGACUUUCUGUUUAUGAUUACUACUUUCGAUGGAUUAUGGAGCUAUUGACACCUUAGGUUUUUUUCUUUUCGGCAUACUUGGAUGAACUCGGAACCUACCUACCUUUCAUUUCAUACUCAGAUAUUUCACCCUUGAUACUUUCAUGUUUUACUGUCUUACUAGAGCCUAAUCAUUACCUUCUUUUGGCUCACACAUUUCACCAUGACAUAUGACCUCACACCUUACUCUCUAGAUUAGAGGAGGAUGUAGAAUAGUCCUUGACUUCUCUAGUUGAGCUCUCAUACAUAUUUUGGACUUUAAGUUCAACAUCUUACAUGAUGGUAGGACCUGACAGAUUACCGAUUUAUUAGUGAUGAUGUUUUCAUUUCUGACAGUUGACAUGUUGAGUUUUGAUUUACUUACACUAUACAUGUUAAGUAUUAGCCACCAUUAUUUUUGUCCACCAAUCAGUUUCAUUUUUUUGGUGUGGUAUCAUCAUGCAUGACCCCAUUUGGCAUUCGCAUUUGAGGUUAGACAUCUUCAUUACAUGGUUGAUGAGCAUAUUCUAGAGUACAGUAGUUUUAUGGCAUUCAUAUCUUAGUUUGUUCACUAUCACAUGCUUGGGCAUACCCCCUUCUUUGAGAUCAUCAAACUUUUCACAAGCUUCAUUGCUUUUUGAUCUAGUUGUUAACCUUGUAAGUUGCAUACUGGGAACCUUUCAUAAGCUUCAUUACCUUUUGACUUAGUUGUUGACCCUGCGAGCUGCAUACUAGGGCAUACCCCUUUCUUUGAGAUUAUCAAACCUUUAGUAGAUUGCAUUGCCUUUUGACCUGGUUGUCAAUCCUUAUGAGUUGUCAUACUGAGGCAUAUCCCCUUAUGUCGAGUUUGUUUGCAUCGUUAUCUCAAUUAUGCUUUGCUUUUAAGCCACCUGAUUAGAUCAUUAUCAUAUCAGUAUUGUUUUGCUUUGGUGUAGACCACACCCAUAUUGAUCAACCAUCUUCUUAUUAGUCUAUGGCAGUUUAUGUUGGGACUGCACCUAUAUCGAUCAAUCAUUAUCUUGCUAGUUUGAGUUUUUAGAACUGUACCUACAUUGAUCAGUCAUUCUAUGCUAGUUUGAGUUGAGAUUACACCUAUAUUGAUCAGUCAUUGUCUUAUCAGUUUUAGUUUGACUUUUUGGGUUGCACUUAUAUCGAUUGAUCAUCUUCCUAUCAGUUUGAGUUUUUGAGACCGCACUUAUAUCAAUCAGUCAUUAUAUUGUCAGUUUGAGUUUUCAAGACCACACCUAUAUUGAUCAAUCAUUGUCUUGUCAAAUUGAAUUUGAGUUUUUGGGUUGCACCUAUAUUGAUCAACCAUCUUCUUAUCAAUUUGAGUUUAGUUUGAGUUUUUGGGACCAUACAUAUAUUGAUCGCUCAUUAUCUUGUCAGUUUGAGUUUUCAAGACCACACCUAUAUCGAUUAGUCAUUGCUAUGUCAGUUUGAGUUCAAUUUGAGUUUUUGGGACCUUACCUAUAUCGAUCGAUCAUUUUCUUAUCCAUUUGAAUUUUUAGGACUGCACUUAUAUUGAUCAGUCAUUUCUAUGUCAGUUUGAGUUAGGACUAUACUUAUAUCAAUUGGUCAUUUUCUUGUCAAUUUGAGUUUGAGUUUGAGUUUUGGGGCAGCACCUAUAUCGAUUGACCAUUUUCCGAUCAGUUUAAGUUCAGUUUGAGUUUUAGGUACAUCACCUAUAUCAAUUGGUCAUUUCUAUGUCAGUUGAGUUUGAGUUGGGAUCACACCUGUAUCGAUCAGUCAGCUUAGUUUUGAGUCUUGUUCGACUUUGAGCUGCGCCUAUCCUUUCAAGUUUCUUCGGCUUUGAAUCGCGCCUUAGUUUUGAGUCUGGUCAUCCUUAAGUAACACUUUCUUCUUCCUUUGAGUUCUUUUUUUGUUUGUUGAUCACUUCUUAUCUUGGUCAUCCUUGUGUUGUUCAUUGUAUCACAAUCUGGUGCUAUUCAUUGCAUAUGCACUCCUCACAUUAUCUGUAUCUUUAUGCUGAGCUUGUUCCCCCUUAUCUGACCUCGAUCUUGAGCUUAUUGUGUUGUGUCAGGAUCAAAAUUUGAGAUCUUUUCUAUUUUUUGGUACAGUUCACUUUGUUCCAUUCAUCUCUCACGUAUUCGUAAUCCAUUCAUUACACUUAUAAUCUUUAUCGAAGAGGAACAUAUUUAUAGACUCCUGAUUUUGGAUCUUGGGAGAGGCUUUUUUUUUUUAAAACACUUUUUUUUUACCACUUUCUAAAGGCUUCCAAAAGCCAACUGGAGAGUGUGAGCUGUCAAGAAAGUGAGUGGAGUAGUGGUGGUUUUCUUGGAGCCGCAGUUUGGCUAGGACAGGGGGAUAUUCUAUAGUAUGGUGACACGUAGCAGAGGUGCAGGAGGUUGCUUUUUGGUAGCUGUUUUUAGAGAGGCUUGGAGGAGCAACGAGAGUGAGGUGGGUUUUUUGGGAAAGAGAGCGAAGGAUGUUUUGGAGAGGGGAAGGAGUACAGAAGAAAACGAGCAGAGUGUAGAGGAGUAUUCGAGGGGACUGUCUCAGGUAGCAGAGACUGUUGGUUUGAGAUUGUGAGAGAUGGUGAGCUGAGCUUAGACAAAGAGAGCUGAGAAAAAGCUGUGAAAUAGAGGAAAAACUAAGAAGAAAGGUAGGGAGCUGUAGAGGGAGGUGGGCUGGGUGAAAUACGUUUGAGGAGAGGAAUACUAAGUAAGAGGGAGUUAGAGCAAAGGAGAAGAAGCUGAGAGAGAUCUUGCUGAUUCGUGGGAAGGAAAGUAGAGCUUGAAGCCAAGCAACUCUUUGCUUGAGGAAAGCUUUCCAGGUAUGCCUACUCUGAGCUUCUUGUCUCUCAUUUUCACGCUAUUUUUCUCUUAUUUUCUGCUGUUUUUCUGGACUUCUUCUUAUUGAUUGGUGUAGACAUGAAGAGUUAUUUGAUUGUUUUUGGCUGAAUUUGAUCCUUUGUAUACAUGCUCUGUUUUGGGUUUUCUUUGCUUUCCCCUGUACAAGACUAAUGCAUGGAUUUAUUUCUGAACUUGAUAUCAUGGCUCUUGUUCCCCGAUAAUUCCACCUGUUUUUAACCCAUGGAUGCUACCUGAAAUGAGGCUCUAUACGUUCAUGUUUUGCUUGAUUUCUUAUUUGCUCUUCCCUCAGUAUUUACUCUGGCUCCUAUCCUCGCUUUUUAUUCCUCUGUUUCUGGUAAGUUGGGGUGCUGGGCAUCUAAGCUUGGGUUGUCCAUCUUGAUUGGGAUUUUUUCUGGGAGAGCCUCUUGAGGGCAAAUUCUAUACAAAUGGGUAUUUCUGGAUACCUGUGAGCCAUGUGGUCCACAUUGAAAUGCCUAAGGAUGCAAUGGAGGGAUACAGAUGAGGAUAAGUAAAUCUCUACUUGAUGCUCUGGACACGGGUAAGGCAAUCAUGUAGAAUGGGGUACUGUCGUCUAUGAAUCUUUCACUGUGGGCAUGGGUGGAAUUCCUCAUGCACUAGGGUUACAGUGCUUGCAAGUUUGUGAUAGCAAGGUGGAUAAGGGUGUUUGCAGUUAUGCAGGGAAGUUGGAUGAGGAUCUAUCAUGCAUUCAUUCUUGUUAGAGAACUCUUGAAAGAUGGGAAUUGGAAAAAUGGAAAGUUUCAUGGGGAGUGGAUUUUUGUGUCUUGGAAGAUUAUGAUAGAUAGGUAUUUCAGAAAUGGAUGUAUCAAGGAGGCAUUAACAGUUUUUGGUUUAAUGGUGAAAAUGAUGAUAGUGAUUAUUGAAAAUCUGGGGUUCUUACCCCAAGGAACCCCAGAGAAGACAAAGACCCUACUUCUGCAGAGCUUGAGCAUAAUUUUCUUGACACCAACCUUAAUCCAGCAGUUUAGAAGCGGGUUCUCCAAAUAACAACUUAGGUUUGAGCUGAAUCAAUUGAAAGAGGAAUCAAUUAUGGUUGAAUGGUGGGGAUUAUAAUUUAAAAGAAGACCUCUCAGAAACACAAGCAUGCUUACCCAAAGUUUUAUUUAGUUCCAAUGGUGAAGAUCUCAUUCUGAAGGCUAACACUCAGCUUACGAGUGAGCCACAUAUGUCGCAUGACAAUCAGAGCACAGGGUUUUCAAAUUCCAAUGCAUUCUUUCGGGUUCGGGACGGAUAAUGGGCUUUCAGAAAUUACAAGGAAAAGACAAUAUUUUAUGGACGCUCUGCCUGUUUUGCUUGGCCUAGAUCCCUCUAUUUUCGUAUUGCCGAGGGGUCUUCCUCACACACCCAUCCGAAUGGUUUUCCAAUUGCCAAUCUUUAACCAUAGUAGGUUCAAAACCUUGCAUGCAUUCACCAAGAGGUUCCGGGUCUCCAUAUCCAUGGCCAAGAGCUCCAUGUGCAGGCCCUGUCAGUAGUGAAGUUCUGAUGAUUAUGAGUCAAGUAACCCUUGCUUAGAAUCAGUCACAUGGAAGUCAUACUCUCAUGAGUGCACAUCAACAAACAAGCAUGAUCACAACUGAUUGAAGGGAGAAUCAAUCGAAAUUUUUGUCUUAACAGAUGCUUAGUUUUUGAGGAAAGGCUAAAGGUGUCAAAAGAUGAACUAUUGAUUUCUGGAAGAAAGGGUCAUUCCGGUGGUGAUAGUGAAUCCCCUGAUAGCCAGAUGGAUGUGCAACAUACAGAAAUAGAUGGCAGGAGAAAUUAAUGGCUUUUGACAAUUCCAUGAGGGUCUUUCUUUGAUACAAUGGAAUUAACCUGGCUAUGCAUAGUGAAGAAGAAAGGCUCAACUGAUUCAAAUAGACUUAUAACAAAUAGACUAAUUAGAGUAUUAUUUUUUGAAGCUUUAUCACACAGCUUUCUAUAUAACAAAAAAGGAAGUAUUUUGAAAACUUGCUACAAAGCCUCCAUCCUCAUAAUUCGAUUCGGAAGGUUUAUUGAAUUAAACUCUCCCUAAAGCGUUUCGAGUGUGCCCACAAUUUCUGACGAUCAGGAAGAUUUUCUUUGAUCACUGGAACCUGCUUAAAAUUCUGAAUCCAUGCUUGCAAUCGAGGGAACGUGGUGGAAUUCAGCAAUUUUGUGCCUACGGCUUCUUCUAUGCCCUCAAACCAGUAAGCCAGCCAACCAAAUGCUAUGUCCACCAGUCCUAUAGCUUCCCCUCCGAAAAACUUCUUAUCCCCAAGGCUUUGCUCUUCUAUGAUUUUCAGUAUUUCCACUGUUUCUUUUAUGGCCUUCUCUUGCUCUUCCCCAGCAGCAGAUUUAAAGAAUUGAAAAAAAGUGGCAUUCUAGAAGAAAUUAAGCAACAAGUAUAUAUAUUUAGAAUGAACUGUUGAAAAACAACAGUAAGGUGAUCUCAAAUAUCAAUAAAAAUUGAAGUUAAUUAUUAAAUUAAUUAAAAGAGGAAAAAAAAAGAUUUAAAAAGCCUACAAAUUCUUUUCAUUUUAAUCAUAGGUAUUAAUCGAAGAUUUCAAUUUAAUUCAUCUUUCCCCUCCUAAUUCCUUACUGCAAGACCUAGACAGGGUUAGAGAAAUUUGAUAGAGUUAAAGAAUGCUUAAAAGUAUCAUGGCUUAUUUUGUCUGAUCACUUAAAUAAAAUUCUACAUAUAGCUUAGGAAUUUAUUAGUGAAUACUUUCACAAAUGACUGAAAACAAGAAAUGGGUUAUGAAAGCUAGAUGGAGAGCUUUCAAAUAUUUCAGGUCUGUAAAAGAUUCGGAAAUUAAAUCAUAGGAAUUGAUAAUGAAAGCAAGAUUAGUGAGUUAAACCUACCUUUGAUUCUCCAAAAUUGAUCCAAAACCGAGCCAUGGCUCUCUCAUAAGCAUCUGUCGGCAGCAGUGGAUUCUCCGGCCAUGUUUCUUCAAUGUAUUCGAGGAUUACAAGGGACUCGGCUACUGCUCUGUCACCAUGAAGAAGCACCGGAACCUUCUUGUGAACUGGAUUGUGGUGUAACAACAACUGGCUCUUGCUACGAAGGUCUUCCUCAAUAUACUCAUAGUUUAUGCCCUUGAGUUUUAGGGUCCAUAUCACCCUGUAAGCAAAAGAGCUUGCCCAAAACCCUAAUAGCUUCACUCCUGCCAUUGUUUUCUAUUAUGCCAGCUCAAUUUGCUUGGGGAUGAGUUUCAAAUCUUUAAACUUGGAGGAAGAUGUGAUCCUUUCUCUUCAACCAAGGAUUUCAGCCUGUGUAAGGAGGAUUAUUCAUUUAAUUAGAUCUGUAAUAAUAUUUAUGUAUGAAGGGGUAUUUUCAAAUUAAGAAUCUUCACAAUGCCCUUAGCUAAGACUAUAUUAAUUGUUAUUAUUUUCUAUUAACAUGAAAAAGAAAAAAGAUAUAUUGACUAGUGACUCUUAAAGGUCAAUGAGUUAGGUAGAUUUUUAUUUCUGCCACUAAUAUAACAUUGCAGGUAGGUCCAUUCCUGGUUAUAAAUAUCCAAUUAGAAGAAGCUCUACCUUUUUCAUGGAAACGACAAAAAGGAAGAUUGAAAAAUCAAAGAAGUAACAUCAAGUGUUUAUAAAGCAUCAAUCAUUUCACUUGGACAAGAUGUUAAUUGCCAGAGUCGGUCAAUAGAAGAUAAGAUCUAGGAUGAAGACCCCGAAUAAGAAAGAAAAGGUGUGAGAAAAUUUAUGUAACAAUUAUUUCGAAUUCUAAAGCAAGUUUAGCAAUGAAAUAACUCCCUUAUAACCAUCAAUAUAUAUAUAUAUCAAUCGGGUGGUACAUUAGGUCAGAGUACUCACCAGCUCACAUCACCCAAGUCAAUGAAAUCCAAUACCUCAAUCUUAGUUCAACUAAAUAUACCUUCAUGAUUGGCUUAAGUAUGGGUAGCAUAUUGUUAUGAACUUUAAUGUAUAUUCCUUUAUUAUCUCCUAAAGGUUAGGAUUAGAUAAUUAUUUUAAUCUCCUCUCAUUUAUUUCCUUCGUAUAUAUGUAACUACUCUUCAAAUGAAUAAGAUGAGCCAUUAUUCCAUACUUUGUUAUAUGGCAUUAGAGCUCUUUCUACUCUUAUUGAGUUUCUUAAUUUGCCAUGGCUAACAUUUCUAUCACUAAUACUUCAAACUCAUCUAAUUUAGAUUUGUUAGCUUUUGUACCCAAUGUUUCAACUUCCAUUAUUAGCUCCUCAACUAGUUUCAUUUCCAUCAAUGUCAAUGCCAAACUUCUUUAAAAUUAACUUUUCAUAAUUAUUCUUCAUGGCAUGUCUAAUUUUAUGCAAUUCUCUUUUGCUAUAACCUUUUCGGAUAUGUAGAUGACUCUCUAUUGUGUCUUCCUAUUUUUGAGGCUUCUUCUCAUUCUUUUAGGCCAUGCCAAGAUCAACUCAUUUUUCAUGCAUUUUUGCCCCACUUUCAAAAUCUAUCAUGCCGCUCAUAAUUGCCUCAACCAAAACUUCAUGAAGCAUAGUUAAAAUUUACCAAACUUUAUGUUGGUCACUCUUAAAGUCACAUCCUUCAAUCCAAAGGAAAAAUUUCCUCAAGCACCCCUAGAGAAAAAAUUUUCUUAGAGUUUUUACAAAUAUUCAAAAGCCUUUGCGAUCAACUCACCCUUUGUCAUUCAACUUUGGAUGAAGAAGAUUUGUUUGUACACUCUCCGAAUGGAAUGGGAAAAAGAAUAAAAGGAAGUUGUUGUUGCCAUUCAAUCUAAAGAAAUUCCCAUUUCAUUGGAAGAACUUUAUCAUCAACUCAUAGAUCAUGAAGAGUUUAUGCAACAAGACUCUCUUAGCUCUGAAUUUGUUCCUAUGUCUACAAACCUAACUUGCUAUCAUAAACAAUCUCAUAUGUACUAGAAACUUCUAUUCUCCUUUGUUUUGCCUUAUUGAAAAACCUAGUUCAUAUCCGAAUUAUCUCACCAAUCAACCAUCAAAAUGAAAGCAAUCCAACCUAAAUCCUAAUGUCUGCCAAUAUUGUGAAAACUGAGUUUAGAUUGCCAAGAAUUGUUUGAAGCUCUUCCCUAAUCAACAUCUUUUCCAUGCCAGUACCAACUAUAGUAUCCCAUACCUCAUGAAUACCUUUCCUUAACUUAUUGAUUCAAGCACUUCGCACCAUGUUAUUAUUGAUUUAAGUAAUUUGGCCUUGCAUUUUGAACGUGAGAGUUAUGAUGAUACAGUCCUUAGUGAUGGUGAAGAUCUCGAUGACACACACUGUUAUGCUAAUUUCUCAAUUCUUUAUUUUACCAAAACCUUCCCUUUACAAAUGAUCUUUGUAUCACAUCAAUGCAAUUGUUUCUAAAUUUUGUUUAUCUCAAAAUUCUUCCAUUGAAAAUUUUUCCUUCAUAUUUUUACGUUAAGUAUCUUCAAAUGAUAGCACUACUAUUGCAAGGGUUAGGAUAAAGAUGGUGUUUACGAAUGCCACAACUUACAUAUGCUCUUAGAAAUUGCAUUCAUGCUCUUGGCACACUCAAGGAACCUUAGGUUUUCCAUUAAUAAUUGGGUCAUCUAUAGAAGCUCUUUAGAAGAUGACAAGAAAAAUUGAAACCCUAACCCCUAAUAGGGGUAUUUAUAGGGCUCCUUAUGAGCUGAAGUGAUUUCAGCUUAAAAUGGGCUUAGGUCCUAAUUAAUUAAUUAACUUUAAUGGGAUCUAAUUAAUUAAUUAGUCCUUACCAGAAAGAUAAUUCAUAAGAUCUAGUGCAACCUUACAUUUUGAUUAAAACACCCUUAUACACACUUAUGAAUCAAAACUCAAAUCCCUUAAAAUAAACGUGUACCUUUAUAAAAUAGAAACUCAAGCGUGGACCAUUGGGACCCAUAGGAAAAUAUUAGUUCCUUUAUAAUUUAAUUCUAAAGUUGAUUCAAUACUCCACUAAAGAUCAUCAAUUGCACUCUAAUAUUAUAAUAGCAUAGCUCAGGUUCAUGCCUUACCAUCCAUAGCAUGCAGACUCCUUAUGACUUGGUGUCUAUAAUCUAACAUGGUAUUGCUAUCAUCUUUAAGAUUACCUCUCCAAUCCUUCUGUUAUAGAUCCCACUUAUUAUGUGAUCAAUUAACAUACUUUAACUCCAAGGAACAUAUGUCAAAUUUCUACUGAAGGAAAUGAUCUGACCAUAGGCUUCUAAAUCACAUGUUCUUUGGAUCACUUAAGAAGAGACACUAUCUCAAUUUAAUGAGAAAUUGUGGUGCCUCUAUUGAGAAUAUCUAUUGCCAUUAGGCUUCAUCAAUAGUAACCCAAUUCAUAGGGACAUAUGGUCACUUUAAGAUCUCACCCAUAAGUCAACGUCUCCUAUUGAUUUUGGCACAGACUUAACACCUUCUCAAGGUUGAGAGUCCAUGUAGUAUAAUAGCUUAGUGAAUUGUGAUAACCGAUAGCCUUAUGUCAUGAUUCACUAUAGGUCAUGUCCAAUGUGCAUCACAUACACUAUUGCACUCACUAUGAGAAAAUCAUCCCAAUGACCAAGAUAAGUCAUUCCUUUAAUUACGAGAUAGUGCAUUACAGUCUCAAAUGAAUUGCCUAAAUCUAUGAACCAACUGUGAAUUACUCAUCACUCUACAAGGUACCCAUGACUUGGAUCUUCAAUGCAGUUCCUAAUGCGCCCAAGUCAUGUGCAAUGCAAGUAAUGUGGGUAUGUAUGUUUAGAUAACCAAUUAAUGCUCAUGUAACUAAAAAACAUAGAUAAAUAAUUUUAUAAAUGAAUCUCAAUUUGUUAGAUCAUUUCAUUUUUUCUAAGGCUUAAUCCUAGCAAUAUAUUCCUUAUGAAUUUGGUCACUAAUGAUGGAGGUUAGUUGUAAUAGAUAUCUUCAAUAAAGACACCAUGAUAUCUCAUGGUAUUGAGACAAUGGGUCUUCUUAAAACUAAAGUUGCAGUAAUUUCUUAAGUGGAAUUUGACAUAUAUUCUUUAUGAGUUAAAGUAUGUUAAUUGAUCACAUAAUAGGGGGAUCUGUAACUCAAGAAUUGAAAAGGUAAUCUUGAGAGGUUGAUAGCACAUAUCUCCUUGAUUACAAAUACCAAUUCACACAGUCUAUGUGCAAUGGGUAGUAGGUUAAAGACCCAAGCUUUAUCUCAUUAUAAUAUCAUUGGAUACUAGAGUGUAGUUAGCUCUCUUUAGUAGAGUGUUUAGUAAUUUCAUAAUUAGAUUAUGAGGGAACCAAUAUUUUCUUAUGGGUCCCAAUGGUUCCUGUUUCAGCUCUUGAUUCAUGUUGGCAUGUUUGAUUGAGAGAAUUAUGGGUUUUUAAUUCCUAAGUGUGCAUAGGGGCAUUUUGAUAAAAAUAUAAGGUUGCACUAGAUCUUAUGAAUGAUCUUUCUAGAUUUGGCUAAUUAAUUAAUUGAAGUCUAAUUGAGUGAAUUAAUUAAUUAGGACUACAAUGGACUAGAUUAAGUGACCUAAGCCUAAUUUGGGGUAAAGUCACUUAAGCCCACAUGGAACCCUAUAUAAAUCCCCUUAAAGGUUUAGGAUUUCAUUUUUUGCAUCCUCGUCUUUCAAACUUUGGAAAAGAAAUACCUUGCCUCCUUUUAGAUAAGUCCAUCGUUAUCUUGUGCCAUAGAUAUGUGAAAUGAGUGAUAAAGUAGAAGAUCUUUAGAUCUACAAGAUCUACGAUGCCAACCUAGAUCUAUCCAUUAAGACUUAAUGAUCCACCACUAAACAUGAUUUAACUAAAAGCGAAUGAUGCAUACCUAACUUUUUCUUUAGGAAUUCAAGGCUCUCCUUUUUCUAGUGGCUUUUCUUUUCAGAAAGGAAACACUUGCCCUUCCCAUUGCUCUUCUUACUCAUUUUCUUAAACUUUUGCUUUUGUUUGAUGUUCUUUGAAUUGUUCUUCUUCUUCUUCUUCUUUUUAGAAGAACCUGAAAAACCCUUGAUUAUCAUAUGACUACCUUCUUAGUCGUUGAGAAUCCCCUCAGUCAUCCGAGUUCCCUUAUAAUUUUAGGUAAGCUCAUCACCAAUUUAUGCAUAGUAUAGUUGAACUUGAACUACCUGAAGGAAUCCAACAAGGUUCGAUCUAAAACUCAAACAUCAUCUUUAUGUUUCUGAGUUUAGAAAGAAUUUGAUUCCAGUUUCUAGUUACGUAAAUCGAAUUGUUCAAUGUUUUUUAAUAAACAAGUUAUUAUUAAAAUGAAUAAUUCAAUUAUAUGCUCAAGACCAUUGAUUAAUAAUCUUUAUCCUAUGACUGCAUUAUCAUUAUUGUUAAGUAAUGAGAAUAAUCAUAUCUCACUUAAAAGAAAGCAACCCAUCACUAAUCAAAAACACUUUUGACACUUAAACUUAGGUUAUACUAAUCUAAAUAGGAUCCAAAGGCUACUUAAAGUCUAGAAUAUUGCACUCUUUCAUUCCAAAGGAUCUUUUAGUCUGAAAAUCCUAUAUGGAAGGUAAAAUAACUAAGAAGCCAUUUACUACUAUAGGAUACAAAGUCAAAGAAUGUUUGGAGUUAAUGUAUAUUGAUAUGUGUGGACUUUUGAAUGUCGAUGCAUGGUGAGGGUAUGAGUACUUCAUCACCUUUACAAAUGAUUACUCUAUAUAUUUACCUAAUGCAUAGAAAAUCCAAUGCCUUAGAUAAAAUUCAUUAGAUUUAAGGUGGAAUAAAAAAACCAAUUAGGUAAACAUAUCAAGGCACUUCAGUCUAAUUGCGACGGUGAGUAUACAUCACCUGGUUCAAUUAUUUCCAUAAGGAGCAUGAGAUUAUAUCUUAAUUGAGUGCAACUAAAACUCCAUAGUAGAAUGGAGUAGUGGAAAUAAGAAAUCAAACUUUGAUGGACAUAGUGAGAUUUGUGAUGAGUUUUUCAUCACUUCUUGUAUCCUUGUGGGGAUAUGCCUUAUUUUCCUAUGGGUACUAGCCCAUUCAAGCUCCUGAUUCAUUGUGGCAUGUUUGUUUAAGGGAAUUAUGAGUUUGUAAUUCAUAAGUGUGCAAUGACAUUUUGGUAAAAACACAAGGUUGUUUUGGAUCUUACGAACGGUCUUUUUGGAUUUGCCUAGUUAAUUAAUUGGAGCAUGGUAGGUCUAAUUAAUUAAUUAAGAUCCAAAUGAGCUAUAUUAAGUGGCUUAAGCCCAAUUUAGACUCAAGUUACUUAAGUCUACAAGGAAGCCUAGCAUCCUUAGACUCAAUAGGGCUUUAGUUUUUACAUCAUUGUUUUCUAGUUUCUAGAAAAGAAACUCCUAGCAUCCCUUUAGAUAACCCACCCUUAUCUUGUGGUAGAGAUCUAUGAAAGUAGUGAUUCGAUGGAAGAUCCAUAGGUUUACAAGAUCUAUGAUACCAUCAUAGUUUAUUUCAUUGGAUUGGAUUUGUUCUGGGAAUAUCUAGAUCAUAGUAUGACAUCUAAUCGUAGAUCUAUGAUCAUUAUGGUGUUGUUUACCAUAUUUCUUCAUUGAGUUAGAUUUAGAGAAGGUUAGGCAUAGUUGCAUGCACUCUACAAGAUCCAGGGCUAGAGAAUAGAGUAAUUCAAGGUUCCUAGCAUCCUCUUAUUUCAAGAAUUUAAUAUAUAGAUAUUUAGGAUAAGAAAUGUUAAGAUAAAGCCCUUAAGAAUAUAUUAUCAUGUAACAAAAUAAGAUUCAUUAAUAUAUUUAAUUAUAAUUUUAGUUUCCACUUUUCUAUCCAUGAUUGUAUUAUUACUCAUGGGAGUAUUUAGGCUUGCAUCACUUGGAUUGCACAUGAAUUGAGUGCAUUAGAAGAUUGGUGGAAAAUUUAAGUCAUUGGUUCUUUACAAGUUGAUGAGUUGUUCACAACCAAUUCAUGGACUUAGGCAAUCCAUUAGAGAUAGUAGUGUGCUACCUCUUAAUUGAAGGGCUGACUUAUCUUGAUCAUCAACAUAGAUUUCCCAUGAUGAGUGCAAUAAUGUGUAUGGUUACACAUUGGAUAAAACCUAUGACAAAUCAUUACAUGGGAUAUCGUAUGGUUAUGACUUCACCAAGUUACAAUGUUGCAAGGACUAUCAACCUUGAGAGAAUAUUGAACUUGUGUUGAGCUCUGCAAUGACUUAAACUUAUGAGUGAAACUCUAAGGUUGUCAUAAAUUGUCUAAGAAUUGAGUCCCUGAUGUUUAAGGCAAGUGGUAAUAGGUGUACUCAAGGUAGACAUCAUGAUAUCUCAUGGGACUGAGAUAAUGUCCCUUGGGGUGAUCUUAGGGACUUGUGAUCAUUAAAUCUAUGGCUGCAACAAUUCCUUAAGUGGGAUUUAACAUAUGUCCUUUGUGUAUUAGAACAUGUUAAUUGAUCACAAAAAAUAAGGAUUUGAAAUUCAAGAAUUAUAGAGACAAUCUUGAUAUGUUGAUAGCUACUAUCUUAUUAGAUUGUGCACACUAGUUCAUAAGAAACUUGUAUGUAGUGGAUUUAAUAAAUGUUAUCUCAAUGUAAUAUCAUAGGGUAUUUAAGUGAAAUUGACUUUUUUCAGUGGAAUAUUGAGUUAACUUUAUUAUUGGAUUCUAAAAUAGUUAGUUUUUUCCAAUGUUCUUAAAAUCCAACCGGACUGACCAAUUUGACUGAUCGAACCAUAGACUGGAACUUGGUUCGGUUCAUUCCAACCUAUGGCCCAGAGUACAUAUUGAACCAGGCUUAAACUGAAUGGAUUGACAGUUGGACCAUUAAACCUGUGAAUUGAUCAUUCGGUUCUGGGUUGACAUUUUUUUUCCUCGCUAAAGGGUGGUUAGGAGCCCAACCUAGUUCACCCUACUUUAGCCUACCAUAUAAGGCUAGUGGGCCAAGGACCACAUAAAGCUACAAUACGAUACAUGGGACAAAGAAUUUAAAGGAGUGUUCAUCCUCCUCUGCUUCCACAACUCCCAAUGUGGGAUGAGAUAUAAAAUCCAUACAAUUUUCCACAACUUCUCAUGUGGGAUGAGAUAAAAUACAUAAGCUAUAAUGCAAUUGGCAAUUGACAACCAGAUGAUUUGAACCAAUUUGUUACUAAUAAUUGAUAUUUAAAAAUUGUAAACUAAAAAACCAAUAACAUAAUUAUUUAAAAAUUGUUUUGAUAAUAAAAAAAAUAUAAGUAAAAUAAUGUAAUAUAGGUAAAAUAAAUUAUAAAUAAAAGAAUUUUCUUCUAUUGUAAUACAUAUUUUAUUUAUAAAAUUUAAAAUAUUAAUAUUUUUAGAUUUACUCAUGAUUUAAGUUUGAUAAUAUUAAAGACAAUAUAUAUAUAUAUAUAUAUAUAUAUAUAUAUAUAUAUAUAUAUAUAUAUAUAUAUAUAUAUAUAUAUAUAUAUAUAUAUAUAUAUGCUUUAAAAUUUUAAAAUUUAUUUUUAAUUUUAAUAAUAAAUAAAUUAUAUAUUUAUGACAUCAUCGAUUCGAUUGCAGUUUGACCAUUGGUUUGACCAUUGAAUCGUGAACUGGUAACUUUUUUAGUUCAAUGACCGAUCCAAUUAUGAAAAAAUUGGUUUUUUCUUAUAAGCUUUAGUGGGCCUUGCUUGAACUCGUAAUCUUUGUUAGAACAAAGACUUGAGGGAAAUUGGGUUUAUUUAAUCAUAUGUCUGCAUAAGAGCAAUUUGAUAAGAAUGCAAGGUUGCACAAAAACUUAUAAUUAUUAUUUUAGGUUUCCUAAAUUAAGCUAAUUAAUUAAUCGGAGUCCAUCAGUGCUAAUUAAUUAAUUAAGAUCCAAUGGUCUAGAUUAAAUGAUCUAACCUCCAGUGGGCCUAAGUUACUUAAGCCCACAAGAGUGACUAUAACUUCUUAGGGUUUAGGGUAAGCUAACAAAGAAAUCCAUCUAUUCAUUCUUUAUUCUUCUAAAGAAAACCUUAUUCAUCUUUUCUCUCUCAAGGUUGUGUAGCCACUUUAGACACAUGACAAGGAUCAAAGACAAAUCUUUUGAGUGGAACACACCUAGUUUUUGAGAUCUCUACAUUAACUUGAAUUUGAUCUAGGAAAAUCCAUGUUGAAUUGUAUGUCUUUUAGCACCUAAAUCUAAGUGUAGACCCUUCAUUUUGUCUCCUUAGCACAUGCCCUAUGAGGUGUUCUUUCAAUAUUUCACAGUAGUUCUCUAGUUGCCCAUUGCUACUCAUGCAACUUUUCUUUUUUAACCACCUUGGAGACUUUGAAUGAGGGAUUUAUCUAGCCCCUCAUUGUGACCCUUGGCAACCUUGAGUUAGAUCUAAGUUUUUUUUUUCUUUUUAGGAUAACUCAUUUAGGUACACUUUCACUUAGACACAUCCUAGGUCACCUAGCCACUUUUCUUAUCACCCUAGGUCACUUAGGCACUUUUCUAAUCAUCCUAGGUCACUUAGACACUUUUUUUAAUCACCUUAAGUCACUUAGACACUUUUUUUUUUUUUUUUUUUUAUCACCUAGGUCCACUUAGAUUCAUUUAGGCCCACCUUAGACCCAUCUAAGCCCACUUAGCCCACUUAGGUUCACUCAAGCCUAUUUAGGCCCAUCAGAUCCACAUUAGGCCCAUCUAGGCCCACUUGACCCAUUCAGGUUCACUCAAGCCCAUUUAGGCAGAUUUAGGCCCACUUAGGUUCUCAUUUGGCCCAUCUAGGCACACCUAAGGCCAUUUAGGCCAUUUAGGUCAUUUAGGUCCAUCUAGGAUCACCUUAGCCCAUUUAGGUAACUUAGGCACAUUUUGGUACACCUUAGGCCCAUUUAGACUCACCCUAGCCCAUUUAGACACAUCUAAGCCCAUUUAGGUCAAUUAGGCCCACUUAAGCAUGCCUUGACCCAUUUAGGUCACUUAGGCCCAUUUAGGCAUCUCAACCCAUUUAAGCACACCUAGGCCCAUUUUGGAACCUUGGCCCAUAUCUGGCCCAUUUAGGCAUACCUAACCUAUUUAGGAAUACCUUGACACAUUUAGGCACACUUAGCCUAUUUAGGAACAACUUGGCCUAUUUAAGCACAUUUGACUCGUUUAGGCACACCUUGACCCUUUUAGGCAUACUUGGCUUAUUUAGGCACAUUUGACCCAUUUAGGAAUGUCUUGGCCUAUUCCAACCAAGGAUGAAAGUAUCAGUAAUUACGAAUAUAUUGGUAUUUCCGUUUAUGGAUAUAUCUGAUAUAUCGACGGAUAUUUUGACAUAAAAUAUCGGUGAACUUAAAAUUGAUCAGAAAUUAUAAAAAUGUAAGAAAAAACUAUUAAAAAUAAAAUUACAAGUAUAAUAGAUAUUUUAAAGUUGUUUUAUUCAAGAAAUUGAUAUAUGUAUGAUAUAAUUUAUCAUAUUUGAUAAUAAUAUUAUAUGUGCUAAUAAAAAAAAAUGAAUUUUAUAAGUAUACAUUUAUUAUUAAAUUAUAUCAAAUAUUAUUCGAUAAUAAUAUUUGUGAUAUUUGAUUAUAAUAUGUCUAAUUUAAAAAUGUAUUUAAUAUUAAAAUUAUAAUUCGUUUAAUUCAAUUGUAUUAAAUGAUAUAAAAUAAAUGAUGAUAUAUGUAUAAUUUUUAAUACUUAAUUAAUAUAUUAAUGAUAUUAAAAACACUAUGAAGAAAAUUAUCACAAUAAUUUUUAUAUUUUUAGUAUUCAAAUAGAUGAAAUUUUUUCAUUUAAUUAUAAUUAAUUUGUUCUUUAAAACAUUUUUAAAAAUUAUGUUUAUACGAUGAAUUUGAGUUUAUAUAUAUUUGGUGCAACUUAUAUAACAAGGGACAAACUUGCCCUACUGGUUGGCUUAAUGCAUAGUAAACCUUUUGGUUGGGGUUAACAUUCAAGUUCCAGCUCAUGUUAGCUCAUUUAGUCUCACUUAGAUCACUUAUGUUCACUUUAAGUACACUUAAGCUUAGUUUAUCUAGUUCAUUUUAAGAAGUUUUCUCUAAGUUGCACUUUAGAAUAAUUAUUUUAGAGGCAUAUUUAGUUCAUUCUAGUUUAGGUACACUUUAGGAUAGUUCUCUUAGAUGCAUAUUUAGUUCACCUUAGUUUAGAUGCACUUUUUCAUUUUAGUUGAACUAAUGUUCAUGCCAUUUAGGAACACUCUAAGUUAGUUCAUCCAUUUCUUAUUUAGGUAUAUUAUCUAGUUACAUUUUUUUAGAAUUCGUUUUAUAUACAUUUUAAAAAGGAGAGUGAGAAUUUUUUUAAGGAAUAUGAUAACUUUUUUUUUAUUUAUAUAAAAAAGGAAGAUAUGACAAUUUUUGAAGAUGGCAUCAAUUUUUUUUUUUUUUUAAAAAGAGAUGAAAAUUAUUUUGAAGAUGACAACAAUUUUUUUUAAAGGAGAAGGAAAAUAAUUAAAAGGAAUAGAAGAUAAGAUUUUUUUUUUUUUUUUCUUUUAAGAUGGUACCAUUUUAAAAAAAAAAAGGAUAGAAGAUAUGAAUUUUUUUUUUUAAAAGGAAAAGGAGAAUUUUUUUUAAAAGGAAUAUGAGUAUUUUGGAAGAGGAUAUCAUAAUUCUUUUAUAGAGGAUAUUUGAGUUUAGAAAAGAAGGACACAUAUAAGGAUUCAUGGACUAGAGGACCCGACCAUAUUGAGAAGAAUAGAGAUUCAUGCAUUUUAGAGAAGACUACUCACCAUCUUGGAUUAGGAAAAGUGUGGUGGUUGUCAUUGACUUGCCAAAACAGAUUUCAAGCAUGCAUUUGAGGAAAAGAUUGGGGGGACAUCAUUAAGGAAGAGAAAAACCUAGACAUGAAUGGAGAUUGAUUUUUUCUUUUUUCUUAUUUUUUUUUUAAGAAAAAAAAAGAAAAGAAAAGAAAGGAAAAGAGAUUUUGGGGAAGAAAACAUGAUGAACAGUCGAUGAAAGGAAGGGGACAUUUAGGAAGAAGAAGAGAUCGCCUUCUUUUGAGAGUAAAAUGAGACGUUUUGAGGGAUUCAGAGGGGUUUUAAGGGAUUUUUUUUUUUUUUUAGCAAUUUGGAGAGGGAUCAAUAGCCUUUCGUGGGGGUUCUCAAACUUUAUCUUCAUAUCAUAAUUUGAAGAAGAAGGUGAGUAAGUUUAGAAAAUGUUGGGAUUUAUUUUUUCUGGUUGUUAUGUAUUAUUCUGGGUUUUGUAUAUUGUUUUAUGUUAUUGAAGUUUUGAUUUUUAUUGAGUGCUUAGAAAAUUGUUAGCACUGUUGUGAAAUAAGGACAAAUACAAUGCAAAUCAAAGUAGUAAAGAUGGAAUAUAUUUUACUUUGAUAUAUAAUAGGGAAGAAGAAAUCAGAUACGAGAGUUGAGAAAGUUGAGAGAAUGAAAAACAGAGAUAAUGAGAUGAAGAAAAUUUCUUUCUUUUUCUCGGGAUGUAUAUUGCAGGAGAUGGGAAGCCCUUUUAUAGGCUUUCCAAAUGGCUUCCAUUAAUAUCCCCAUUAAUGAAACUCAUAAAUAACAUUAAUGGUUUCUAUUAAUGAGUAUUAAUGGAAGUCAUAAAUAAUACUUAAUUAACAUUACUGUGGUGACAUUCAUUACUUCAGUUAUAACACUCCCCCUUGGAUGUUCAUCACAUUGAAGAAUAUGCCUCAUUAAAACCUUACUAGUAAAAAACCCUAUAGGAAAAACCUAGCAAAGGAAAAAGAGUACAAUAUUCUUUUCUAGGUAUAUUAGGAUUGCCUCGUUAAAAACCUUACUAGUAAAACCCAGUAGGACAAAACUUGGACGAAGGAAAAAGAGUACAGUACACUAACACCCUUUUACAAGCAUACUUCCCUUAAGUCGAUAUCAUUGAGUUGACGUAUUCCAAUCAUGUGUAUUAACUUCUUGAAUAUUGAGGUUGGCAAUGAUUUUGUGGUAAAUCUGCUAGAUUAUCACUUGAGCAUAUUUGUUGCACAUCAAUUUCACCACUCUUCUGGAGUUCAUGUGUAUAAAAGAAUUUUGGUGAAAUGUGUUUAGUUCUAUCUCCUUAAUAUAACUCCCUGUUAUUUGUGCAAUGCAUGCUGCAUUAUCUUCAAAUAAUAUUGUCGGGUCACCUUUGAUAGAGGAGAGUCCACAUGAUUCCCGAAUAUGCUGGAUCAUAGAUCUUAGCCAUAUACAUUCACGACUUGCUUCAUGAAUUGCUAGUAUUUUUGAAUGAUUUGAUGAUGUGGCCACCAUUGUUUGUUUGACAGAUCUCCAUAAAAUAGCAAUACCAUUGCAAUUAAAUACAUACCCUGUUUGUGACCUACCUUUAUGUGGAUCUCAAAGAUAUCCUGCCUCUGCAUAUCAAGCAAUUGUUGCUUUGAUUCCCUUGAGUAAAAUAAAUCCAUAUCAGUAGUUCCACGAAGAUAACGCAAUAUAUGUUUGAUACCAUUCCAAUGUUUUUGAGUUAGAGCGGAACUGUAUCUUGCUAAUAAAUUGACAGAAAAAGCAAUGUCUGGAUGUGUACAAUUGGCAAGAUACAUAAGUGCACCAAUAGCACUAAGAUAUGGUACUUCAGGACUAAGUAACUCUUCAUCUUUUUCGCAAGGACGAAAUGGGUCAUUUUUCACAUCAAGUGAUCGGACAACCAUUGGAGAACUUAAAUGAUGCACUUUAUCCAUAUAAAAACGCUUCAAAACUUUCUUAAUGUAUGUUGAUUGAUGUACUAAAACUCCAUUUGAAAAAUGCUCGAUCUGUAGGCCAAGACAAAAUUUUGUUUUUCUAAGAUUUUUCAUCUCAGAUUCUUUUUUCAAGUAAUUUGUUGUUCUUGUGAGCUCUUCAGGAGUUCCAAUAAGAUUUAAGUCAUCAACAUACACUGCAAUAAUUGCAAAUCCGAUUUCUGAUUUCUUAAUGAAGAUGCAUGGGCAUAUAGGGUUAUUCACAUACCCUUCUUUUAGCAAGUAUUCGCUAAGGCGAUUGUACCACAUGCAUCUAGAUUGCUUUAAUCCAUACGAGGAUCGUUGUAACUUGAUUGAGUACAUGCUACGAGGCUUUGUACUAUUUGCUCAAGGAAAUUUAAAUCCUUUAGGGAUUUUCAUGUAUAUAUCAUUAUCCAUGGAUUCGUAUAAAUAUGUUGUAAUAACAUCCAUGAGACACAUAUCCAGUCCUUCUGAGACUGCCAAACUAAUUAAGAAAUGAAUUGUGAUUGCAUUCAUGACGGGAGAAUAUGUUUCCUUGUAGUCAAUACCAGGUCUCUGCGAGAAACCUUGUGCUACUAAUUGCACUUUAUAUCUUAUGAUCUCAUUUUUCUCAUUACGCUUUCGUACAAAUACCCAUUUGUACCCAACAGGCUAUACAUCUUUAGGUGUUUGGACUACAGGUCCAAAAACUUCUCGUUUUGUUAAUGAGUUUAACUCUGCCUGUAUAGCUUCUUUCCAUUUUGGCCAAUCAUUUUUAUGUCGAUAUUCUUCCAUAUUUCGUGGUUCGGGAUCUUCAUCAUUUCCUAUGAUAUCAGAGGCCACUUGGAAAGUAAAAAUAUUGUUAAUAACAAUAUUAUUUCGAUCCCAUUUUUCUCCUAUGUGUAUAUAACUUACUGAGAUCUCACAAUUUUCAAGUACCUAUGCCUCUUCAGGGGCUUCUUAUUCAAUAUGUGCCUCUUCGGGGGCUUCUUGUUCAAUAUAUGCUUCUUCAGGGGCUUUUUGCAUUAUUUGUGCCUCUUCUAGGGCUAUAGAUUUAUCAAUUUUAAACUGAUCAGUCAUUUUGAUGGCCUAUUUUAGAGUGCCAAGUUUUUCUUGGGUUCUCCUCUUUCGGGGAGUUACAUCCUUUGAGUCAACAGGUCUACCACGCUUCAGGCGUAUCUUAGAUUCAUUUGUUAACUGUCCUAUAGGGACAUCAAUCCUUGCUGGAGUAUUUGCAGCCGGGAUAUGUGACUUUGUCACUUUCUUUGUAUCAAUGAAUGCAUCUGGUAAUUGAUUUGCAAGAUUUUGCAAAUGAAUGAUCCUUUGAGCUUCUAGUUCAAAUUGAUUUGUACGAGGAUCAAGAUGAGUCAUAGUAGAUGCCUUCCAACUAAUUUCUCAUCGAUCUUCAUGAAUCGACUUUUCUCUCCCCUAAUGAUGGGAAAACACUCUCAUUAAAAUGACAAUCCGCAAAGCGGGCUGUAAAAACAUCGCCUGUCAAAGGUUCAAGAUAUCUCAUGAUAGAUGGAGAAUCAAAACCUACAUAAAUCCCAAGUCUUUGUUGGGGACCCAUUUUAGUGCGUUGUGUAGGUGCAAUUGGUACAUAUACUGCACAACCAAAGAUUCGUAAGUGAGAGAUAUUUGGUUAUUUUCCAAGCACAAGUUGUGAAGGGGAGUAUUCAUGGUAAGUUGUAGGUCGAAUACGGACUAAAGUUGCAACAUGCAUAAUAGCAUGUCCCCAGGUGGAAGUAUGUAAUUUGGUUUUCAUUAUUAAUGGUCGAGCUAUUAAUUGGAGACGUUUGAUGAAGGAUUCUGCUAAACCAUUUUGGGUAUGAGUAUGAGCAACAGGAUGCUCAAUAUUUAUCCCUACUGACAUGCAAUAGUCAAUGAAUGUUUGAGAAGUAAAUUUGCCAGCAUUAUUAAAACGUAUUGUCUUAAUUGGAUAAUCUGGAAAUUGUGCUCGUAAUCUGAUUAUUUGUGCAAGGAGUUUAGCAAAGGCAACGUUACGUGUAGAAAGGAGACAAACAUGUGACCACCUAGUAGAAGCAUCUAUUAAGAUCAUAAAAUAACAGAAUGGUCCACAUGGUGGAUGGAUAGACCCACAUAUGUCCCCAUGUAUUCUUUCUAAAAAGACUGGUGACUCAGAUAUGACUUUAGUAAAAGAUGGUCUGAUUAUCAAUUAACCUUUUGAGCAAGCAGCACAUGAGUAUUCAUUGGGCGUAAGAAUCUUCUGGUUCGUUAAUGGAUGACCAUGUGAGUGUUCGAUUAUUUGAUGCAUCAUUGAAGACCCUGGUUGACCUAGCCUGUCAUGCCAAAGGACAAAAACUUUUGGGUCGUUGAACUUCUGGUUCACGACAACAUAUGAUUCAAUAGACUUUAUGGUUGUAUGAUACAACCCAGAGGAGAAAGCCGGGAGUUUUUCCAUUAUAAGCUUCUGACCAGAUAUAAUGGAAGUAAUGUAAAGAUAUUCUACAUUAUCUUCAUUUAUAGUUUCAAUAUGAUAUCCAUUUCUGCGGAUAUCUGUAAAACCGAGCAAAUUUCUUCUAGAUUUGCUAGAAUAUAAAGCAUAAUUUAUAUGAAAUCUAGUUCCAUUUGGUAACAUUAUGUUUGCUCUUCCAGAACCUUCAACUAAGUUUGUAGUACCAGAUAUGAUACUUACAUUAGCUUUUAUUAAUGUCAAUUCGAGAAAAUAUAUUUUAUCUCGAAGAAUUGUGUGCGUGGUCGCACAGUCUGCGAGACAUACAUCAUUCUCAUUCAUCUUGAGACCAAAUAACACAUGGAUUUCAGAUAUAACAAAAAAAAACAAGGCAUAAUGUAAAUAACAAAAGAAAAUUAGAUGUAAAUAUAAGACAUAAUAAUAUAUUAUUUCAUAUACAAAGUAACAUCAAUCAAUGUUAAUUUUCUCAUCAUUUAUCAAAUGGUUUGUUUUUUCAUUGGGACCUCCAAAGAAAUCAAUGUCAUAGUAGGUUAGGUCCAAUCCAUCUCCAUCGGUAAAGUUCAUCUCUAUCUCUUUUCCUUUUACUUUUAUUGAUGCUUGGUAGAGGUCAACCAAAUGUUUGGGCGUACGACAGGUACGCGACCAAUGCCCCUUCAUAUCACAUCUAUAACAAUUAUUCUCAUGGUUCUUAGGAGGUUUAUCUUGUAAACGCUUCCCAUUUUCAUAUUUUGCCUCAGUAUUGUUCCAUUUCGUAUUGUUCCACUUCUGGUGGUGCAAUGAGGCUUUCAUUUUAUGAGAAUUAUUAUUACAAGAACCAUGGUAUCGGGGAUUUCUUCCAUGACCACAACCACGUCCUCAUCAACUCCACGAGUUUGGGACAAUAUUGCAUUCAUUUUAAGGAAUGAUUCAGAUCCAGUUGGAUGAGAUUAGUGAUUUCUUAUCAAAAACUCUUUUUUUUUUUUAAACCUUCAUGGAGAUGAUUGAUUCGUGCCCACUUGGUGUCUCAGCUGAUUCAUGUCCAGCUGGUGCUCCUUGAUUGAGGGAGUAAUCAACAAAAUUUAUAACCUAUUACACCAUGUACUAGGGCAGCAAAGACAAAACUACUAUAGCAUAGUGGCUCUAGGAUCGUUCACUGGGAUGAGUUUUCACUUCACAAAUGAUAUUAAUUCAAAGUUGAAUUGGUGCCUUUUCAUUUCAAGGUUAGCUUUAAAAGAAAACAUAAACUUGAGUUGGAAAAUGUUUGGUUUUAAACUAACCACAAAUAGUAACUGAUUUUACUUACAAAGAAAAGUGUUUCUUGGAGCUCAAAUCACUAGGCUCAGGUUCCUCAUACAAAAAGGGGAGUUCCGGUCACUUGUUUCUUUUCCUCGCAUUAGAGAAUUAACAUAUAGUUCCUUCUCUAACCGGUGUUGUACAGAUGCUUCCUAUUAAUGGGUUCAAACACUAAAUUCCUCUCACUGAUGCACCUUGCAAUGGCUCAUGCCUCUCACCUAGCACUUGCCAUUCAAGAUGAUCUUUAACCUUGGACUUCCCUUCAAAAGCUCGCAAGAGAUAACUAAUGGAUGUCUCCUUGGAGUCCAAAAGCUUACCAAGUGUUGGCUAUUCUAGAAAAUCCUACCUUCAAACCACCUCCCAAAGGCUCGCAAGAGAUAAACUAGUGAAUCUCCAUGGACGGAGAUCACUUGCCUUACCAAGUGUUGGCCCAGGUGAUUUAAAGGCGUUUUAAGUUAACUAAAAAGAUAAAAACCAUUAACGGGUCACACUUUCUCUUCAUUAAAAACUAAAACAACAAAACUUCCAAAUUAUGCAUGUGGAAACUUACCCGGAUUUCGUCACUCCAAGAGACGAAAAGCCUAGCCUCUCAUCCUCUGAGGAAAAAUCCUUAGAGUUUGGUUAGCAAGAAAAUGAAAAUGAAAGAGAAGGAAAAAAACAGAGCAAGGCUCUGUAUAUUCUAUAUAUUUAUAUAUCUAUAUAUCUAUAUAUUUUACAGUGGAUGCAAGGGAAUAUAUAUAGAGACGUUUUUCUAACCUUCCUAACUAAGAAAUCUUAUGGUUGGUGGAUUACAAGGAGAAGAAUGGAAAUUUAUACAAAAAUAUCUGAAGAAAAAUAUCCAAAAGUGUCGGUCGCAACUAUCAGGAAGCUUCAGGAGAACACCCGUGCACUGUGCAAAAUGGCUGCGAAAUUCUUGCAGCAAAAGGGUGAUUUCGCAGCCGUGCAAAAUUCUUCCUUCAGCUUGGAGUGAUUGGGUUCCAAUGGCUGUAACUCCUUCAUUUCAACUUCAAAUCGCGCACCGUUUGAAGCAUUGGAUUCUUGACUUCCUGAGCUUUGAAAUGGUAUAUAGCAUGUAGAAAAUGGACUUCAGGAAGUGCUCCAAAAGUGCGAAAGAAGACUGCAGCUGCUAUCCUCUAUUUUCUUCACUCUGUUUUUCCUCUCUCUGUUGUUCUUUCCUUGCAUACUUUGAACGACUUUGGCAAAGGGCUAUGGAGCUCCAAAGCUUGGUUCUUCAUGAAUUUGAGCUUCCAAAAGCUUUGCCAUGAACUAUAUACAACUCUCCCUCAUUCUUGGAUUGCUUUGGUGUAGCUAAAAGCUAUCAAAAACACCAAAACUUAACACAAUUUGAUUAGAAACGAUUGCAAGGGUCCUUAACAUGUCAAUUGAGUUAAAAGGUAAUAAUUACUACUCAAGAGUGUUUAAAAGAGUUAAUUACAAGCUAUGAAAUAACACUUUUUGAGUAGUAAUCAAUGAUGACGAAGGAAAAUCACUGUUUUUACGCGAUCCUGCAAGGAUGCUUGAUUUCCUUCUUUGAUCACAGCUCCAAGAUUCAUUGCAUUAAGAUGUAUUUUAGCAUCAAAGAUCCAAGAAUGAUAGUUAUUUCCCGAAAUGUCAAGUGCCACAAAUUCGAGUUUUGUGAUAUUCGACAUUGUCAAAUAACUUCAUAUAUAUGACAAAACAAUAUUAUUAAAAUCAAUUAUAAUAACUUGAUAGCAUUGGUAUAACUUUGAUUAUAAACAAAAUCAAAUAAUUUGUUUAUAACUUUUAAGAAUAUGUAACAAAACAAAUGAACAAUAAUAUAAAUAUGUAAAAUUUUAUUCUAUAUAAAUAACUUCAAGUUUAAGAUACGAGAAUUACCUUUAGAGCAAUUCGUGCUGAUAACGUGUUGUGAAAUAAGGACAAAUACAAUGCAAAUCAAAGUAGUAGAGAUGAAAUAUAUCUUACUUUGAUAUAUAAUAGGGAAGAAGAAAUCAGAUAAGAGAGUUGAGAAAGUUGAGAGAAUGAAAAACAGAGAGAAUGAGAGGAAGAGAAUUUCUUUCUUUUUCUCCGGAUGUAUAUUACAGGAGAUGGGAAGCCCUUUUAUAGGCUUUCCAAAUGGCUUCCAUUAAUAUCCCCAUUAAUGAAUAUUAAUGAAACUCAUAAAUAACAUUAAUGGUUUCCAUUAAUGAGCAUUAAUAGAAGUCAUAAAUAAUACUUAAUUAACAUUAAUGUGGUGGCAUUCAUUACUUCAAUUAUAACAAGCACUUAUUUUUCUAGUUAUGUAUUAUCCCUGAUUUUGUAUAUUGUCUUAUGUUAUUUAAGUUUUGAUUUCUAUUGAAUGCUUAGAAAGUUUUUAGGAUUUAGUUUUUUUUUUUUCUAUUGAAUUCUUAGAAAGUUCUCAGGAUUUAGUUUUUCUUUAUCUUCAUGUCAUUUAGCAUGUUGUACUAUUUAUCUAAUUUUAUUAAAAAUCAAAUUUUGAAAAGUUUUGGUUUAAUUUAAUUUUCUCAACACUAUUCAUUUCAUUAGAAUUUUAUUAAAAAUAAAUUUUGAAAAGUUUAGUUUGAGUUUUAAUUUUUCGGUAAAAUCAAAUUUUAAAAAGUUAGUUUGAGUUGUAAUUUUCUAGUACUAUUUAUUUCAUUAAAAUUUUAUUAAAAAUCAAAUGAAAGGUAGGUUUUGGGAUCCAAGUUCACCUUUUCUCUUUUUUUUUUUUAAAUACCUCUAGGAAAGAAAUAAAAAAUCCUUAUUUUGUCUAUAUUGAUUGAAAUUUACUAAUUCACAUGGUCUCUUUUUUGUUUGCCCUAAAAUUAUUUUCAAAAGUAUUUAAAUCAUCAAAAGGCUUUAAAAAAAAAUUAUCCAUUCAAGGUUUAAGCAAAGAACAUAUUUUCUUUUAAAAUCAUGCAACUCAUUUCAUCUAAGUUGCAUUCUUUAUUUUUCGGUUUUUUGAAACUUUGUUUUCAUUCACAUAAGUUUAAACUUGUGCUCUCAAGCUAAUGAGAAUACUAGGUUAAACUUAUGAAUAUUCAAUGGAGACUUGAUGGAACCCUUACAUCAAAGAUUUUUAAAACUCAUGUUUGCUAUCAGUUUCAACUCAGCCACCGACCCUUUAUUAAAAAAAAAAAUUUGUUCUUGAUUGCUUGGAGUGUUUUUUUUUUUUUUUCAAAAAUAGUAUGAUGUUCCUUAUUCUUUGUAGUUGAUUUUGGAAGAAUGUUUCAACCAAAAAGCUUUUCUCAAAGUUGAGUUAUGAUAUUUUCUUUCCACACAUUAUAUUUAGCUUGAUACUAUACACACCGUGCAUGCUAGGAUUUAGAAUUUUACUAUUUGAAAUUGUUAUUUACUCUAGCCUCAUUUAUCUUAUGGAAGCACUUUGUAAAUUACUUUUGCUAUUCAAGUACGCCUCCUCACCAUUGAUCUCUUAAUUUAACAGUUGUGUAUGAUUCAUGUGUGAACGUCCCUUGCUAACUCUACUUUAUGUUUGUGAUUAACAAAGCUUACAUGUUUGUUUAAUAUAUUAUUAUAAUUUAGGUUAACACCUUAGCCUUUCCUAGUGUCCCUAAUCAAUUAGCUCAUUGUUAUAAUUUCCUCAAUUUAGUAAGUAGAGACCUUUUUAGGGCCUAGAGGGGUGCUUCCUCUGUGAGGUACCUUCCCAAUAGGUAACUAGAUUCUCGGACCAAGACUUGGGUUUUUCAAAGACAUGCUUUUCCAAAACUUAAGGCGUCAUUUUUUUAAGGGCUAUAGUUUCUUAUUUUAUUUAUUUAUUUUUAAAAUAAUAAUAAUAAUAAUAAGCAACGAAUCCAAUUUUCAUACAAAUAAUAGUUUUUUCACAAAAAAAAAAAAACAAGUAUUGUUGACGAGUGGGGACACACAUGAGAAAUUUAGGUCCACAAUAAGACUUUUUUUUUUCCUUGAAAAUUGUAUUUACUUCAUCUUAUGCUUAGAUCUUGUAGCCAUAAGGUCUUAGAUGCAUGCACUCAUGAUCCCAUCCUAACAAGUGGUGUGAGAGCACUAGGAUAGGAUUGACCUACUCAUUAGGAUUGGGCCUCUAAAAGCAAGACAUGGUAUAACAAAAUUAGACUUAACCACCCCCUUGUUAUCCUUUUGGUGUAUUAACAUUGAUUUGAGCAUUCAACCUAUGUCUCUUACUUUGUACAUAACUUAUGCACAUUAGGAGUUGCAUAGAAGAUACAAGUUGUGGGUUCCUUAUAAGUAGAUAAGUUGUCCACAGUUGGUUCAUAGAUUUAGACAAUCUAGUAGAGACUGUAGUGCACCACAUUCUAAUUUGAGGGAUGAGUUAUCUUGACCGUUGGGAUGGGUUUCCCAUGGUGAGUGCACUAGUGUAUGUGAUGCAUACUAGACAGGACCUACAGUGAAUCAUGAUAUAAGGCUAUCAAGUGUCAUGAUUCACCAAACUACUAUACCACAUGGACUCUCAACCUUGAGAGGAUAUUGAGCAUGUGCUGAAAUCAAUAGGAGGCUUUAACCUAUGGGUGAGACCCUAAAGUGGUCAUAUAUCCCUAUGAAUUGGGUCACUGUUGAUAGAGGUUGGUGGCAAUAGGUAUCUUAAUAGAGGCACCAUAAUAUCUCAUGGGAUUGAGACAAUGUGUCCCCUUAGGUGAUCCAAAUGACAUGUGAACAUGAAAUAGAUGGCCAUAGUAAUUUCUUUAGUGGAAUUUGACAUAUGCUAGCUUCUAGGAGAUGGAGUAUGUUAGUUGAUUAGAUAAUAAGUGAGAUAUGUAACUCAAGGAUUUGAGAGAUAAUGUUGAUAGGUGAUAACACUACCUUGUUAGAUUACGAACACCAAUUCAUGAAGAGUCUUCAUGUAGUGGAUAGUAGGUCAUGGACCCAAGCCUCGUCUCAUUGUUAUUUACGUUGGGUACUAGAGUGCAGAUGAUUCUAUUUAGUGAAAUGUUGAAUCAACUUUAGAAUUAGAUUAUAAGGGAGCCAAUACUCCUAUGGGUCCUAGUGGUCCCUGUUUUAAGCUCAUAUACCAUGAUGAUAGGGCUUAUGAGGGUUAGAUUGACUCUAGGUUCAUUUUGGUGCAUAAGGGUGUUUUGAUAAUUAUGUCAAGUUGCAUAGGGGAUAGUGAACAAGAUCUUUGGUUUAGGUUAAUUGAUUAAUUAGAUUGCUCUAUGUGGUUAAUUAAUCAAGUAGGACUCGUUUUGGGCUAGAUAAAGUGGCCCAAGCCUUGAUGGACUUAAGUCACUUAAGCCCAAUGGGUAAUCCUAUAAAUACCCCUCUAUAGGUUAGGAUUUCCUAAUGACUUGUGGUGAGAGUUGUCUUCCAACCCUAGAGAGAGAGAUCCAUAACCUCCUCCCUUAUAAAUCCCACACUUUGGAAUGCCAAGAUCGUGGUUCAAGUCAUCAAGCAGAAUAUCUUGGGUGUACAAGACCUUGGAGGUAGGGCUACAACACUUGGACGUGCAUAGGCCGUGUGCACAAAAAGCGCAUGGGACACACACAAACCGUGUGCACGGGAAUCGCAUGGGACUCGCACAUGGGGAGCAACAUGAGGAAAGACUCUCUGGUUUUUCUAGACAUGUUUUUCACCACAAAAAUUUGAUUUGGGAACAUCCAAAUCUAGGUAUGAGUAUUUUUUUUCUCUAGAUUUUUAUUGUAAUAUGGUUUUUAUAGUCAUAUGUUUCUACUAUAAUAAAUUUAGAGAAGCCUAGAAUAGUUUACAUGCAUCCUACAAGAUUUAGGGUAUGGGAACAAAGUAAUUCAAGGUUCCCAACACUGUAAACUUUGUUUAUAGGAGUGUUGAUUUAUCCCAUGGCCCAUAAGGGUGAAUACAUGGACAUUUAUUUUUAAUAUGAAUGAAUGAAUGAAUGGAUGCAUGUAUUAUUAUUAUUAUUAUUAUUAUUAUUAUUAUUAUUAUUAUUAUUAUUAUUAUUAUUAUUAUUAUUUGUAUCUCUUGGGUUGUAAACUUUAUAAGGAGAAUAGAAUUUUAGAUUUCUCUAUAAAAUCUUUUUCUUUUAAUGGAUGGGUUGUAAACUCCAUUUUGAGAGCAUAAUGGCUUGUAUUCUUUGUAAAAAUUUUAACUUUGGUCCAUCUAUAGUGACCCAAAAGAAAGGAUCAAAGCUUGUGAUUCAUUUAGGGGCAUUCAUAUAGAAAAACCAAUCAAGAAAGGUGAGUUUUUUCGGGACAAAAAUGAAAAAAAAAUUGAGAAUCAAGCUCUCAGCAUAGUAGUCCAAGUGAUAAUGCUCAAGCGCUACAAGCCACACCUUAAGCACUUGAGUGCUUCUGAAGGUGGCUCGAGCACUCGUAUUAUGGUAGCUACAAUUUCUCCAACAUGGGUUUAUUUUUUAUUUUUUUUUAUUUUAAGGUUUUUCUAGAAUUUUAGGUCUUUUUGUUUCUGUAACUUAAUUUUGGUUGCAUGGGUAUUUAGGCAAUUUUUUGAAUAAAUUAAAUUUUAAAUAUUUUGCUAGCUACCAAAAUUUGGGACAAGAUCCCUAAGGCUGGGGGAAAUUAUUUUAAUUUUCCUUUUUAUAUUCUUAAGCUAUAUAUAUAUAUAUAUAUAUAUAUAUAUAUAUAUGGCAUGUUGUGCAUGAAAAUUGGAAUUUUAGUAAUUUUUGAUAGAAAUAAAUUUCCUUGGAAAUUAGAUUUCAAAAGUAUAUUUUUAUUAAAUUGGAAAAGUGGUGACUAAAGAAAGAACUUUUUAUGAAAAUAAAAUUUAAAUUAAAGAGAGCAAAAUUUCAUUUUAUAAAAUCAUUUUGAAGGAUUUUAAAAUUUAUUGACUUAAAUUUAUUUUAUGAGUAUUCCUGAAAAAUAAAAGUUUUCUCUCUAGAUAAGGUGCUCUCUAUAUUUUAUUUUAUUUUAUUUUUAGAAAUUUUCUUAUUUUGAGAAUUUUGAAUUAGAAUAAUAAACAAUUUUGGAAAAUUUUGAGAUAGACAAUAAUAAGAUAUUACUAAAAAGUUUUGGAAAUUUAGUAAUUUAAUGGGAAAUAAAUUUCUAUGAAAAUAUUAAUUUCAAGAUAGGACAUUUAUUAAAUUGGAGUAGUGUAUGAGAAAAGAGAAUUUUUAAAAUUUGAAAGCAAUUUUGCUAUCAAAUUAAUUUAGGAUAAAAUUCUCUUAUGAAAAUUUUAUCAUUUUCAAAGUUCCAUUCUCUUAUCUCCUUAUGUUUCUAAUUAGGAAAUUAAUAAUUUUGAAAAUUUUUAUAGAAGAUAAUUAUUUAUCAAGGGAAUUACCAAGGAAUUUAAAAGCUCCAAUUAACUCAAAAGAUAAAGUGGGCAAGGCCUUAGCAAAGCCCACAACCUUCAUUAUCAAGUCCAUCUUGAUUUUUUGUCAUUGUCACCCCAACGGUGAGUUGGCUAAGAAAUCAAAGGAUAUGAACUUUCCAAUUGGCGAGACUAGAUAUGUUAGUAGAGUAACCACCUCAACAAUGGUUUUUUUUUUUUUUUUUUAACUUGGUAACGUUAAUAUUAAAGACAAUAUUCAUACACUUAACUUAGAAGUGGUUGAAUAAUCCAAUAUGGUCCCACUUGCAUAAUAAAGGGUUAAAUAAAAGGAUAUGUUAAUCUUGCCUUAGAGUUUUAAAAUAGAAAGAUUAAUAUGAGAAGGUCUCUACCUAGUAAUAAGAUUAAAAUAUUAAAGACAUGUUGUUUAUUUUUGUUACAUUAAUCAUGUCUUUUAAUCCAAUUACUCCCAUUCUCACAACAAAAAUUAAUUAAACAUAAUUAUGUGGAUUAGAAGAGAAACUUGGAUAUAGUGCUUACAUCAAAGGAGCUUGAAUGGGUAACUCAGGAAUUUGCUCUAAAUAAUCCUAAUAAGUAGCCCUCAAAAGAACAUGGAGAGGCAUAUAAUAGAUGGCAUAAGGCGAGAUGAGAAUGCCAAGUGUCUUAUACUUAGGUCUUUGGAUAAUUUGUUGCAACAGCAACACAUGUCUCAUGCAAAAAGUUAUGAUAUUCUCUUUAUCUAGGAAGAGAUGUUUGGUAAUAAGAAGAGUUAUGAUAGACAAGCUACCCUAAUGACUAUCAUGAACACCAAAAUGAUAAAGUGAAUUCCCAUAAGAGAUUAUAUGCUAUGUAUAAUUACACUCUCAUAGAGUGGAGAUUUUUGGAUCUAGCAUUGUCAAGGAAACCAAGGUUAAUAUGAUCUUAGAGACCUUAUUAGAUUCCCUUAGGUAGUUCAAACUCAACUAUUUUAUGAAUAAGAUGUAGAUGAACUUGUCAGAACCUAUGAGGGAACUCUAAUUGACUAAGGAAAUUCUAAAGGAUUAAAAGGAUAUUCAUAUGGCAAUCAAUCAAAGGUUUUUCAAGUUCUUCUACCAAGAAGAAGAAGAACAAGAGUAGAAGUACCAAAUAGAAGGGAAAGUUCAAGGCUUGGGAAAAGAAGAGCAAAGGAAAGGGCACAUGCUUUGGUUGUGGUAAAAAAAUAAAAAAAUAAAAAAUAAAAAAUAACCAUUGAAAAAAGGAGGAUCCUAAAAUAUAGAACAAAAAACAAGGUAUGCAUCAUAUUCUCAACUAAAUCAUGUUUAGUAAAUUUCACCAAUUUUUGGUAAGAUUUUGAGGUUAAUGACUAUAUUUGUAAUUCUUUAAAAGGGUUUCACAUAAGGAAAAGGUUGAAUGAUGGGAACAUAUAUUUGACUCUAGAUUCUAAUGUAAGGAUAGUUGUGCAAGUAGUGAAAGAUGUUACCCUUCUUUUAAAGAAGAAAUGUCUUUUAUACUCAAAGAUUGUCUUUAUAUUCCUAACUAUAGAAAUAAUUUGAUUUCACUUUCUAGUUUAAAUAAAUGUGUCUCUUUGGUUUCUUUUAAUAAAGAUGUUAUUAUUAGAAAGACUGUUGUAUUGUAAAUAUUGACACUGACAUGAGAAGAAAUAGUGCAUCAUCAACAUUAGCACCAUAUUACAAUUGAGAUCAUGUACAACAAAAAGGUUCAUUACAACUUAAAAAAAGAUCCUAUAAUUAAAGUUGUUUUUUUUUUUUAAUUAUUGAUCAUGAGAAUGAACAUGAGGACAUUUUUAAUGAGAUGUGGAUGUAUCCAUGAUUUUACUUGGUUGGUUAAUAAAACUUUACGGGUCCUUCACAAAUUAAAAGAAUUUAAUUUUUAUUUAUGCCUUAUUUUUCACAAAUGCAUUCCUAAUUGUUUAUAUAAGGGUUUAAAUUUCAUUACUUUUAUUUGAAUAUUAUGAACACACUAGUUAAUUUAUUGGUCAUUUCUAGAAUAGCAUAAUUUACCUGAUGAGCAUAGAAAAGAAGUUAUAAUAUAUGUAUUAUGUGAAUAUCAAUAAUCAUAUUUUGGUGGUUCACUUAUGAUCCCUACUUUUCUCUACUUGUAAGUUGAGGCUAAUAUAUAAGAAUAGCUCAUCCAAUGUGUUUCUAAAUACUCACACUCAAAUGUGAAAUCAAGAUGUUCUCCUUUUGAAUUUGAUUGCUUGUUCUUCAUUUGUCAUUCUCUUUCCCUUUGAGAUUAAAAAAACAAAAGAAUAAAUGGAGUAGCAAAUUAAAAAGAGUGUCAAUUCAACUAGAUAAGAGUCUAAUCAAAAUUGGACAUUUCCUUGUAGCGUCUAACUAGCAUGAAUGAAUAAGGAUGUAUGAGUUGAUCAAUCAAGUUUUGGGCCUUUAAAUAAUCAUAUCAAAUUUUCACUUUCAAUUGCUUGAGAUAUUUCACUUGGAUAUCAAUCAAGCUUGGGGUUAAGAAAUUAAAUUAUGUAAUUUUCUAUAAUAAGCUAGUUUCACAAAAUGUUUAAUGCUUCAAAAGUAAUAACUUAGGAACUAAAGAAUCAAUCCCAACAUCAGCUUUAGUUAACAAAUGCAAUGCCCUAAUUUUAUAUUUUUGCUCAUUUGAAAUACAUAGGAACAAAUACCAACAUGCAUCUUAAAGUAUUCCAAAACAAAAUACUUGAAAUUGAAUUGUUCUUUCCCACCUAAUUUGAUUGCUCGUAGCUUGGAGAUUCUAUCUUUUAAGACCAAGAAUUAUGGAUAGUACAAAAGUGUGAGUUCAAAUUGGCAUGACUUUAAUCAAAAUUUAGAAAUUUGUUUGAAGUAUUUGACUUGCCUUGAUUAAUAUGGAUAACCAUGGUUUAACUGGUGGAGGUCGGGCAUUUGACAUUAUGUAUUUAGCAGCUUGGAAUAUCCCAUCAAAACUUGAUGUGCACUAACUUAUCCAACAAAUUGUUUGAUCUUCAAAAAAAAUUAACAAUGCAAUCAAGCUUAUCCUACAAAUUGUUUGGUCAACAUCAACAAUUCUCUUACUUGAAAUUAGCGUCUUGUACAGCAUAUCCAAUGGACAAAUUUGCAAAGAAGCUCCAGCCACCUGUGCAUAUGGUCCAUUUCAUGGUCUUGGGCAUCAACACCAUUACCAUCAAUAUUCUGCAUUGCGCCAUCACAGCUUCUCUGGGCAUCAGUAUUAGUAUCUUCUACUGCUGAUCUGGUAUCACAGCUUCUCUGAGAAUGAUUACUAUUGGUAUCUUGUACAGCUAAUCCCCAUGAGAACUGCUGCCUCGUACCAUUGUGAGAUUGUUGUGUUCUUAAUCAUGGGCAUACAGAAAGUGGAAGCCACACCUCUCCACUUUCCCUGGUUUAUUACUGGAGUGGCCAUAAAAUGAAGCUUUCAAGGUUCUCCAUUCAUUUGAGUGAUAUUUCUUUGGAAUAUUUGACUUAGAAUAAUAUAUCAACCACCCUUGAUUUGAUUCAUCUUCAUCGUAGCAGCAUUCACAAGAUUGUUUAAACCGGAUAACAUCCAACAGAAAAGAUGCACUGUCAUGAUCGAAAUUCAAUUUACAGUUGAAACUCCUAUGUUUUGCGGUCUCAGUAUCAAGUGGAACAUGAAGAGAGCACAGAACAAAGCCCAAGAAGUCAUCAUUUUCAUACCAACUCCAAGGAAGUUCCAUCGUUAUUUGGAACCCGCUUUUCUGAUGGCUUAUCCACUCGGGAAUCCCAUUACUUUCAGGAAUAAAAGUUUGGACAAUGGCUCCAACUUCAACCCCCUGCACAAAAAUUACCCUCUAAAUUUGUGUGUCCAUGAAAAGAAAUGUUAAAUGCUAUAUGAAAAUCAUACCUGAAUUUGGGAUUUUAAACAUUUGAAUAAAGAAGACCAGAGUAGACUUGAUUGACUGGAUAAAUUUUCCAGGGAUGUGCAGUGAUGGGCAUCUAGAUACGUUAAACCUGAUGGAAGUUCUGGAAUAUGUUGAAGCAUCUUGCAGUGACUCAAGUCAAAAUGUUUUAGGUUGUAAAGUUGACUGAUCCCAUCAGGUAUGCGACUAAAGUGGUUCCCUCCCAGAUAUAACAUUACCAGUGAUGAUAGGUAAUAAAUUUCACUGGGAAAUUCCCUUAGAUUGCAGGCUUGAAGCAUUAAUAUCCUCAAGGAGCAUAAACCGGACAAAGACGGCAAUUGAAAAUUCAUUGAAUCUAAAUACCCAACAAAAAGAUGUUCUAAAGAUUGCAGUCUCCCCAAGUUGUCUGGCAAUUUGUUGAAGUUUGGACAGCGACUGACAACGAGAGUUUUAAAAGAUGUCAAAUUACAAAUACUCUCAGGAAGAUUCACAAGAUUUUUGCAUUGUGAUAGAAACAAAGAUUGAAGCCCUCUUAGACGUUGAAUUGAUGAUGGUAUCUCUCUUAUGGCGGUUCCAUCUAAAUAAAGCUUUCUCAAUCUCUCCAUAUCUUGCACGAUUUCUGGAAAGCUCUCUAGUUGUGAACAGCCAGAGCAGGAGAGAGCUGCAAGGGAUUUGAAACCGAAAAUGCUACUGGGCAGACUCGUAAGAUUUUUGCAAUCCCGCAGACAUAAACUAUCAAGUUCCAAGGGAUUCUCCAUAAUGGGUACUUCAUUCAUAUCACUUCCCUUAAAACACCGCUUCCGUCGGCAUGUCACAUCCUGUUGGCAUUCACUGCAUAUUCUAACAUCUGCAUCCUCUGUCUGUAUCGUUAGUGGAUGGCUUUGUUGAAGGUCUUGGGAGUAUAUAAGGCGGACUCCGCACUCCUUUACUUUCAAGGCUUUCUCAGAAAUAUUGAAAAAGUCCUGAAAUGAAGUCCCAAUGAGAGUCCAUUGAUCAGAGUGAAACCACUCCUGAAUAGCCGCCUUGGAAUAGCAAACCACCCACAUUUGACCUGAUACACUCUCAUUGUCUUCGUCCUUGCCUUCUUUAUAGCAAAAACAAUUGGAUUCAAACAGGGAAAGAUCUAUCAUUCCAACUCCAUCACCAUGGACACUCAAAGAACACUUCAGGCUACAAGAAUGCGUAUGUUCAUAUUCAUUCUUACUAAAAGAUCCAGCCACAGAUUUAUCAUCUGUUUCAUUCUCCCAUGUAUGAGCAGAUUCAUCCUCAGAUUUAUCGUCUGAUUCACUCUCGGACCCAUGUGCAGAUUCCUUUCCGGGUAUGUCCUCAGAUUCAUCAUGAAGUGGAACAUGAACACAGUAUAUAGCAAAUCCCAAAAACUCAUUAUUUUGGUACCAAUUAGCUCUGUUGUCACCAAAUAUCCAUCUCUACGAUACAUCAUCCAUUCUGGAAUUCCAUCACUUCUGGGAAGAACAAUACAAAUUCCCUUCCCAUGGUAGGAAGAAUCGCUAAAACUAGUGCGUUCCCAAUCCUGCACCAAAACACCAUGUAAAUAUAGAGUCUGCAUAAAACAAGUCUGUGACAUGAAAAUUAUACCUUUGCCCAACUGAAGCAAUUGACCAGAGAAUGCAAUGGCAAAAACGGGGCUCUUGAUGAAGUGCAAUUUGAACCAUGGGCAUCUAAAAGCCGUAGACUUGAUGGAAGCUCUGGAAUUUGUUCAAGAUUGUUGCAGUGACUAAGUUAAGGGCUUUCAGCCUUGAAAGCUGAUUGAUGGUAGCAGGUAUGCAACUGAAAUGGCCCCCUUCCAGAUUUAGUUUCUGUAAUGAUGAUAAAUGGCAAAUAUCACUAGGAAUUCCUCCUUCCAUUAUGUUGCAGUUUCCUAGGUCCAAUACUUCCAAUGAUGAUAAGUGGCAAAUAUGAAUAGGGAUUUUGUGGAGCUUUGAACAGUCUUCAAGUAGGAGAGUUUGAAGACCAUUUAGAUGUGAAAUUGAUGAUGGUAAGUCCAUUAUAGCUAUUCCACUCAAAUCAAGCACCCUUAGCUUUCCCAUAUUGCCUUUGAUUUUGGGAAAUCUCUCUAGCUUUGAACAGCCAUUGCAAGACAAAGUUUGAAGGUGUUUCAACUUGUAAAUGCCUCUUGGAAGAAGCUCCAGGUUUACACACCCUGCCAGAUUCAAGGGAAAAAGAAAAACCAAGUUAGUUUUAGUAAUUAUAAUACUGCUGCACCAAACUUUUAAGUACCGUUGUACAACCUUCUAGAGUUAGAAUCUCCAAGUUUGGCACACUUGAGAAGUCUGGGAUUUUGAUGAGAUGAACAGAGUAACUGAGAUCAAUAACCUUCAACUUCUUAUGAAGCUAGAACAAAAUAUUUUUUUUUCAAUAGAUAAGUUUACAUAAACAAUGAAAAUUAAUAUAAAAAAAGUGUAACUAAAUAAUAAUAAUAAUACCUUAUUCCCUCUCCAAAGUUGCUUUAUAUUGUUGUUCCUUAGUAAGAGUUCAACAAGGUUCUUUGCAUGAAAAUUCAUUGGCAAAUACUCUAAAGGGUAUCCAUCCCAAUAAAGAUAUGUUAACUCAUGAGAAGAAAAUUCAAAAUCUUUUGGAAGAUGGUCUUUAAGAAAUAGCUUUCUAUGAAGGCUACUGUAGACCCUCUAUUUUGUCCUCCUAGCAUAUGUCUUAUCAGGUAUUUGUUCGAUACUUUACAGCUUCCCUGGUGACCCAUUACUACUCGCAUAGCCUAUCUUUUCUAAGUCACAUCGGGGACUUUGGUUGAGGGGUUCAUUUAAUCCCAUUAUGACUCUUGGCAGCCCUAAUUUAGACUUAGGCUCACUUAGCCACCUUUGGCCCAUUAGGCACCACCUUAGACACCUUAAACCCACUUAGGCACCUUAAGUCCACCUAGGCACCACCCUAGGCCCAUUAGAUACACCCAAGGUCCAUUAGACAUUCUUUGCAUGGCUUGAGUUGCUCACAUGAUUGCAUGGUUGCAUAGAUUGCAUGACACUUUACUAUUAUUAUUAUUAUUAUUAUUAUUAUUAUCAUUAUUUACUUAAUUAUUUUGUUAAUUUAAUUUGUUUAUUUAUUUUAUAAUUUUCUAAAACACCUUUGGAUUCAUUCAUUAAGUCUAAUUUUCUUUAUGUUUUUGUAGAAAAACUCGCCAAAGAACUCAUCACUGGAGAGAAAAAGGAAGGUUGAAAACGUGUAUUGGCAAGGAUAUUCAGGCGUGAGUCUUUCGGGAAAUAGAGGAUAUUCAGUUGGAAAAAGAAAGAGGAAUUUUCAUGUGUGAUUAUGGAAAGGAAAUAUUCAGCGGGUUGAAGGAUGGAUUCAAGGUGGUUGGAAGAGGAGCGGAGUAUGGAAGGAAAUGAACUAAGAAGGCAAGCAAGUAUGCACCCAUGCAUGUGUUGAUUGUGCUUCUGAUGGAAGGAAAUGAACGAAGAAAGAAAAUUACCAAAGCUGUUUUGGCAUGGAAAAAGGAAAGGUUCAGUGUGUAUUUGGACGGAAUAAAGACUAUGUUCAGGAAGGAGAGUCCUGAUGAUGCUGGACUGACGUGGAUGAUUGAGGCUCUCCGGGCUGGUGAGUUGUCUUCCCAUGUUGGCAGAGUCCUGAAAGAGAUGAGGUGAGAUUAAAGAUGGGAGAGAAGAUCAGGUGGAGGUGUGGAAGAAAGGCAUUGGAAAACUGUGGUUCAUUGGAUGAAUACGAGAAGAAAACAACCGAGUGGGUUUGAAAAGCUUGGGUUUCUUUCAAUUGAUUGGAAUGGGAGACACAAGCUGGUGGUCUUUUGGGGGGGCAUUCUGUUUAUGACCCGGAGCAUUCUGGAGAGAGGAGCUAGAGGAUCAAGAAAGACAACGGUUCUUCUCUUUCAGGAUGGUUUUCAAUCUUUGUUUCUUUUAACGUUGAAAAAUGGCUUUGAGUGUGAGGCCACUUUACCUUCCUCUCAGAAUGAUGGCCUCUCGUUUCUAUACAUAUCCUUCCUCUCCCAUUCUCGUUUUGAUCAUUCCUCGUGGGUUCUGUUUGGUUUCCAAGAAGAAAGUGAAGGAAUAGCACGCUGGUGAGGAAGAUUGAUGCGCCAACCGCAGAACAAAGGGAGAUCUCGACCACGGGAGGAAAAUGGGGGUGGCAUGUCAGAUUUCUCCAGGAAUACGCCCCCAUCAGAAUUUUGGAAGAACAGACAUGCACCAUCAGUUUUCUUCAAGGAUGGCGGACAUGCUGGGGUGGGAUCAGACUCUGUUAUGGAUGCCAUUCAACAAAGAAACCAGCCACAAGAGGUCUCUUUCACACACUCAGUACGCUGUCAAAGAACGGGAAGGCUACCAAUCGGUCCUAGAGAGGAUUGAGGACUGAUCAUAUUGUUCUUUGAGUGGAGAAUGAACAUUCAGCAUGGGUUUGGAAAAAAACAGUAUUGUAACUCAGACGUUUAUGAAGGUUUGUGGAAAGAGGGAGUACAUGAAGGUUGUGGUAAGUAUGCUUGGAAUUCGGGAAACAUUUAUAUUGGAAAUUGGAAAAGGGGCUGCCACUUUGAAGAUCCACAACACGCACUCCACUUGGAAAAGCGGUCCACAAGGGAGACCUUCGCGGGCUGCAUCCUUGGAUCUGCACAUGCACUAUAGGAGAGAGGGCGUGACCAUCCAAAAUGAGGAAAAGAGAUUUUUAUUAAUCUCCAUGGGCGCACUAUGAGUUUGAUGAAAAGAAAAGUGACAGAAUUCAAUUUUUUUUUUUUUGGAACACAACCGUACAGUGGGGAUUCUCCAAGGCUGCCACUUUAGGGUGAAAUUUUUUUUUUUGAAAGAAAAGUGGCAACAAGCUGCUACUUUAGGGUGAGUUUUUUUUUGAAAGGAAAGUGGCAGCAUGCUGCUAGGGUGAUUUUUUUUUGAAAGGAAAGUGGCAGCAGGCUGAUACUUUAGGGUGAGAUUUUUUUUAAGAAAAGUGGCAGCAGAUUGCCACUUUAGGGUGAGAUUUGUUUUAAAAAAAAAAAGUGGCAGCAGGUUGCACUUUGAGGGGUGAGAUUUUUUUGAAAGAAAAAUGGCAGCAGGUUGCACUUUUAGAUGGUGAGAUUUUUUGAAGGAAAAGUGGCAGCAGGUUGCAUUUUAAGGGGUCCACGCCUCAAUUUCCAUAAAGAUCUUCAUGGUAUCUUCAAGAGAACCAUGAACGCCACUGAUCCCCAAAGCGAGUAGGCUGCAUCUUCCAAAGGUAAGUGAGUUUCCUUGUUCUUGAGUUUUUGAUUUCUUUUUUAUCCAUUAGUUUAUUAGUUUUUUUAGAUUGAAAAUUAGAGCUUUGUUUGCUAAUUUUUUACUUUAUUAAGUUUUCGAGUCUCUAAAGUUUUAGUCGAUUAAUUUAUUUGGUUUUAUGUCAUCAUCAUCUUGUUUUUAUUUAAUUUUAGUUCAUGGGUUCGUCCUAAUUAAUUCGUGUGAUGCCUUAAAAUUUUAAUGGAUUAAUUUAUUUGAUUCAAUGUCAUUAUCAUCAUGUUAUUUUAUUCUUUUUUUAUUUUCAUCUUAGUUGAUUCAUGUGAUGCUUUAGGUUUUUAGGUGAUUAAUUCAUUUGGUUCUAUAUCAUUAUCACUAUGUUUAUUAAUUUCAGUUAUUUUUUUUUAUUGAUCAUAUUCGGUUUAUGAGUCUUUAGAAUUUUAAUUAUCUAAUUUAUCUGACCCCUUGUCAUUAUAUCCAUGUUUUAAGUGUGUUAAGCUCUAGUUCCUGAUUGAUCCUUACUCAGUUCGGAUGUUUUAGAAUUGUAAGUUCUUAUGGUACUAUAUUUAACAUUACCUUAAUCAUAGGUUUGUGUGUUCGACUAAUCUGAUUUAAUUAUUGAUUAUAUCCUCAAUUUAUGCGCUUGACUAAUCUUUGUUUGUUCUUGAUUGAUAUCUGGUUUACUUUAUUUGAUCUAAGGCCAUUUAGUUAUUUUCUUUGACAUUUGUUCGUUUAUAUUUAAUUCAUGGAGGCCAUCGGAAAAUUGUGAAGAUUGGCCUCCAUUCACACCAUUUCAGUUUGCUUGGUUGCCAAAAAUUUUACUUUAUGAUUUUGUUUCCGUUUGUUUUGCUUGGUAUAUUGUUUCUCAUACGUUUUAUUGUUCUCAAAUUAAUUUCUCUUAUUUUAAAAUAUAACACUUUUCUCGAAAGAUUCCUUUAAAAAUCUAUUUUUAAAAAAUUCAUCUAGAGUUCUUAGAAUCAAAAUCUCGUCUUCUUAAAUAACAUGCAACCAUGUUUUGAUCGGUUCGCAUCUUUCUUAAAUUUCAAAUAAAAUUACAGUUUUAAGUAAGACAUGAAUCCAAGCUUGUGGUCCCAAACAAAUGGGAUAAUUCCAGGCUAGAUUUGUGUAUAUCAAUCGGGGAAUUGGUGAAACCCCUACAUAAAGAAAAUUUUCAAAACUCAUCUUUGUUGCCCCCUUUGUUAUUUGAUGAACUCAUGUCUAUUUAUUUUUUUAGGAAUUAUAUAGAAGAUAUAAGUGAUAAUCAAUGGUUUCGUAUACUGUGAUAAUUUUUUUUUCUAUGCUAAUUAGAUAACAAGCAUGCUAGGACUUCUUAUUUUAUUGUUUGUUAUCUAACCUCUCAUGUCUUGUGGAAGCACAUUACAAGUUAUCUAUGCUAUCUAGGUACGUCUCCUGUCACCUACCUUCUAAAUUUUGUAAAUAUGAUUGUCAUUAUGAAUUAUACCUAUGUUUGAGAAUGCUUGGGAUGUCUUGAUAUUUGCUACAUUGUUUGAUCAUUCAUGAUAAAACGCAUGUUGAGUGAUAUAUUAUCUAAACUAACCAUUGAUGUUUUAUGAUAGCACUUAAGAAGUGGUCCAGGUACGCAUCCUAACUCUCCUUUAUGAGCGUGAUUGGUUUUUCUUGUUUGGCAUGCUAGUUUUGAGAUCACCUACCUAGGUACCCUCAAUUAAUCAAUUGAUUGCCACAUUUCCUUCAACAUAGUCAAUAGAGACUUUUGUAGGGCUUAGAGGGGUGCUACCUUCUAGAGGUACUUUCCCAAUAAGUAACCUGAUCCCCGACCCUAGACUCGGGUUUUUCAAAGACAUGCCUUUCCAAAAACUAUGGAGUCAUAGGGUUUUAUUUCUUGUUUUAUUUUCCCUUUAAAAUAAAAUAAAAUAAGUGGCGACUCCGACUUUUCCAAAAACAAAAUUUUCACCAAAUAAAAGCGAGUCUCGCUGAUCGAGUGGGGGCGCACGUGAGAAAUGCGGGUCCAUAGCUACGGAUUUUAAGCAAUCUAAGUCUAUUCAUCUCUUUGAAAGAUUCUCUAUUCAGAUGUGAUGGAUUAAAUUUACAUCUAUCUAGGAAUAGUCCUUCAAUUGCUUGUGCCCCCUGAAAAAUAUAAGACUGUAAGUGAAGCACAAGAUGUAGAAAACUUAAAUGAGUCAUAUAUAUGGUAAUUAUUUUCUUAAAAAAUAAUAAUAGUAUUGAAGCUUGCAUACAGACACAUUAAACUAAGUUCAAGCAUUUGACUCUUACCAUAUUUCUUGUUAGCACAUGAUAGGCAUCAGAAUCCCACAAUCUACUCCUUCUUCCAAGGUUUUCAAGACAUUCUUGACGAAUAAUUUCCCAACCCAUCUGUUGUAUUAAAUCAUGCAUAUCUAGCAUGUUUUUUGAAAUGGUUAAGAGGCAUCUAUCAUCUAGAGUUGUUAUUCCAUACUCUGCAUAAGGACCCAAUAUUCUUGACACAUAAUCUUUGUCAUUCCCUUUGAAAAAACAUGCAACAUCCAAAAAUAUUCCCUUGUCUACAUCAUCAAGUCCAUCAAAACUUAUUCUAAGCACAUUGUGAAUUUCCAUGUGGGGUAUUGUUUUUAGCUUACACAAUGCACUUUCCCAUUCACUUCUUGUCUUUCCAAAAAGAGACCCACCUAAAACUUUAAGUGCUAAUGGAAGGCCAUUAGCAUAAUCUAUGAUAUUGUAUGAGAGGUUUUUAUAAACUUCUUUGGGAAGAUUGUGUUGAAAGGCCCACAAACUAAAGACUUCAAUAGCUUCUUUCUUAUUUAAUUUUGAAACCUCGUAUGAUAUAUCUACUCCAUAUUGAGCAAGCACUUGUUUGUCUCUAGAUGUAAUGAUGAUUGUACUUUUGGCCUCAAACCAAUCCUUCUCUUCAGCCAGAUAUUCUAGUUGCUUCAACUCGUCUACAUCGUCAAAAAUAACAAGAACUCUAUUGGAGCUGAGACACCUCUUUAUCAUACUAAUUCCUUCAUCAAUAUUGUUUACUUUAAAAUUUUUCCCCUUUAGGAUACCAUGAAGAAGUUCUUGUUGUAAUUGAAGUAUAUCACCUUUGGAUCUCUCUCUGAUAUUUUUAAGAAAGCUACUACCAUCAUAUUGAUAUGAGAUCUCAUUAUAAAUAGCCUUAGCGAUAGUAGUCUUACCAACCCCACCAAUUCCACAUAUCCCAACCACGCUAACCUUAUUCAAGUUAGUGUUCAUCAAUGAUUUCAAUUUUUCCAAAUGAACACUAACUAUGUUCUUUCCCACACUUAAAGGUUGAUGGUUUAAUCUUCUAAUGAUUGUAUUAACAAUUUCUUUGACAACCUCAGUCUCAUACCUAUCAAUUAUAUAAAUUAAGUACAAUGAUGAGUUAGAAUGAGUUGCAAAAUAUAAUAAAUGUACAAUAAAUUUAGUUGUGUAUGGUAGUGUCCAAUAUUACUGAAUUAGUAGCAAUGGAAUGCAAAAGAAAGGGGCCCUGAAGCCAAUUUACUUACAUAUUUAAGCUUCAAAAUUUGCAAGUAUCAAACUACUAAUGUGCCAAGUUGCAAAUUUUCAAUACUCUUACUGUUGGACCAUUGUUUAGGACUCCUCUCUGAACAACCGAAUGACUUCUUUCAACUUUUAUUUCACAAAGAAGUUGCUUAUGAUUCCUCAAUUUCACUUGUCUUUAGGUUCUAUUAACUUAUCAAUACUCUUACGAUUGUUGCAAGGACUUCAUUUUUAGUCUGCCAAUUAAUUUUGCAUUUCCAUAGAGGAAUGAGGAAACAAGUGAAUGUAGAAAAUUUCAUGAUUUGCUUGAGGAUUAUGAACUUAAAUAUGAUAGAAGAAGUGUCAAAGUACACUUUAUAGAAAAUUAAAAGUUAAAUUUUGAUACUUGUACUUUUGGACCAACACAGGGAAAAAUUGAAGUUAGAAUUUGUUAACAUUUUCAUAUUCAUGAGGAACUAAAGCUUCAUUAUGAGAAUAAACUUACAAGUAAAAUCAUUCCAAAAGAGAAUGAUAGGAAUGUUAAAGGGCAGAGUUUAGGGUAAAUUAAUCCAAACGAGCUUGAAAGGUCAAAGGGACAAAAUUGUUACUCCCUUCAAACAUAAUAAAAAUCCAUCAUGAAGAUUAUAGAACAAACUUAGCAUUGAUAUUUUUGCAGUGAGUAUGCAUUGAGUGCAUGGGAAUUAAGACUUUUUGAAGAAUAAACACAAAAAAAAAAAAAAAAACAAGCAAAAAUAUAAAUUGAAACUUAGGAAAUCGAGGGAGAUGCAUGGGAAUCCUUGCAGUAAGUGAGCAUGGAAUUUAAAGGGAUUAUGCAAUCACUGUGCCUUAUAGCAAAAUAGGAUAUUGAUUAAAAGGAUUUAAAAAUUGCACAUAAAAUCCCUAAAGAAAUAUUCAAUGAAAAGAAAUAUCAAAUAACUUCCAUGUAUUGAAAAUUGCACAUGUAACCUCCUUUUGAUACGUUAUUAGUUUUUACUAACUUUUAUCCAAAAGUGUUUGAUGUGAGAUUGAAAUUAAAAAAUUAGUUAAGGGCAUUUUUGUCCAAAAGAAGUUAUAUUUCAUAUUUUUGAAAAAUGAAAGUUAUUCUUCCGAAUUUGCAUUUUCAAUAUUCCAUUUAAACAGAUAACCCAUUUCUACACAAGAGGUGAAGAGAAGCAUACUUACUGGUCAUCCACAUGGCAUCCACAUAGAUUAGCUGCUUUUCUCAAGGCAAUCCUCCACUUUUGUACCAUCUCUUUCUUUUCUUGAUUUGCAUCUCUUUCAUGGCAGGCAAGUGCGUCUCCGAAACUUCCCUUUUGGUUUCGUACAUCAGAUGGAUCCACAUGGUAGAAAAUUGGUAGAACCAGUGAUUCCUUUUGGCUCUUGCGUUCAAUGAUCUUUACAAGUUCAUUUAAACACCAUCUGGAGUAAGCAUAAUUUUUUGAGAAAAUAAUAAUAAAAAUCCUCGAUUCUUCUAUAGCUCUUAAGAGAUCAGAUGCAAUAUCUCCCCCUUUCUCAAGUUCUUCAUCAUCUUUGAAAGAAUGAAUCCCAUAUGCAGUCAAAGUGGUAUACAGAUGAUCAGUGAAAUUUUUGCGAGUGUCACCACCUCUAAAACUCAAGAACACAUCAUAAUUACGAGAAAUAGAAGUAGCAGAAGAGGCUCUACGGGUGCUGGAAGAAGCCAUUUUUGGAUGGCUUGAACCAAAAUUACCAGGGAGUUUGGAAUCCAAGAAAAUCAGAGAGAGGGUCCUUGGAUGCUCAAUGACUAUUGGCUCCAAACCUCUUCACCAUGAACAAAAAUGCAAGCUGGGAGGGAGGUUCAGCUAAAAAGGCUCAUCUGCAAUCAUAAAAGAAAAAAAAAACAUAUAUGAAGCCUCUUUGACAAAUUUCUUUGUAUAUAAAUUCUAAGAGAAACUCACACAUAUUUUACCUCUUGGUUGGGGAAGAUCCUUUCUCCAUUCCCUUUGUGUUGGAGACUGCAUUAAGGGAUGCAGAGAAGAUGGUGGGGAAGGUGUUGAAGAAGAGGCGGUGGGUAGCAGAGGUCUCGUUGACUAGUGGAUGGAAUGGAGUUGAGGAAUUCUAAUAUUUUGAAAUGAAAUUUCAUGGAAGGUGUUGUUUUUAGUUUUUGUUUCCACAAUAUUGGUGCGGCAGCUAGAGGACAUAAUUAUGAUGAUGAGAAAUCCCUAUUUAAGACUAAAAAGUAAUGCUUUUCUUUUUAAUUAAUCAUAUACUUAAUUUUUGUCCUUCCAUUUCAUAUUCUAAUUGUAAUUUGUUUUAUUUUUGUCUCUUGUAUUUUGAUAAUAUUAUUUUUUUAUAGAUAUCGAUUGAAAAAUUUUGUCAUCUUUUUAUGAAAUUUAUUAGAUUUUUUUUAUUAAAAAUAUAGAUUUUUAUAAAUAUAUUAGUAAAUCGGUUUUAUAUAUAUAUAUAUAUAUAUAUAUAUAUAUAUAUAUAUAUAUCAUAAUAUAACUGAAAAAUAUUAAUGAAACAAAAAACAAUUAAAAAUUAUAUAAAUGUCUAUAACAAUUCUAAGAAAUGAAUAGAAAAAAUAAUAAUAAAUAUUUUGAUGUUGUUUUAUUAAAAAAAUUAAUAUAUAUAUAUAUAUAGAUAUAUGAUAUAAUUUAUAAUAUUUAGAAUUUAAAAAUAAAUUUUAUAUAAAUGUAUCUAAUUCGAAUGUAUCUCAUGACAUAAAAGGAAUGAUGAUAAUUAAAUUAAUAUAUUUGUAAUAAUUUUAUUUAUAUACAUAAAAAACAUAUAUUAUAUUUAUAAAUAUGAAUAUAUAAAAAUGAGAAUCUUAAUAUAAUAUACAUAAAUAAAUAUUGUAUAUAUAAGUCAAACAUAACAAUAUAAUAUUAACAAAGUUAGGUUGGUGGCGUGCUGCUCUCACUCUAUGCCUGAGGUCAUGGGUUUAAAUAAUUUAUUUUUGAACCAUCGGCCAGCCGUAGCACUUAAAGUUUAAAUCUUUUCUUAAAGGUAAAAGGUGGAAUGCCACAUGACAUCGAACCUCGUAGAUCAUUGGGCAGGUAGCGAAGUUUGAAUGCGCAUGGUGGGCUGGGCCGACGUGGGCCGAGAUAUUUCCGAUACCUUCCAUCCUUUAUCAUACCCAAUAAAUUAUGCACGCAAAAACCUCCCAUAUAAAAUUUUAGAGAAGAGAUUUCCUUGCAUUUCCAACCAUUUAAUUAUUUUUAAAUACACCUUUGAGAAAAGGGGUUUGCUCUGACAACCCAGGCAGGAAUUCCUUCUUGUAGGUGUGCUUGCCGCUUGCCGCUUGCCGCUUAUCUCAACCCGAACAACCCCAGAGCACAGUUAGACCAACCAGCACUAACACAUUUGACAUUCAUUCCAGAGCCUCCUUAUUUGCUCUCAAAUCAUUCCAAAGAUGGUGUUAUAUAAGGAAUUUCUUAAAAAUGUGCUUGUCAAAGUUAUAUCAAAUUAUCCUUUGUUUGAUACCAAUAAGAAUUUAAAAAUCUCUUAACUUGAAGAUAUUGAAAGGAUUUUGUGGACCCCGCAUUUCGGCUCAUGCGUUUCCCACUCGAAAGCGAGCUCGAUUUUUAUUUGAAAAAUUGAUUUUUUAUUGAUUAAGAAAACUGACUUGGAGUCGCCACUUAUUUUUGUUUUAUUUUUAAAAGGGUAAACAAAAUAAGAAAGAAAAACCCUAAGUGUGACUCCUUACUUUGGAAAAGGUGGUCUGUGAAAAACCGGAUCGGGUUCGGGGGUCAGGUUACUUAUCGGGAAGGUACGGUAAAGACCGUAGCACCCCUCUAAGUCCCUAAAGUCGGGUCUCUACUAAUAAAAUGAAGCAAUCAAUGGCAAUUGAUGAGGGAAUCAAUGAAUACUCAGAGUGAUCCUGCACAUGUGGGAAUCUAAACAUGCAUACAGAAAAUGACCCAAGCGGGUGUGGAUGCGUACCUGGGCAGUGAUCCAUAAAGCGCUAUCAAGAAGUGAGGUUAGCGCACAAUUAAAGAAUAAUUUCGAGCAUGUCAUAGAGCGAAAUAAAAUCGAUCAUGCAUGACAAUUAAAUCAAACAAACAAUCAAUCAAUCAUAAGGGAAUCACAUAUGUUGGGCCCCCACCAAAACCCGAUUUAUAUUGCAUGAAUUAAUCCUACGAAUCCCAUUAUUUCGGAAUUAUGAAGAUUCAUCAUUCUUGCUUGUGUAAAAAUCAAAAGAAAUAGAACAUUAUUUAAAAAUCGGAGUGAAAUUAAAACUAUUCGAGAGAAAACUGGGUUUUUGAGAUUUAUUUGGAAAUUAGAGUUUCGAAAAUUAUUUGAAGAUUGGAGUCUUGAAAAAUUAAAUUUAAGAAUUGGGAUUUUGGAUAUUAAAUUUGAAAGAAAUUAGAAUUUUGGAAAUCGGAAAUUAAGUUCAGAAAUUGGAAUUUUGAAGAAUGUUUAAAAUGGAAUUUCAAAAUAAAUAACUAAAAUAAUAAUAAUUAAAUAGAUUAAUGUGAAUAUCAGAAUUUUCAGAAUUAGAAAUUAAAAUCGGAAGUUGGAAAUUUUAAUGAAUUGUUUAAAAUUGAAUUUUAGAAUAAACAAAUGAAAUAAUAAUAAUAAUGAAAAUAAUAAAGAUUAAAUAAAUAAAUAUGGAAAUUGGAAUUCCGGAAAUUAGAAAUUGAAUUUAGAAAUCGGGAUUUUGAAGAAUUACUUAAUGAUGGAAUUUUAAAUAAAUAAAUAAAUAAACAAUAAUAAUAAUAAUAAUAACAAAAAUAAUGAUUGAAUAAAUACAUAUGGAAAUUAGAAUUCCGGAAAUUAGGAAAUUGAGUUUGAAAAUCGGGAUUUUGAGGAAUUGCUUGAUGAUAGAAUUUUAAAUAAAUAAAUAAAUAACAAGAAUAAUGAUUGAAUAAAUAAAUAAGGAAAUUAGAAUUCCGGAAAUUAGGAAAUUGAGUUUGGAAAUCGGGAUUUUAAGGAAUUGCUUGAUGAUAGAAUUUCAAAUAAAUAAAUAAAAUAAUGAUGAUUUAAAUAAAUUGAUGUGAGAAUUUAAAAUUUCGGAAAGUGGAAUUUAAAUUUAGAAAUCGGGAUUUUGAGGAAUUGUUUGAAGAUUGAAUUUUAAAAAUAAAUAAAUAAAUAAAUGAAAUAAUGACGAUUAAAUAAAUUGAUGUGAGAAUUAAAAUUUCAGAAAUUGGAGUUUAAAUUUAGAAAUCAGAAUUUUGAGAGAUUAUUAAAGGUUGAAUUUUAAAAACGAACAAAUAAAUAAAUAAAUAAAAUAAUGACGAUUAAAUAAAUUGAUGUAAGAAUUAAAAUUUCGGAAAUUGGAAUUUAAUUUGGAAAACGGAAUUUUGAGAGAUUAUUAAAGGUUGAAUUUUUAAAAAAUGAACAAAUAAAUAAAUAAAUAAAAUAAUGAUGAUUAAAUAAAUUGAUGUAAGAAUUAAAAUUUUGGAAAUUGGAAUUUAAUUUAGAAAAAGGAAUUUUGAAGAUUCUUAAAAGGUUGAAUUUUUAAAAAAUGAACAAAUAAAUAAAUAAAUAAAAUAAUGAUGAUUAAAUAAAUUGAUGUAAGAAUUAAAAUUUUGGAAAUUGGAAUUUAAUUUAGAAAAUGGAAUUUUGAAGAUUCUUAAAAGGUUGAAUUUUAAAAAUGAAUAAAUAAAUAAAAUAAUAAUGGAGAAUUAAAUUUUGAUAUUGAGAAUUAAAAUUUCGGAAAUUGGAGUUUAAAUUUAGAAAUCGGAAUUUCGAGGAGUAGUUUAAAGAUUGAAUUUUAAAGAUAAGCAAGUGAAUAAAUAAUGGUGAUUAAAUAAAUGGAUGUGAGAAUUAAAAUUUCGGAAAUUGGGAUCAAAUUCGGAAGUCAGAGAAUUAAGAUUGUUUAAAGAAGGAAAACUUGAAAUAAAUAAAUACAAUAAUAAUAACGAAUAUAAUGAUUAAAUGAAUGAACGAGAAUUUUGGAAUUUCUUCAAAUCGGAAAUUGAAUUUAAAGGUUGGAAAAUUGGAAUUGGAUAAGGAAGGAUAUUUUGAAGUAACUAAAUGGAAUAAUAUUAAUAAGAAUGAUAGUUGAAGUUUUUGAAAACUAGGUUUUAAAGAUUGGAGCUUUGGCAACUAGAUUAAAAUUUUGAAUCUUGACAAUUAACUUUGGAAAUUAAAAAAAAAAAAAUAUUCUAAAAUGGAAACUUUAAAAAUUAGAUUUAAAAAGAGAACUUUGGACAAUUAAACUAUGAGAAUAUGGAUUUUGAAAGUUAAACACUGGAAAAUUGAAAUAAUAAUAAUAAUAGUAAUAAUAACAACUUAAUAUUGAGAACUUGAUAUUGAGAAUAUGGAAUUUGGAUAAAUGAAUAAGCAUAUAAGUGAAUAAUAUAGUGUACGUGUGCAUGAAAUAAAAAAGAAUGAAUAAAAGAAACUAAAGGGCUUUAGAGAGGGGUUUAGGAUAAAGGAUAUGCAGAUUUGGGCCUUUAGGAAUGGACCUUGGGCUUUGAAAAGGGGCUAAGGGUUGGAAAUGGGCCUUGGGCUUCAUCUUCAUCCUAGUUCCUCCACAGCCCAACAGCAUCCCCUCCAGCUGGGCAACUCCUUCAGGAUAUCUCCACCAGCACCGACGUAGAGAGAGACUUCACCACCGGUGGCAAGAUGGAGAGAGGAGCCAUGGCGGCGGUUCGGCGGCAACCUGAAGGUGCAGCCGUCAAGGUGGCUGGUGCGAGUGCUCGCCUGGCCGGGGCGGGUGGUGGCGGCUGGCGAGGUGAGCAAGCACCUCGCCGACGCGGUACACGCAGCGAGAAGGAGCGGGGAGGGGCGGCACGCGUGCAUGGAAGGUUGUGAAGCUCCCCAGGCCUCCGACAAACGCGUCUCUGAUGAAGACGGUAGGAGCGAUGACGGGUAUGAGGAGGAAGAUGGUGGAGGCGACUUGCAUGUUUGGACCCCAUGUGUGCAGAAGGGCGGCUUGGGGAGUCCUCGUGGAGAUGGGUAUGGCGGUUAGAGAGAGAAAAGGUGGCAAAUAUACAUGGGUAUGAGAUGGGAGAGAUAUAGGUGACGCAGCGGACUAGACGAUACAAAUCAGGUUUGAACUGAGGAUUCGGUGAAUUGGAAACUUUAACUAAAAGCUACAGGGGACUUUCUUAAGCUAUGCAUGAUACAAGGGAAUGAGUUGUGAGUUGUUGAGGGCAGCGAUGGAGUGAGAAUCUGGUGAAACAUGAAUAUAUCUAGCCUCAUUUCAAAUAUCAUCCAUGGGCCGAUACAGGUGAAUGAUAAAGAGCAUCAACGUGAUUCAUAACGAACCCAUGUACUCGAUGGCCUCUAAAGAAAAUCACAAAAAUGAGAUAAUAGCAUAGCAAACAUACCCAAGCAGUGAAUGAAAGCUUAAACGAUCGAGACAAGUGCAUGAAAAAUAAUACGAUAAGAAAAUAAUGAACAGAAAACCCACAAAACUUAUACCUGGGAGUGCUCUUUCUUAGCGAAAACCAAUCAGAAAAACCAUGAGUCUCCCCCGGUUCAGCAACUCUGCCUCCCUCCUAGAUAGCUCACUCUUUUCUUCUUUCCUUUUUUCCGAAACUCUGUUUUCCUUUUCUCCUUUUUUUUAGCUUCCUCUCCAAGCCAUCUCUGUACCCCAUCCCAUCUGCCGUCCCAGAGCCUCUCCUAUCAGUCUCCUUUUUGCUACCCCAAAAACAGCCCCUGACCAUCAUGUCGAGCGGCUCCGGAAAAAAGGUAGGAAAAAGAAAAGAAAUAAAAUAAAUCCAAAGAAAACUCUCUGCCUCCGGGGGGUCUACAAAUAUGCCCCUCUUUGAUAGAGUUCACGAGUGUAAGGAACGUGAACACUGGAGUGAAAAAGAAGUGUGAAAAGCGAGUGAAAUGAAGUGAACUCUAUCGAAGAACAAAGAAAGACCCCCGAACCCAAAAGGUACAAGUAGAACACAAACUCACUCAAGGCUCUAAAAUUCUAAGAGGCUCAAGGCACCUCUAAAGCUGCAUCAAGGACCCAGACUCCCUCUAAGAUGUCUCUAAAAGUGACCCAAGAGAUCAACAUCAAAGAUGAGUAACGGUCGAACCACCCUGGAGUACGAGCAAGAAUGCGCCCAAAGGGGACUACCCUAUGUGGACUACGAGAUGAAUAGGCGAUAAGCGCAGGAUAACGGAGUGAGGAAAAAAACCGAGGAAGAAUGUAAAACCAUGAAGGCAAGAUGCGCAAAGCCAGCGGAUAUGAACGUCAGGAGUUGUGACUCUGGAUGACAAGGCCGACUCUAAACACUUAAACCAAGAAAAUAAAAGCUCUAGAAGCCAAACCAAAAAGCGAACCCUAAAAGCUAAACUGAAAAAAUAAUAGUUCUGGAAGCUAAAACAAGACGAUAGUGAUGGCUCUGGAAGCCUAAACGAGGCGACAGUGAUGGCUCUGGAAACCUAAACAAGAUGACGGUAAUGGCUUUGGAAGCCUAAACGAGACGACAGUGAUGGCUUUGGAAGCCAACCAAAAAGCGAACUCUAAAAGCUAAACUGGAAAAAUAAUAGCUCAGGAAGCUAAAACAAAACUAACUCUAAAAACUAAACUAGAAAAUAAUAGCUCUGGAAGCCAAACCAAAACGACAGUGAUGGCUCUGGAAGCCUAAACGAGGCGACAGUGAUGGCUCUGGAAGCCUAAACGAGGCGACAGUGAUGGCUCUGGAAGCCUAAACGAGAUGACAGUGAUGGCUCUGAAAGCCUAAACGAGACGACAGUAAUGGCUCUGGAAGCCUAAACAAGACGAUAGUAAUGGCUCUGGAAGCCUAAACGAGAUGACAGUGAUGGCUCUGGAAGCCUAAACGAGAUGACAGUGAUGGCUCUGGAAGCCUAAACGAGAUGAUAGUGAUGGCUCUGGAAGCCUAAACGAGAUGACAGUGAUGGCUUUGGAAGCCUAAACGAGAUGAUAGUGAUGGCUCUGGAAGCCUAAACAAGAUGACAGAAAUGGCUCUGGAAGCCUAAACGAGACUACAGUGAUGGCUCUGGAAACCUAAAAGAGAUGGCAGAAAUGGCUCUAGAAGCCUAAACAAGAUGACAGAAAUGGCCCUGGAAGCCUAAACGAGAUGACAGUGAUGGCUCUGGAAGCCUAAACGAGAUGGCAGAAAUGGCUCUGGAAGCCUAAACGAGAUGGUAGUGAUGGCUCUGGAAGCCUACACGAGAUGGCAGAAAUGACUCUGGAAGCCUAAACGAGAUGGUAGUGAUGGCUCUGGAAGCCUAAACAAGAUGGCAGAAAUGACUCUGGAAACCUAAACGAGAUGACAGAAAUGGCUCUGGAAGCCUAAACGAGAUGACAGUGAUGGCUCUGGAACCUAAACGAGAUGGCAGAAAUGGCUCUGGAAGCCUAAACGAGAUGGUAGUGAUGGCUCUGGAAGCCUACACGAGAUGGCAGAAAUGGUUCUAGAAGCCUAAACGAGAUGGUAGUGAUGACUCUGGAAGCCUACACGAGAUGGCAGAAAUGGCUCUGGAAGCCUAAACGAGAUGGUAGUGAUGGCUCUGGAAGCCUACACGAGAUGACAGUGAUGGCUUUGGAAGCCUAAACGAGAUGGCAGAAAUGGCUCUGGAAGCCUAAACGAGAUGGUAGUGAUGGCUCUGGAAGCCUACACGAGAUGGCAGAAAUGGCUCUGGAAGCCUAAACGAAAUGGUAGUGAUGGCUCUGGAAGCCUACACGAGAUGGCAGAAAUGACUCUAGAAGCCUAAAAGAGAUGGUAGUGAUGGCUCUGGAAGCCUAAACAAGAUGGUAGAAAUGACUCUGGAAACCUAAACGAGACGAUAGAAAUGGCUCUGGAAGCCUAAACGAGAUGGUAGUGAUGGCUCUGGAAGCCUACACGAGAUGGCAGAAAUGGCUCUGGAAGCCUAAACGAGAUGGUAGUGAUGGCUCUGGAAGCCUAAACGAGACGACAAUGAUGGCUCUGGAAGCCUACCAAAAACUAACUCUAAAAGCUAAACUAGAAAAUAACAGUUCGGGAAGCCAACAAAAAAAAACUAACUCUAAAAGCUAAACUAGAAAAUAACAGCUCUGGAAGCCAACAAAAAAAAAACUAACUCUAAAAGCUAAACUAGAAAACUAAUGGCUCUGGAAGCCGAACCGAAAAUCUAGUUCUAAAUGCUAAACUAGAAGGCCCACAGGUGAACUAACAGUAGGGGAAUGCCUUAAACAAAGUAAACAAGGGGGAUGCCUCAAACAAGGCGACAGGAAAGGGGGAUGCCCUAAACAAACUGAAAGUAGGGGGAUGCCUUAAACGAACUAAAGGUAGGGGGAUGCCGUAAACAAAAGCGACAGUAAGGGGGAUGCCCUAAACAAAGUGACGAUAGGGGGAUGCCCUAAACGAGCUAAAAGCAGGGGGAUGCCCUAAACAAAGUAAAGGUAGGAGGAUGCCCUAAACAAACCUAAAGUAGGGGGAUGCCCUAAACAAAGUGAUGAGAACGGGGAAUGCCCUGAACAAAGAUGACAGUGGGGGAUGCCCCAAACGUAAAUGACAGUGGGGGGAUGCCCCAGACGUAAUGACAGUGGGGGGAUGCCCCAAACGUAAAUGACAGUGGAGGGAUGACCCAAACGUAAAUGACAAUGGGGGGAUGCCCCAAACGUAAAUGACAGUGGGGGGAUGCCCCAAACGUAAAUGACAGUGGGGGGAUGCCCCAAACGAAAAUGACAGUGGGGGGAUGCCCCAAACGAAAAUGACAGUGGGGGGAUGCCCCAAACGAAAAUGACAGUGGGGGAUGCCCCAAACGUAAAUGACAGUGGGGGGUUGCCCCAAUAGAAAAACGCUAAAAGGGGGUAUGCCCCAGUAUGACGACUCGCAAAGAUCAAGAAAUGGACUGAGUAAUGAGAAAGAUGUGCAAAACAACCGAUGUACUCAAAGACGGGGGUAUACCCCAGUGUGGCAUGCCACUGCAAAUCUCAAUCCGCUGGAAAUGGCUGAAAGGGACUCUACGAGUCUCAAACGACGCUCCGCUGAGAGCUCAGGAAUAAUGGUCAGUGAGGCGAAUACAAUAUAUCUCGAUCGAGUGAUGAAAACUGUAACGGAUACGUGAGAGAACGAUCGCCUCCAGGGCUAAAUGAAGGCAAUAUACCCCAGUAUGACAUCAAAUGUACCCAAUCUGUCCUGAUGACCCGAGAAUAACACCAAUGGGAUGCGUAACGGAUCUGAUAUGUACCCCUCUGAAAUGAUGACGCGGGAAAUCCAGGCACCAGAGACAACUCCAUCCAGGAAUCACGACUAUAUCAAAGGGUAUGAAUCUGGCUGAAUGACUCAAGAGAGGCUCCUCGGAGUAUCUAGACAAAAUAAAAUCAAACAUCGACCUGGCGUGUAUCUCAUAACCGUGGAUGAUCAUGUAAACCAGUGGGGAUCUAUAAAUCUCGAUCAAGAUGGGGAAUGUGCCCCAAUGUGGCAUCGAGAAUGCAAUACAUCAAAAAAUCAGAUGAGCUCAGGUCAUCCAUGCCUGGCUAGAUGGCUCUCGAUAGGCUCCACUAAGGAAUCAUCGUGAGGAUAGCGAAUAUAUCAUCAUCUCUGCAUACAUCUCGCCAAAUAAGGAUAAGCACGCGACUCCCUCAUGAUCUGUAAAUCUCGUCCGAAUCGAAAUAUGCCCCUGUAUGGCAUCGAAAUGUAUGAUAGGUCGGAGAUCAGAUAGCAUGGAAUCAUCUAUCCUCGAACAUGUGACCUCUGCGAAGAUCCAUAAAGAUCCUCCGAAACGGAAUAUGCCCCAGUAUGGCAUCAGGUGCGCGACAGGUCUGAAGAACAAAUGUCAUGAAAACAGCCAUCAUCGCACAUGUGAUACUGGUCAUCCGAAUCCAUAACUGAAUCAUGCACAUAUAUCCAAGAUGACCUCCCAGAUGGAGAGGCAUGAUGGCAUCCAAGCGUCGAGAAGUGCGGAACUAGCAGGAUGGAUCUCAGGGGCUCCGUAAGGUAACGACCAUGUCCACGUCUCAGUGAGCAUCCAGUAAGUGGUAAUGAUCGUGUAGAUCUGUGAGGAUCCAUAAACCUCCAAAUGAAAUGGGAUAUGCCCCAGUGUGGCACCAGAGGUAUGAUAGGUCAAAAAUCAGGUGACACCAAAUCAAUCGGCAUCAAACUCACGAUCCUGGUAAUCCGAACACAACUGAAUCAGACCUACACAUCAAAGAGGCGACUCCCAGAAGAAGAAGCAUGACAAUAUCUAAAUAUCAACCAGAUCUCAAUCACCUGUCCAAGUAGAGGCUGCUGAAGACGACAUCUGAUCCCAUGGCCUCAGGGUGGUCUUAAGACACGGGACGUAACGUAGGCCAAGGUGAUAGGGUGAUAGAAAUGAAAGAAAACUAGGCUCAAAUACCCAAUGAUCAAAACUCAUGCCCUCAUAUAUGAAAUGCAACAUGUAUAGUGAACCUCAUGAGCCAUGGACCUGAGGAUGCCUAAUGUGAAUAUGAUAUCGAUAAGGAGACAAAUGAAACAGGAUGAACUGAUAGUGAUAUGUGUAAUGAUGAUGCGAAGUGAGCAUCGAACCUGAGAUGGGUCGCUGUAAGGAGAGAAUGAGACGCGAAGGGAAUGAGAUGAAUCACAAGCAAUGAUAAAAACGAUAGCGAAACAAUGAAUACGUGAAGAAAAGUGGUGAUCGACCCAGAUCAAACAUGAAGUGAAGUCACAUCAAUAAUGAAUGUAAUGAUGGAAAGGACAAUGACUCGGAGUCCUUAGGAGAAGGUCACUCAUAUCUCUCACAAAUAGAUAUGACGAAGCAAUACAAAUAACAUGGGAUUUCAGAGAGCUCACAUACGAACUCCCAAUAACGAACAUACUCGAUAAAAAUGACCCCCAGACAUCAAUAUACAUACCCAAUGAUCGAGAAUACUAUGCACAUACACACAUGUGCUAAUAAUAAUAAUAAUAAUAAUUUUCUUUUUCUUUUUCUUUCUUUUUUCCUUUUUUUUUUUUUUUUUUUUUUUUUUUUUUUUUUUUUUUUUUUUUUACAUAUAUACAAAUGCUCGUACCCUGAACGUGAGCAAAUGAACCCCAAAGAUGAUAUCAAUAACAAAUGGACACACCCCCAAGUGCUAAGGUAACCAACAAACUCUCUCUAACAAGAUGACCUUCUCAAACUAAGGAUCUCUAAACCAAUGUCCGUGAGAUAGAUGGUGGAAAUGAUGUGACUAUCCUCCAUGUGAUGAACUGAGGAGGCUCACCACUCAGGGUGGAGAGAAUAUGAGACAAACAAAUAGUAGAUAGGAUAAGGAAGAAGAGAUGAAUAGCAUAACCAAUAAGAUGAGAUGAAAAUGCAGAGGUGUAGUGAUAGGAAAAGAUAAUGAGAAAAACAUGCCCCUAGGUCCAAAGCUCAUGAAACUACCAAACAAUGCAUGCAUACAUAAAAGGGCCCCUAUCCCGGUGUGAAAAUGUGAGCAAGGCGAUAAGAAAGAAAGGCUAUAAUGCGCAUGCGAGGCUCAAUGGGCUAGCAACGGACUAUGUAUCAUAAAGGAAUAACAAGGUAAUGGCUAACCGAAAUGACGGCCACCCAUCCUGCGACCAUGGUCUCAAACAUAGUACCUCUUUAGCUGAUCCACAUUGGUUGGCUCUGAGAAUCGGUUUCCAUCUAAAUCCAUCAACCAUGCAGCGCCCUCUGGGAUCAACUCCCUGAUGAAAUAAGGUCCGCUCCAGUUGGGUCUGAACUUCCCUCUAGGAUCUCUGAUCAAUCCCCUGAUGACUUUCAAGACUAAGUCACCUACAUGCAGUGGUCUGGGCUUGACCCGCUUUUUGAAAGCGCGGGCCAUCUUCCUCUGAUAUGCACGAACAUGGUCUACUGCUCUCAAUCUCCUCUCAUCUAGGAGAUUGAGCUGAUCAAAUCGAGCCUGAGCCCAAUCUGUCUCGGGAAUCUGCUGCUCUAGUGCUACCCUCAACGAACCCAUCUCAAUCUCAACGGGUAGCACCGCCUCCAUGCCAUAUACCAAUGAGUAGGGUGUGGCGCCUGUAGAGGUGCGAAAAGAGGUCCGAUAAGCCCACAAUGCAAAUGGGAGCUUCUCUGACCAAUCCCGAGAAGUCUCGACCAUCCUCCGUAAUAUCCUCUUGAUAUUCUUAUUCGCGGCCUUUAUUGCCACAUUCGUCUGCGGCCUGUACGCAGACGAUCUAUGAUGCCGGAUGCUGUAUCUCUAUACUAAGGUAUCAACCUCUGCUCUGAAAUGUACUCCUCUAUCUGAAAUCAACUCAUGAGGGACUCCAUAGCGACAGAUAAUGUGUGAUCUGAUGAAACUAGCGACUCCAGCUGAUGUCAACCUCGCAUAUGAGGCGGCCUCCACCCACUUGGUGAAGUAAUCGAUGGCGACCAGGAUGAACUCAUGACCACUGGAAGAUUUCGGUGAAAUCUUCCCGAUGAUAUCAAUACCCCAGACGGAAAAUGGCCAUGGUGAAGUCAAAGCGUGCAGCUCGGAGGGCGGCACGUGAAUGAGGUCCCCAUGUAUCUGACACCCGGGACAUCUCUGAACAAACUGGCAGCAAUCCGUCUCCAUGGUCAACCAGAAGUAACCGGUCCUCAUGAUCUUACGGGCCAACAUAUGUCCUCCCAUAUGUGGUCCGCAGACUCCCGCAUGAACCUCUCUCAUCACUCGAUCGGUGGAGGCACGGUCCAAGCACAAUAAUAGCAUCCCAUCAGCUGAUCGUCUAUAUAAUGUCUCACCACAAAUCACGAAUCGGGCUGCUAACUGUCUCAAUGCCCUCCUAUCCUUGGCCGUGGCUGCCUCAGGGUACACGCCAAGUCUCAAGAAGUGAUAUAUGUCAUGGUACCAAGGCAGACCAUCAUCUGGCUCUACAUCAUCGAUCAGGCAACAGUAGGCAGGAGCAGAUCUCGACUCGAUCAACAAAGGUCGAACAGUGGCGUCAACGGGAAUAUCGAUCAUGGAAGCUAGAGUAGCUAAAGCAUCAGCAAACUGGUUCUGCGCUCUAGGCAGAUGGGUAUAUCUCAAAUCAUCAAAUCUCCCAACCAUUAGCUCCAAAUAUACAUGAUAAGACCUAAGCUUCACAUCUCUAGUCUUCCACUCGCCCUGAAUCUGUCUCAACACCAGAUUGGAGUCACCAAACACCUCUAUCUGUCUAAUCCCGAGCUCGAGGGCUGUCUCUAAUCCCAAGAUACAAGCCUCAUACUUAACAAGGUUGUUCGUGGCAGGAUGUCGAUCCGAGAAUGCCAACCGAACAGAUCUGGGAAUGUGAUCACCAUGAGGGGAUAUCAACAGGACGCCUAUCCCGUAUCGAGAAUGGUUGGCUGCACCAUCAAAGUACAUGCGCCAACCUGACAGACUAGUCACAGCAGCGACAUCCUCGUCUGGAAAAUCAUCGUCAAUAGCUCUGGCAUCAGAAACUGGUAAUGAGGCUAGAUGAUCUGCUACAAUGCUCCCUCUGAUGGACUUCUGAGUGACAUAAUGGAUGUCAAACUCAGUCAGAAGUACCAACCAUCUCAUGAGGCGACCAACCAGAGCGGGUCUAUCAAACAAAUAUCUCAGAGGAUCCAAGCGAGAUAUCAAAUGCACGGAAUAUUCGGUCAUGUAAUGUCUCAACCGGCCAGUGGCCCAAACCAAUGACAAACAAUAACGCUCAAUCAUGACAUACCUCGUCUCGUAGUCUAACAUCCUCUUACUCAAAUAGUAAAUGGCUUGAUCCUUGCCCGAAUCAUCGAGCUGAGCUAACAUGCAACCCAAGGCCACGUCUGAUACGGACAAGUAUAAGAGCAGAGGACGGCCUAGUGUAGGAGGCGCCAAAACAGGAGGUGACAACAAGUACUCUUUGAUCCUCUCGAAGGCACGCUGGCACUGGUCAUCCCAAACAGUAGGUUGACUCUUCCUCAAGAGUCGAAAUAUGGGCUCACAGAUGUCUGUCAAUCUGGCUAUGAAUCUACUGAUGUACUGAAGUCUGCCCAGGAAGCCUCUGACCUCUCUCUCUGUCCUCGGCGCAGACAUGUCAAGAAUGGCUCUAAUCUUGUCCGGAUCUACCUCUAUGCCUCGCUCACUGACCAUGUAUCCCAAGAGUUUCCCAGAAGUCACUCCGAAAGUGCACUUCUUGGGAUUCAGUCUCAACCUGAACUGUCGGAUCCUCUCAAAGAAUCUCUCCAGAGCUGCUAAAUGAUCUGAUCUACCUCGGGAUUUCACUAUCAUGUCGCCUACAUAAACCUCGACAUACCGAUGCAUCAUGUCAUGGAAGAGGGUGGUCGCUGCUCUCUGAUAGGUGGCUCCUGCGUUCUUCAAUCCGAAUGGCAUGACUCUAUAGCAAUAAGUACCCCACUCGGUAAUGAAGGACGUCUUCUCCAUGUCCUCUGGAGCCAUCAAGAUCUGACUGUACCCGGAAAAUCCAUCCAUAAAGGACAACAUCGAAUGACCUGCCGUACUGUCAACUAGCAUGUCGAUGUGUGGAAGAGGAAAAUCAUCCUUAGGACUGGCCUUGUUGAGAUCUCGGAAAUCAACACAGACUCUCACUUUGCCGUCCUUCUUGGGAACAGGGACGACAUUGGCCAGCCACUCCGGGUACUCAACCACUAAUAAGAAUCCUACACUGAGCUGCUUCUGGAUCUCCUCUUUCACCUACAAGCUCCAACGAGGGUGCAAUCGUCUCAACUUCUGCUUAACCGGUCUGGCAUGGGGCAGAAGUGGCAAACGAUGCUGGACGAUAGAUGGAUCAAAGCCUGGCAUGUCCUCAUAGGACCAUGCGAAAACGUCCAAGUAGGAUCUGAGUAGCUGGAUGAGGCUAUCUCUCUCAUCUGUAGACAAAUCCGAUCCGAUCCUCAACUCCCUAGGCUGAUCUGACGUGCCAAAGUCAACAAUCUCGGUGUCCCCUACAGCAGGUGAAACUCUCUGAUCAACGGGGUCUGAGUCGGAAGUAGAAGACGAGUCAUCGUUUGAGUCGUGCUGUGCAAUCUCAUCAUCAAUGUCAAAAAUCUGUGAUGUGGGUGAAGAUGGUGCAGAUAAAUCAAUAACAUGAGAGACAGGCAAAUACUCAAAGGUGCUCAAAUCCAUAGAUGAAAAGUCAGAAACAUAGUCAUGACGGGAGACAAAUCCCGAUAAAACAUCAAAGGUGAGAGGUGGGUCCACAAGGUCGGACGCUCCCUCAACUAGGCCAACAGGGCCAUCAAACAAAUCAACAGCAACUAUAACAUCCUCGACGACCUCUGGAGUGGGGGCAACCUAGAUCUCCUCGGCGAUCUCGAGGACGGACACCCCGAAGAGAUCAAAUGGUGAAGCGAGCUCCGGCGGGGCUAUCUCCUCGGUCUGGCUCAAGCUCAUCGCGAGCAUCUCAUCAACGUACUCGUCACGCGGCACGGCUCCAUCCACUACGUCUCCAAUCUCGGCAAAAGUCCCGUGAUCAUCGAUCUCAUUCCGGAAGCAAAGCGUCAUAAGGCUCGUGCGAUCUGGGGAGGGAGGAGCAAUCAACACAGAAGCCGAAGGGCCAGGGGCUCCGUCACUCAACUGUAAUUGCUGGACGAGGCGCUGAAGCUCGGCCUCCUGGGUGGUGCUGAGUCCUCCGAUGAUCCCAUCAGAUGGUGCAUGUGACUCCGAUGCCCUCACAAAGUAAUCAGAUAAGCUCCUGGUGUAUGGGCGAAGAGGAUAGUCGAAAGGCGUGUGGGUCAGCCGAGCCCUCACUCUCUCCUUGCGCAAACGCGCCAUGUAUCGAUAGUCAACCUCGGUGGGGAUGAACCCAAGCCCAAAUGGUACGUCAUGAUCAGGAAUGGUGAUGAACUCGCUCGGUCCAUACUGACGUCGACCCAACCCCAUGCCGGGUAGAUAGGACAUGCUCCGCAUAAUAUCGAGCACCACUGUGCUCCUAUGCUCGUCAAAGGACAUGGCCACAAAAUCCCGGCAGAAAUCCUCCAUCUCCACGGUCUGCACCUCAGCGAAGGUGAAUCCAGUCAGAAAGAUAUCGUCAUCAGUGUGACUAAUCUCGAGCACAGGCUCGACAGCAAUGAACAUGUCCCCCACGGACUGCACCACGACGACCUGACCAUCAUGGAUGAACUUCACUUUCUGAUGAAGUGAAGAAGGAAUGGCUCCAGCUCGGUGAAUCCACGGUCGGCCCAAAAGCAGGUUAAAGGAUGUAGGAAUCCUCAAAACCUGAAAGAUAGUGAUAAAUGUGGUCGGACCUAUCAGGAGCUCAAUCUCCAGUGUACCCAUGACCUCUCUACGGGUGCUGUCAUAAGCUCGAACGGUCUGAGUGGAUGGACCGAAAUCGGAUGGUGCGUACCCAAGAGCGAUGGCGGUGGCCAGAGGACAUACAUUCAGGGUCGAGCCAUUGUCCAGAAGGACAGAUGGAACUCGGCGACCUGAACAGCCAACAGAUAUAUAGAGAGGACGCGUGUGGCCAAAACCCUCUGGUGGCAAGUCGUCAUCGGAAAAGACGAUACAAGUGGCUCUGCCAACCGUCAUCAUAUGAAUGAGUCCCUCAGGAGUGGUCGUGGUAUCAACUCUAAUCUGGCUCAGAGCUCGAGUCAGUGCAUCCCGAUGAGUACUGGAGGACGCUAAAAGGCUCCAUAUAGAAAUACGAGCCUGAGUGCUCUGCAACUGCCUCAAAAUCUCGUCAUCCUCUACUCUGACCUCCUCCUGGGAUGAUGUACCCCCUAAGGGUCUAGCGGCAGCGGCUGGAGGUGGCUGUCUCAAUACUCUCCCUCCCCAGAGGAUAUACUAAACGUCCGGAGUCUGAAGAUCAUCACUGUGUGGAGCCUGAAACUCCUCAACAUCGGGGACUAAGACGAACGGCGUCUGAACACUAUAGCGCGUGGAAGUCGGAGGCUCGACAAUGGACGCAUGUACUGAGGCUGUCUCAGGAAAUAACCCGAAGGGAGUGGGCACCUAAGGCCCCAAAGACAUGCUGCUCAUCCCGUAAAUAUCCCCCAACUCUAUGGGCUCUGGAUCUAUGUCAUCCCAGCUCAUCAUGCAAACAUGGUCAUCAGAAUCAGCAAAAUCCAGAAAAUGAAUACCCCUGUCUGGUGGAGGAACUGCAUGCGUGGAAUGGGCCGAUAGUGGGUUUUGGGCUAUACUCGGCUGACCCAAGUGAACCAAACCCUGAUCAAUCAAGUCCUGGAUGGCGUGCCUCAAUGCGGUGCAUCGAUCAGUCUCAUGUCCUAGCCCCUGAUGAUAGGCACAAUGCAAAUCCAUCCUAUACUGAGGAGGUAGAGGCUGUGGGGGCGGUCUCGGAGCGAGUGCAGUCAACAAACCAGCCUCUAUGAGCUUCCGAAGAGCCUGGCUCAACGGCAUGCCUAUCUGUGAAAACUGUCUCUACGUCCUCAAAGCAAAAGGUGCAGAGGUCUGCUGAGCUCGAGGCCUAGGGUAUGAAGGUGCGGGCCUCGGAGUGAACUGUGCAGCGUAGCAUGGCUGUCCAGUGGCCGUGUACGAAACAAGAAGCCUCUCAAUGCCCUGAGUGGCAUAGUAAGGUAGAGCCAAUGGCCGAGCCUGAUAUGUCUGAUCGAAAGUCGGGCAAGGUGCCUGUGGCCUGAACUGUUGAGGUGCGUAAGACGGAUGAGUCUCAAUGAGCUGUGGGAUCGGCUGAUGACGCCUAGGAGGCCUCUGACUGGAUAAACUGAUAGCACUAACAUCUGUCGACCUCUGUCCUACGAAUGGUUUCUUCCCCUUAACAUCACUAGGGGAAGAAUCUGUCCAUAAACCUCUCGAGAUGCCGUCCUCGACAUCAUACAAAGCCAUAACUAGAGACCCAAAAUCCGUGAACGGGGCCCCUACCACAUGUCUGGCGAUCCGCGGCUGCAAGCUCCUCAAAACCAUCUGAAUCUGGUCCCUCUCUGAUGGUCUAUUGAUAAUCUCAGCUAUCUUCCCGCGCUAGCGGGAAAUGAAAGAAGAAACAGACUCCUCUGCCCUCUGUCUCAAAGCCUCGAGCUCCCUCCUCGAUACAUCCACGACAGUGUUAAACGAAAACUGUCGUAGGAACUCCUGGGCCAAGUCGUCCCAUGUGCGGCGCCUCGAGGCCUCCAAAGAUGCAAACCAACGCUGGGCCGCCCCACUCAAAGAUAGUGGGAAAAGAGUAAUCAUCUGAGGCUCGUCCAGUCCAUGAGCCCUCAUCACGGUGCUGUAUAAUCGGAGAUGGAGGCGUGGACAACCAAUGCCAGUAUACCUCUCAAUGUCAGGCAUCCUGAACUUAGCCGGCAAGCUGGCUACCGGCACUCCAUCAAAACCCUCCCAAGUAGUGGCUCUAUCUGAAGUCCUCAACUGCCUCAAACCCUGCUCAAGCCUAUCCAUGCGAGCAUGUGGGUCCUCUGAGGUCGGGGUGGGCACGGUGAUGGGAGGCGGGACAACCCCGGUCUGACUAUGCAGAGUGAACGGCAUGGCCUGUGGCGCUGACUGACUGGGUGGAGGAGGUGGUGGCACUGUAGGGUCAUACUGGGCACCAUCCUGGGGCGGGACCUGCUGGGCCUGCUGCCCAUCCAUCCUCCGACCGAGGCUAGCUAUAGCCUCCUGAAUCGAAGCCAUGGCCUCAGCAAACUGAUCGACGGUAACUACCUGUGAAUCCAUAUCUCUCUGAUCUGAUCUUUGGUCUGACUGGUCCGAUACCCUGAUCAAUCUACCCUCAACUCUGAUCCAAGAGGGUGUAUCCAGGCUGUGAACAAAAUCCGAUCCUGACAAGACUCCUCCUCUACUCUAUCCCACGAAGGUAUAUCCAAAUGAAGAACAAAGGUCCGAUCCUGAGAAAGCACGAAGAACGGAAUAAGGAUAUGGCUCUGAGAAUGUACAAAAGAAAAGGUAAUCUAAACGGGAACCAGCAAAGCAUCCAAAUGAAGAUGAACGGUCCGACCGUACUCAAAACUAGCACUGAUCUCUGUGCAUUCUCAACUGGAGACUAAAGAGGGAGCGUCGAAUCCAAAAUGUGACCACAGAGGCGCCGAAGGCCCUCAGAUGCACCCACGUGUAGGGAGGGAGUCCUAAUCAGAGGAUCUACGGCUCAACCUACAAGGUCAAGGUGGUUCUAAAUAGAUAUGGGUGGACUUUAAAAGAUCCCUAGCAGAAGCGAUCGUACCCUCCGACAGUACGCAACCCUUUGCACGUCUCCGAAGAGACGGGGCGCUUCCAUGCAAGGUGGUCAUCACCUCCACACAUGCACUACCUCGACAUCCCAGGGGGUUUCCUAUGGUGAAACCUCUCAAACUCUCAACGCUCAAUGGUCAACUAAAGUGCACAGUGAAUGGUGUGGGUGCAUCCGAAAACCCUAAGAAUCUAGAGCAGAAGAGGAAACACACUGGUCGCACGACUAUCCAUGAAACCUAGCUCGGGGCUAUACAGGUCUUCAAUGAUCGAACUCCAAUCGACAUCAAAGUGUCGUCCUCCUCCUGAAUGCUCCCGUACAUCGAUAUAGCCCGUCGCUAGACCCUACUCCUAAUCUCUAUCUCAGUCAGAGUACAAGCACACACAAGGCCCCACACUUGCAAAAGUGAGAACCAGAAUGAAGGAAAUGACCGAGACUAGAGGGUCGGAGAUAAGGGGAUAGAUGUGCUACCCACAUAGACAGGCGACAUACAAUCACGCAGAGGAGGGCAGUCAUGCAUCAUACAGUCAGGCAGAGCAGAAUAUAUCACUCAUGUACACACAAGAUAAGCGAGAAUACGACAAUCAAGAUGAAUAGUGAUACCAACAUCAUGCUCAAGGACGAUCAAAAUAGUAUACAAGUUAGAGAAUCAAUAUGUCAAGCCGAGUGAUAUACAAUGGUGAGUGUAUGCAUGUGAAGUGAUCAGAACAAUCAUGCCAAAAUCAGAAUCAAUACGCUGAGCAAUGCAAUAAGAUCAAUCAUCAAUAAUCCAACAUGUCAAAAUCUCAAAUGAAUACGACAUCUAAGCAUGCAUCAAGAAAUCCUCAAUGUGCAAUCAAGAGAUGAGCAUCCACUGAUCGUCCAAUCAAAUGCCACAUUUGCUUCACUCUAAGUUCAAGCUUGACCCUCUAAAAAAAAAAUCCCCAGCGGAGUCGCCAUUUUGUGGACCCCGCAUUUCGGCUCAUGCGUUUCCCACUCGAAGGCGAGCUCGAUUUUUAUUUGAAAAAUUGAUUUUUUAUUGAUUAAGAAAACUGACUUGGAGUCGCCACUUAUUUUUGUUUUAUUUUUAAAAGGGUAAACAAAAUAAGAAAGAAAAACCCUAAGUGUGACUCCUUACUUUGGAAAAGGUGGUCUGUGAAAAACCGGAUCGGGUUCGGGGGUCAGGUUACUUAUCGGGAAGGUACGGUAAAGACCGUAGCACCCCUCUAAGUCCCUAAAGUCGGGUCUCUACUAAUAAAAUGAAGCAAUCAAUGGCAAUUGAUGAGGGAAUCAAUGAAUACUCAGAGUGAUCCUGCACAUGUGGGAAUCUAAACAUGCAUACAAAAAAUGACCCAAGCGGGUGUGGAUGCGUACCUGGGCAGUGAUCCAUAAAGCGCUAUCAAGAAGUGAGGUUAGCGCACAAUUAAAGAAUAAUUUCGAGCAUGUCAUAGAGCGAAAUAAAAUCGAUCAUGCAUGGCAAUUAAAUCAAACAAACAAUCAAUCAAUCAUAAGGGAAUCACAUAUGUUGGGCCCCCACCAAAACCCGAUUUAUAUUGCAUGAAUUAAUCCUACGAAUCCCAUUAUUUCGGAAUUAUGAAGAUUCAUCAUUCUUGCUUGUGUAAAAAUCAAAAGAAAUAGAACAUUAUUUAAAAAUCGGAGUGAAAUUAAAACUAUUCGAGAGAAAACUGGGUUUUGAGAUUUAUUUGGAAAUUAGAGUCUUGAAAAUUAUUUGAAGAUUGGAGUCUUGAAAAAUUAAAUUUAAGAAUUGGGAUUUUGGAUAUUAAAUUUGAAAGAAAUUAGAAUUUUGGAAAUCGGAAAUUAAGUUCAGAAAUUGGAAUUUUGAAGAAUGUUUAAAAUGGAAUUUCAAAAUAAAUAACUAAAAUAAUAAUAAUUAAAUAGAUUAAUGUGAAUAUUAGAAUUUUCAGAAUUAGAAAUUAAAAUCGGAAGUUGGAAAUUUUAAUGAAUUGUUUAAAAUUGAAUUUUAGAAUAAACAAAUGAAAUAAUAAUAAUAAUGAAAAUAAUAAAGAUUAAAUAAAUAAAUAUGGAAAUUGGAAUUCCGGAAAUUAGAAAUUGAAUUUAGAAAUCGGGAUUUUGAAGAAUUACUUAAUGAUGGAAUUUUAAAUAAAUAAAUAAACAAUAAUAAUAAUAAUAAUAACAAAAAUAAUGAUUGAAUAAAUACAUAUGGAAAUUAGAAUUCCGGAAAUUAGGAAAUUGAGUUUGAAAAUCGGGAUUUUGAGGAAUUGCUUGAUGAUAGAAUUUUAAAUAAAUAAAUAAAUAACAAGAAUAAUGAUUGAAUAAAUAAAUAAGGAAAUUAGAAUUCCGGAAAUUAGGAAAUUGAGUUUGGAAAUCGGGAUUUUAAGGAAUUGCUUGAUGAUAGAAUUUCAAAUAAAUAAAUAAAAUAAUGAUGAUUUAAAUAAAUUGAUGUGAGAAUUUAAAAUUUCGGAAAGUGGAAUUUAAAUUUAGAAAUCGGGAUUUUGAGGAAUUGUUUGAAGAUUGAAUUUUAAAAAUAAAUAAAUAAAUAAAUGAAAUAAUGACGAUUAAAUAAAUUGAUGUGAGAAUUAAAAUUUCAGAAAUUGGAGUUUAAAUUUAGAAAUCAGAAUUUUGAGAGAUUAUUAAAGGUUGAAUUUUAAAAACGAACAAAUAAAUAAAUAAAUAAAAUAAUGACGAUUAAAUAAAUUGAUGUAAGAAUUAAAAUUUCGGAAAUUGGAAUUUACUUUGGAAAACGGAACUUUGAGAGAUUAUUAAAGGUUGAAUUUUUAAAAAAUGAACAAAUNNNNNNNNNNNNNNNNNNNNNNNNNNNNNNNNNNNNNNNNNNNNNNNNNNNNNNNNNNNNNNNNNNNNNNNNNNNNNNNNNNNNNNNNNNNNNNNNNNNNNNNNNNNNNNNNNNNUUUUUAAAAAAUGAACAAAUAAAUAAAUAAAUAAAAUAAUGAUGAUUAAAUAAAUUGAUGUAAGAAUUAAAAUUUUGGAAAUUGGAAUUUAAUUUAGAAAAUGGAAUUUUGAAGAUUCUUAAAAGGUUGAAUUUUAAAAAUGAAUAAAUAAAUAAAAUAAUAAUGGAGAAUUAAAUUUUGAUAUUGAGAAUUAAAAUUUCGGAAAUUGGAGUUUAAAUUUAGAAAUCGGAAUUUCGAGGAGUAGUUUAAAGAUUGAAUUUUAAAGAUAAGCAAGUGAAUAAAUAAUGGUGAUUAAAUAAAUGGAUGUGAGAAUUAAAAUUUCGGAAAUUGGGAUCAAAUUCGGAAGUCAGAGAAUUAAGAUUGUUUAAAGAAGGAAAACUUGAAAUAAAUAAAUACAAUAAUAAUAACGAAUAUAAUGAUUAAAUGAAUGAACGAGAAUUUUGGAAUUUCUUCAAAUCGGAAAUUGAAUUUAAAGGUUGGAAAAUUGGAAUUGCAUAAGGAAAGAUAUUUUGAAGUAACUAAAUGGAAUAAUAUUAAUAAGAAUGAUAGUUGAAGUUUUUGAAAACUAGGUUUUAAAGAUUGGAGCUUUGGCAACUAGAUUAAAAUUUUGAAUCUUGACAAUUAACUUUGGAAAUUAAAAAAAAAAUUAUUCUAAAAUGGAAACUUUAAAAAUUAGAUUUAAAAAAAGAACUUUGGACAAUUAAACUAUGAGAAUAUGGAUUUUGAAAGUUAAACACUGGAAAAUUGAAAUAAUAAUAAUAAUAGUAAUAAUAACAACUUAAUAUUGAGAACUUGAUAUUGAGAAUAUGGAAUUUGGAUAAAUGAAUAAGCAUAUAAGUGAAUAAUAUAGUGUACGUGUGCAUGAAAUAAAAAAGAAUGAAUAAAAGGAACUAAAGGGCUUUAGAGAGGGGUUUAGGAUAAAGGAUAUGCAGAUUUGGGCCUUUAGGAAUGGACCUUGGGCUUUGAAAAGGGGCUAAGGGUUGGAAAUGGGCCUUGGGCUUCAUCUUCAUCCUAGUUCCUCCACAGCCCAACAACAUCCCCUCCAUCUGGGCAACUCCUUCAGGAUAUCUCCACCAGUACUGACAUAGAGAGAGACUUCACCACCGGCGGCAAGAUGGAGAGAGGAGCCGUGGCGGCGGUUCGGCGGCAACCUGAAGGUGCAGCCAUCAAGGUGGCUGGUGCAAGUGCUCGCCUGGCCGGGGCGGGUGGUGGUGGCUGGCGAGGUGAGCAAGCACCUCGCCGACGCGGUACACGCAGCGAGAAGGAGCGGGGAGGGGCGGCACGCGUGCAUGGAAGGUUGUGAAGCUCCCCAGGCCUCCGACAAACGCGUCUCUGAUGAAGACGGUAGGAGCGAUGACGGGUAUGAGGAGGAAGAUGGUGGAGGCGACUUGCAUGUUUGGACCCCAUGUGUGCAGAAGGGCGGCUUGGGGAGUCCUCGUGGAGAUGGGUAUGGCGGUUAGAGAGAGAAAAGGUGGCAAAUAUACAUGGGUAUGAGAUGGGAGAGAUAUAGGUGACGCAGCGGACUAGACGAUACAAAUCAGGUUUGAACUGAGGAUUCGGUGAAUUGGAAACUUUAACUAAAAGCUACAGGGGACUUUCUUAAGCUAUGCAUGAUACUAGGGAAUGAGUUGUGAGUUGUUGAGGGCAGCGAUGGAGUGAGAAUCUGGUGAAACAUGAAUAUAUCUAGCCUCAUUUCAAAUAUCAUCCAUGGGCCGAUACAGGUGAAUGAUAAAGAGCAUCAACGUGAUUCAUAACGAACCCAUGUACUCGAUGGCCUCCAAAGAAAAUCACAAAAAUGAGAUAAUAGCAUAGCAAACAUACCCAAGCAGUGAAUGAAAGCUUAAAGAUCGAGACAAGUGCAUGAAAAAUAAUACGAUAAGAAAAUAAUGAACAGAAAACCCACAAAACUUAUACCUAGGAGUGCUCUUUCUUAGCGAAAACCAAUCAGAAAAACCAUGAGUCUCCCCCGGUUCAGCAACUCUGCCUCCCUCCUAGAUAGCUCACUCUUUUCUUCUUUCCUUUUUUCCGAAACUCUGUUUUCCUUUUCUCCUUUUUUUUAGCUUCCUCUCCAAGCCAUCUUUGUACCCCAUCCCAUCUGCCGCCCCAGAGCCUCCCCUAUCAGUCUCCUUUUUGCUGCCCCAAAAACAGCCCCUGACCAUCAUGUCGAGCGGCUCCGGAAAAAAGGUAGGAAAAAGAAAAGAAAUAAAAUAAAUCCAAAGAAAACUCUCUGUCUCCGGGGGGGUCUACAGAUUUUUUUCUAUUUUUUUGAAAGGAUUUCAUUAAAUUUGUCAAGAUAAGGAAUUUUUUUCCUUAUCUUUGUUUUUCUCCCUUUGAAUGAUUCACUUACAUGUUAUGGGUUAGUUUCUAUGAAACUUUUUCUUAAAGAAAAAUAUUAUUUUUAAUUGGUAAAUAUAUCUAUCAUUCUCUUGAUAUUAUAGAAACUCUCUUUUUAAAAAAUUGUUUAGUUUCUACUAUUGUUUUAAAAAAAAAUCUCUUUCAAAUGGAGGAAAACCAAUUAAUGGUUAUUUAAAAUAAGUAUUAUAAACUUCUAGAAAGGAGACGUAGCAUUCAAAAAUCAACAAAGUUAAAAUCCUUGUUUUUUCUUUUUUUCUCCUUUCAACAUUCAACAACCAAUCUUCUUACUUUUAGUGUUUCUCUUAUAAGUUAAAGGUCUUUGAUGACUAUAUUUUGCAUUUUAUUUUUGUUGUUCUCCUUUCAACAUUCAACAAUCAAUUAAUCUUCUCUCUUAGUGAUUGUCUUGAACUUUGAUGACAAAGGCAUUCUAAGAAAUUUGCUUGAAGGCCCACUACCAUCCAAAGUCUAAUAAACCAAGGAAAAUUGCAUGAAAAUAUUUCAUAUCAUUUUUUGAAAUUUAGAUCUUUGUAAGAAAUUGUUUUGAAGGUAAGCUACUACUAAAGUUUAAUAAGCCAAGGAACUUUCUCACUAUUUCUCAUGUUCGGGUAACAUGAAAAAAAUAAUAGUUGUUUUUUUAUCUCCUUUUCUUUAAUAUUUAUCCUUUUGUCAUUACUACAAAGUAAGCGCAAUUAUGCUUCAUUUGAUGAUUAAUGGAGAAAAAAGUUACUUCUUUAUAUUAAAUAUUUAUCCUUUAAUUAUUUUUGCAAAGUUAAAUUAGAGUUUUCAUGAAUGCCUUUUCUACUACAAUUAUGAAAUUCAAAAUUUAUCUGCUCAAUACAUUGAAAUCCCUCAAAGAAAUUGAGAAAGCAAUCAUUUAACCAACUCCUUGAAGAACUUACCAUAAAUAACGGUAGUGCAAAAGAUAAGUGUCAUGAUUGAAGUUCAAAAUAAUAUCUAUAACUUAAAGAUUUCUUUGAACAUUAAAGUUUAGUGCUAGCUAUAUUAUAAUAGCAACUAAAAAAGGCACUUUUUGCUCCUUUUUCCCAUUUAUUCUUUUGGAAGUAUGAAAAGAAAAUUAUUCCAAAAAAAAAAUUACAUAAAAUAAUAAAAAAAUUUAUAAAAUUAAUGCUUAUAAAAAUUAUAUGAAAAUAAUCAUUAUUUUAAAAAAAAAUCUCACCCCAUUUUCUUUAAUAUUUGAUUACAAAUAUAAUAUAGUUAAAAAGAGUAUACUAUUAUACAAAUCAUGUAACUUCUAAAGUAUCUCUAUUUAGGCAUUGUUUGAAAUCAUAGAAUAAAGCAUGGGAAUGAGUUAAUGUGUUUGGAUUGUUUUUGGAAUAAGAAUAGGAAUAAAAAAUCAUUGUUAUGGAAACCAAAUUCCAUUAUCACUGGGAUUUUGAUUCCUUUAUCUUAUCUUACAUGAGAUUAGGAUUCACCAUAUCCUCAUUCUAUUUCCAUUCCUAUUUUCAUGUACCAAACGAAACCUUAGACAAUGUUUGGUAUGUGGGAAUUGAGAUGAGAAUAAACAUUUUGUUUUCAUUCUUAUUUGAUCUUGAAUAAAAAUAAAUUUGGUAAUUCCAAUUCUUGUAUUUGAAUGCACUUAUAAAUGGAAUGUUGAAAUGAUCAUUUCUUUUCAUUUUAUUGUUUGAUAACAAUAGGCAUGAAAUUAAUUUUCUCAUUAGAAGAACAAAAACCUUAGAAUAUAAUGAAAAGUUUAACAAAGUUGAAAGGAGGAAAUCAAUAAAGAAAUGAUAUUUUUAACUUUCUUAAGUUUUGUGCACUUCUUUUUAUAUUAAAUUCAAUUUUUAAAUUUGUAAUUAUUUAACCAAAUCCAAAACAACAUAAUUAGCUUCAAUUUAUGUUUCCAACUUGUAUGUGUUAAUAUAAGACUUAGUGGUAGUAAAGUAGUUUUGAACCAAUAAGCUAUAGAGCAAAUUUGUCUACUUAAACUAGUACAUUGACAAUCUCAUCCUUUGAAAAUUUUGGAACAAUACAAAAUAUUGCAAUACAACCCUCUAAAACUCUAAAAUUAAGAUCCUUAAGUCGCUUGACCUAAUCCUUACCAAAGAUCACUCACUAUAAAUAACACCUUCUUAUCUUUCUUUUUUUGCAUGAAUAUGUCACCUCAUAACACCUUCUCCUCUUGAAUUUGAUUGCUUGUUCUUAAUUUGACAUUCUCUUUCCCUUUUAGAUUUGAAAAAAAAAAACAAAAAAACAAAAAAAAUGGUGUAAAUUCAACUUGAUAAGAGUUUAAUCAAAAUUGGAAAUUUGCUUGUAAUAUCUAACUCGCCUUAAUGAAUAAGGAUGUAUGGGUUGAUCAAUCGAGCUUUAGGCCCUUGAAUAAUCAUCUCAACUUUCACUUUCAAUUGCCUGAGAUAUUUCAUUUGGAUAUCAAUCAAACCCAAGGUUGAGACAUUAAAUUGUACGUAUGUUAGUUUUUAUGAUAAACUAGUUUCACAAAAUGGUUGAUGCUUCAAAAGUAAUAACUUAGUUAACAAAUGCAAUGUCAUAAUUUUAUAUUUUUGCUCAUUUGAUGUAUGUGGGAACAAAAACUAACAUGGAUCUUAAAGUAUUCCAAAACAAAAUACUUGAAAUUGAAAUAUUCUUUCCCACCUAAUUUGAUUGCUCAUUCUAGGUUGGAGAUUCUAUCUCUUUACACCAAGAAUUAUGCAUAGUGCAAGAGUGUGAGUUUAAAUUGGCAUCACUUUAAUCAAAAUCUAAGACUGGGUUGAAGUAUUUGACUUGCCUUGAUUAAUAAGGACAUCCGGCCAUGGCUUAACUGAUGGAGGUUGGUGUGUACUAACUUAUCCAACAAAAUGUUUAAUCUGCAAAAAAAUUAACAACAAUCAAGCUUGUCCUCGAAAUGCCCUAAAACGAGUCCCAAUAAAAAUGGGUUUUGAAAAAAAAAAAAAAAAACAAAACAAAAAAUUCUGUAGAAGGAAUUUCAGCCCCUUGGAAUCAGCAAGGCAUAUAAAAUAGAAACUAAGAAAAGGAGGGUGGCUUAAUUACCAAAAAGUUGAGGUAAAUGUUUGGUCAACAUCAACAAAGAAGCUCCAGCCAUCUGUGCAUAUGGUCCAUUUCAUGGUCUUGCGCAUCAACACCAUUACCAUCAUUAUUCAGGGUGGUGCCAUCACAGCUUCUCUCCACAUCAGUAUUAGUAUCUUCUACUGCUGAACUGGUGUCACAGCUUACUUCUACGUUGUACAAUUGUGAGAUUGUUCUGUUCAUAAUCGUGGGCAUAUAGAAAGUGGAAGCCACACCUCGCCACUUUCACUGGUUUAACACCAAAGUAGACAUUAAAGAAAGCGUUCAAGGUUCUCCAUUCAUUUGAGUGAUAUCUCUUGGGAAUACGUGACUUAGGAUAAUAUAUCAAGCACCCUUGACUUGAUGCAUCUUCAUCAUAGCAGAAUUCACAAAAUUGAAAAGACUGAUAGGAAAAAUAGGCACUGUCAUCAUCGAAAUUCAAUUUACAGUUGAAACACCUAUGUUUUUUGGUCUCAAUCUCAAGUGGAACACAAAGAGAGCACAGAACAAAGCCCAAGAAGUCAUCAUUUUCAUACCAACUCCAAGGAAGUUUCAUUGUUAUUUUGAACCCGCUUUUCUGAUGGCUUAUCCACUCCGGAAUCCCAUUACUUUCAGCAAUAAAAGUUAUGAGAGUUUUUCUAAAUUCACGCCCCUGCACAAAAAUUACCCUCUGAAUUUUGUGUCUCAAUGAAAACAAAGGUUAAAUGCUAUAUGAAAACCAUACCUGAAUUUGGGAUUUAAAACAUUUGAAUAAAGAAGACCAGAGUAGAUUUGAUCGACUGGAUAAAUUUUCCAGGGAUGUGCAGUGAUGGGCAUCUAGACAAAAUAAACCUGAUGGAAGUUCUGGAAUAUGUUGAAGCAUCUUGCAGUGACCCAAGUAAAGAUUUUCUAGGUUAUAAAGUUGACUGAUCCCAUCAGGUAUGCGACUAAAGUGGUUCCCCCCCAGAGAUAAUGUUACCAGUGAUGAUAGGUAAUAGAUUUCACUGGGAAAUUCCCUUAGAUUGCAGCCUUGAAGCUUUAACGUCCUCAAGGAGCAUAAACCGGACAAAGACGGCAAUUGAAAAUUCAUUGAAUCUAAAUGCCCAACAAAAAGAUACUCUAAAGAUUGCAGUCUCCCCAAGUUGUCUGGCAAUUUGUUGAAGUUUGGACAGCGACUGACAACGAGAGUUUUAAAAGAUGUCAAAUUACAAAUACUCUCAGGAAGAUUCACAAGGUUUUUGCAGUUUCUCAGAAGCAAAUAUUGAAGCCCUCUUAGACGUUGAAUUGAUGAUGGUAUCUCUUUUAUGGCGGUUCCAUUUAAAUAAAGCUUUCUCAAGCUCUCCAUAUCUUGCAGGAUUUCUGGAAAGCUCUCUAGUUGUGAACAGCCAGAGCAGGAGAGAGUUGCAAGGGAUUUGAAACCAAAAAUGCUACUGGGCAGACUCGUAAGAUUUCUGCAAUCCCGCAGACAUAAACUAUCAAGUUCCAAGGGAUUCUCGAUAAUGGGUACUUCAUUCAUAUCACUGCCCUUAAAACAGCACUUCCGCCGAGGUGUCCCAUCCCGUUGGCAUGCCCUGCAUAUUCUAAUAUCUGCAUCCUCAUGGCUUUGUUGAAGGUCUUGGGAGUAUAUAAGGCGGACUCCACACUCCUUUACUUUCAAGACUUUCUCAGAAUUAAUGUAAAAGUCGAAAAAGGAAAACCCAAUGAAAGUCCGUUGAUCAGAGCAAAACCUUUCCGGAAUAACUGCCUUGGGAUAGCAAAUCACCCACGUCUGACCUGAUACACUCUCAUUAUCUUCGUCCUUGUCUUUUUUAUAGCAAAAACAAUUGGAUUGAAAGAAGGAACGAUCUACCAAUUCAACUCCAUCACCAGCCACAUCCAAACAACAGCUAAGACGACAAGGAUGUGUAUGUUUAUGUUCAUUCUUACGAAAAGAUUCAGCCACAGAUUUAUCGUCUGUUUCAUUCUCCCAUGUAUGAGCAGAUUCAUCCUCAGAUUUAUUAGCUGAUUCAUUCUUGGACCCGUGUGCAGAUUCCUUUUCAGGUAUGUCCUCAGAUUCGUAAGCAAAUGGAACAUAAACACAACAUAGAGCAAAUCCCAAAAACUCAUUAUUUUGGUGCCAAUUCUGAGGGAGCUCUGUUUCUGUAAAAUAUCUUUUUGUCCGAUCCAUAAUCCAUUCUGGAAUUCCAUCAGUUCUGGGAAGAACAAUGCAAGUUCCCUUGCCACGGUAGGAAGAAUCACUAAAACUAGUGCGUUUCAAACCCUGCACCAAAGCACCAUGUAAAUAUAGAGUCUGCAUAUAUAACUAGUGUGUGACAUGAAAAUCAUACCUGUGCCCAACUGAAGCAAUUGACCAGAGAAUGCAAUGGCAAAAACAGGGCUCUUGAUGAAGUGCGAUUUGAACCAUGUGCAUCUAAAAGCCGUAGACGUGAUGGAAGCUCUGGAAUUUGUUCAAGAUUGUUGCAGUGACUAAGGUUAAGGACUUCCAGCCUGGAAAGCUGAUUGAUGGUAGUAGGUAUGCUACUAAAAUGACCCUGUUCCAGAUUUAGUUUCUGUAAUGAUGAUAAAUGGCAAAUAUCACUAGGAAUUCCUCCUUCCAUUAUGUUGCAGUGACCUAGGUCCAAUUCUUUCAAUGAUGAUAAAUGGCAAAUAUGAUUAGGGAUUUGGUGGAGCUUUAAACACUCUUGAAGUAGGAGAGUUUGAAGACCAUUUAGAUGUGUAAUUGAUGAUGGUAAGUCCAUUAUAGCUGUUCCACUCAAAUCAAGCACCCUUAGCUCUCUCAUAUCGCCUUUGAUUUCUGGAAAUCUCUCUAGCUUUGAACAGCCAUUGCAAGACAAAGUUUGAAGGUGUUUCCACUUGUAAAUGCCUCUUGGAAGAAGCUCCAGGUUUACACACCCUGCCAGAUUCAAGGGAAAAAGAAAAACCAAGUUAGUUUUAGUAAUUAUAAUACUGCUGCACCAAACUUUUAAGUACCGUUGUACAACCUUCUAGAGUUAGAAUCUCCAAGUUUGGCACACUUGAGAAGUCUGGGAUUCUUAUGAGAUGGACAGAGUGACUGAGAUCAAUAACCCUCAACUUGUCAUGAAGCUGUAACAAAAUAAUUUUUUUCAAUAGAUAAAUUUACACGUUAAAAAUUAAUAUAAAAUUAAACUGUAACUAAAUAAUAAUAACAAUACCUUAUUGCCCCUCCAAACUUGCUUUAUAUUGCUGUCCCUUAAUGAGAGUUCAACAAGGUUCUUUGCAUGAAAAUUCAUUGGCAAAGAUUCUAAAGGGUAUCCAUCCCAAUGCAGAUAUGCUAACUCAUAGGAAUAGAAUUCAAAGUCCCUUGGAAGGUGGUCUUUAAGAAAUAGCUUUCUACGAGGGUUAUGGAUUUUGAGCAGUCUAAGUCUAUUCAUCUCUUUGAAAGAUUCUGUAGUAAGCUCUGAUGGAUUAAAUUUACAUCUAUCUAAGAAUAGUCCUUCAAUUGCUCGUGUCCCCUGAAAAAUAUAAGAUGAGUAGGUGAAACAAAAGAUGCAUUAGGCUUAAUUGAGUUAUACACACGGCUAAUUUCUGAAAAAAAUAAUAAUAGUAAUGAAGCUUGCAUACACACGUAUAAACAAGUUCAUGCAUUUGACUCUUACCUUAUUUCCUGUUAGCACAUGAUAGGCAUUAGAAUCGCAUAAUCUACUCCUUCUUCCAGGGUCUUCCGGACAUUCUUGACGAAUAAUCUCCCAACCCAUUUGUUGUAUUAAAUCAUGCAUAUCUAGCAUGUUUUUUGAAACAGUUAUGAGACAUCUAUCAUCUAGAGUUGUUAUUGCGUGCUUUGCAUGAGGGCCCAAUAUUCUUGAAACAAAAUCUCUAUCAUCUCCUUUGAAAAAGCAUGCAACAUCCAAAAAUAUCCCCUUGUCUAUAUCAUCGAGUCCAUCAAAACUUAUUCUAAGUACAUUGUGAAUUUCCAUGUGGGGCAUUAUUUUUAGCUUACACAGUGCACUUUCCCAAUUACUUAUUUUCUUUCCAAAAAGAGAAGCACCUAAAACUUUAAGUGCUAACGGAAGGCCAUUAGCAUAAUCUAUGAUAUUGUAUGAGAGAUUUUUAUAAACUUCUUGGGGACGAUUUUGUUUAAAGGCCCACAAACUAAAGAGCUCAAUAGCUUCUUCCUUGUUUAAUUUUGAAACCUCAUAUCGUAUAUCCGCUCCAUAUUGAGCAAGUACAUGUUUGUCUCUAGAUGUAAUGAUGAUUGUACUUUUUGCCCGAAACCAAUCCUUCUCUUCAGCCAAAUAUUCUAGUUGUUUCAACUCAUCCACAUCAUCAAAAAUAACAAGAACUCUAUUGGAGCUUAGACACCUCUUUAUCAUACUAAUUCCUUCAUCAACAUUGUUUAUUUUAAAAUUUUUUCCCCUUAGGAUACCAUGAAGAAGUUCUUGCUGUAACUGAAGUAUAUCACCUUUGGAUCUCUCUUUGAUAUUUAUAAGAAAGCUAC
rnacentral:lncRNA from 1 species